rnacentral:lncRNA from 1 species
AUGGAAAUAUGUGGGCGGCCAACCAGAAUCACACUUCCUAUCCUGUCUUGCUUUUGCAUUGCAGUUACACACCCUUAUAAUAUAUAAGCAGAGAUUUGGUGAUACUUCAAGGCACAACAAAAUUCCAAGCAUCUACAAAAGAAAUAAUAAGCUCUUCUUUUUCUUGUUUGAAGUUGAAAAAGGGUGAAGGAAAUUAAAGAAGAAUGUCUGGGCUGAUAGAUAUGUGGACAAAUGAGGUUGCGAAGUUGCAAAACAAGGCAUGUCAAGAUGAAGAUGUAGCUGCAGAACCCUUUUCCACGAGGAAAGCAAAAAGUAGUGAUUUGGUCAAGGAAGAUCAUGAAUCCCUCUCCUUAUUUCAAAGAUAUGGCGGGUUGGCAACUAAUUACUUGGGCAAUCAACUCAAUAAGUUGCUCAAUUAUUCUGAUGCUUCAGUCUCAAUGAUUGUGGAUUGUGUUAGUCCCUGAACAAGCAAUUCAGCGCAUUUCUCUGUUUGUCUCUUUGCCUGUUUACCUUUUUUUUGAAGUUGAGAAAAUUGUACCAGUAUUUUGAUAAGGUCCCUAAAUAACUUGGUGUACAUAUACUUACAGUUAACCGAAAGUCUCCAGUGCAGUUUCUUUUGAGAUAGUAUUGAAAAUUAUACUUGUCUAAUUUUUUGCUAAACAUAAAGAGUACAAAGAGUGAAAGAAAAUACAAGGAGAAAUAUAGUAAUUAUGACACCUUAAAUAUCGUGGAAAACGACUAAAAGGAUUAAUUAUAUAUAAAUAUUCAUAGCUCUGUAAAUGAUCAUGGUCCAAAUUCUUAAUCCCCAUAUGUAAAGAGAUGCUUCAGUUUUAUGAUAAAAAGAGUUGGUGCUUCAAAAAGGUAUUAUAGACUAUAUUCGAACAAACAGAUAGUGAGAUGCAUAAAAAAUUGUAUGGAGACACAUAUUUUUGCCAGAUCCAUGUAUCGAAUACAUAAUAAUUAUGUAUCUCUCUUAAAUUAUUUUAUAGAAUAAUGUAUUUCUAUCCAAAUUGUUGUAAAGAGUAAUGGAUCUGAGUUGUUUUUAUUCUAUUAAUACACUCAUCAUUCAAUUGAUAUAUGGGUGAAAAUCAUUUUCACCCCAACUUUGAUUAAAAAAUCAAACUCCCCCUCAACAUUGAACAAUAAUUAUACUCUCCCUUCAUUCCAUGCAAUGUCCAUUUUGUCCUUAUAAUUUUAAUUAUAUAUUUAUGUAAUAUCUUUUUAUAUUAUAUGUAAUGAAUAUUUUUUUAACAUGGAUAUUUGUAGCAUUUUGUUUAAAUUUAUUAACUUUAUACGUAAAUUAAUACUUUUUAUAUUUACCUCAAAAUUCAAUGUUAUUUUUUAAGAUUGUUAUUUUAGUACUAUAUGUAUUAAGGAGUCGUUUGGUGUGAGGUAUAAUUAUAAUAAUUCAAAGAUAAAGUUCAUGAUUAUUUAUCCUGCGUUUAGUUAGAUGUAUUAGGUAGUCUCAAAAUUAUUUGUCGCACCAUUUAUGCCAUAGUGAUGAGAUAAGUUAUCACACAUACAUGUUAGUACAACUUAUUUUGUAAUAACGAAUCCCGGAAUAACUUGUUUUCAAAGAACCCACCCCUAAGUGUGUAUAUAUACAUAUGUAUGUAUAUGCAUGUGCGUAUAUUUUCGUGUUUUAUCACUCUCUUACUAAAUUCGUUUCGUAUUACUUAAUUUUUUGUUGAUAUAACACAAUCUUUAAGAAAAUUUUACUUAGAGGUAUAUUUUGCUAAAUUAACCUUAAUAAUGAUAAUUUGAAACUUUAAAUUUAUCUAUACUGUUACUUUAUAUAGUUAUUGAACACUAAAGGGUAAAAAAGAACAUAAUAAAAUUCUCUUGAUUUCACAAAUUGAGCAGAUAAACUAAAACAUUUAUUUUUAAUAUGAGGACCAAGUGAUAAGAAACGAUUUAAUCUAUUGUCUAUAUCAGUAAAUAAUUGUGAUUGUCAUUAAUAGAGUAUUACAUAUUUUAUAAUUUAUAUAAAUAAAUAUAAUCUUUAAAAUUUGACCUUAUUUUUAUUCGAGAANNNNNNNNNNNNNNNNNNNNNNNNNNNNNNNNNNNNNNNNNNNNNNNNNNNNNNNNNNNNNNNNNNNNNNNNNNNNNNNNNNNNNNNNNNNNNNNNNNNNNNNNNNNNNNNNNNNNNNNNNNNNNNNNNNNNNNNNNNNNNNNNNNNNNNNNNNNNNNNNNNNNNNNNNNNNNNNNNNNNNNNNNNNNNNNNNNNNNNNNNNNNNNNNNNNNNNNNNNNNNNNNNNNNNNNNNNNNNNNNNNNNNNNNNNNNNGUAUUUUUUGCAUUGAAAUAUGUUUAUAAAAUUAGUUGUACUUAUUAUUUUCACUUAUUAAAAUAAAUAUUAUAUUUUUGAUUAUUAUUAAUAAAACUAAUUUUCUUAUUAUGCUAAUUUACUUCAUAAACAUCAUCAUUAGCUUAUAUAUUUCUUAUUUUUUUUUCUAGAAGAUAAUGUUUAUGUUUUUAUGAAAAUUUGGUUAUAUGAAUAAUGUUUAUGUUUUUAUGAAAAAUUUGUUAUAUGAUUUUUUUUUAAUGAAAAUAUGAUGAUUUUAAAGAAGUUAAAAAAAAAAGAAUAAAAAAAUUGAUGAUAAAGGGUAAAAUAAAAAUUUUAAAAAGUCAAUUAGGAUAAAGGGAGGAGUAUGAUUAUUGUUCAAAGUUGAGGGGGGAGUUUGAUUUUUAAGACAAAGUUGGGGAGGAAAAAUGAUUUUGAAUUGAUAUAUUAACUAAUGAAUAAUCAAGCAGUAAUCUAACUAUUACAUUUUAAUAUAUCUGAAUAUGGGGUGUGCAGUAUGUAUUCGUACUUAACCUACUCUAAAUGCUCGAUUCUUUUAUAAAGAAAUUCAGAAUAAAUAUUGACAUUCAAUUAAAUUUAUUAUAAUCAAGUAAGCGACCUCGUUUCUUAUACUGGUUCAAGUCACUGAUGUUUAAUAAGUAAGUGAAAUAUACACAAUAAAGUGAACUUUUAUUGAACAUAUAAAGUAAUAUGCAAUGAUCCUGAAGUAAUCAUACAAAAUCUCAUAGUUCAAAGGAACUUUAAAUGUUAGAAAUUGACAAAAUUUGAUUUACCUGAAGACACAGAAUGCUAACUUGUAUAGAGAUUUACCAAUCAUGCCAUAUUUUUUCCAUAGCUUUCAUCUUUGGCACAUAUUGAUAUCAUUUUUCCUCAUAAUGCUCAAUAUGUAGCCUCAAAAAUGCAAUUUUCUCUUCUUUUUUUCUCUCUCUAAAGUUGUUUUUAUUUUCAGGAGGAUAUGUCUCUAAAAUUAAUUAGAACUGAACAUGGUACCUGAAGGGAGUUUAAGUAACUAAAGUGGUUAAUGUAUGCUAUUGUUGAUGUUUAACCACAUUUAAAAUUUGUUAUAAAAGAAAUAAACGAUACCUUAGUGACUUAGUCUCUUAUUCUUUCUUGUCAAGGUCAUUCUUUAACAUUCCAAACACGAGUUAGUUUUUUAUCACCUGAGAGAUAGAAUUGCUUUCAAGUUGAGCAACCUCGAAUAACUACAAAAUUGAGAAGCUGAGGACUACCUUAAAAAUUUUAUAUUUAAAUAUUUGGAUUAAGCACUUUGUAAUCUUAUCAGGUUGCAAAAAAAUUCUUCUCUAUCUUCACACAACUAUUUCACUCGCUACAUAAUACUCUCUUUGUUUAAAAAAGAUCUGCUUUGACUUGACAUGAAUUUUAAGAAAAUAAUGAAGACUUUUGAAUUUUGUGGUCUUAAAUUAAAGUUACGUCAAAUUUACUUUAAUUGUAUCGUCUCAAAGAUGCCACGUGAAAAAUUAAAAUUAAAGUUUUCUAAUAAAAAAGGAGUCAUUCUAUUUUAAAUGAAUUAAAAAGAAAAGUACGUCAUUAUUUUUUAAAUGGGGGUUGUAUAAUUUUGGGAUAUGAAACCUCUUAUGCUAGAUGGAGUAAAAUAAUUAUUCGGUUGCUUUAGACAUAAGCACAAUGAACUUUUAUUGAAGCAAUAAAAUAAAAUUUGAUAAAUCAUGAAGUGAUUUUCAUAAAAAAUUCUUGCAGUUCGUAAGAAAUUGAUAUUUCAAAAGAUGAACAACAUUUAUGCUUUUGACAAUAUUUUCUUUUAAAUGAAGACAAAGAAUGCUCACUUGUAUAGACAUAUACUAAUCAUGCCACAUCUUUUCAAUCGUUUUCAUCUAAAAGAACUAUUUGAUUGGUUUAGACAUAGCUAAACAUCAUGACUCCAGUAAGGUUCUUCUUUUUUCAUUGAAAAUUUAUUUUGUUAGAUGGAAAUUUAAUGUACCAAUGUUGUUAUAAUUCAUGAGCUAAAGCAAAAGAUAUCUAAGAUUAUAUUCAACAGAAACAAAUGACUUAUCGAUCAUUGAAAAGAAAAUAAAGUUUUAACCAUAAAAUUUUAUAAACAAUUCAAAAUAGCAGUAUUAUAAAAAAGGCAUGUUUGUAUAAAUCCACUUUACUAAAUGUAGCUUCAGCUACUUCAAUGUUAAGAUAUUAAAAUAAAAUCAUAGAAGUUUUAACAAAAAAAAAUAGCUAGUAAUUAGUGAUAGUAUAAAGAGGAGAAAAAAGAAAAAACCCCUAUAUUUUACUUCUUUCUUAAGGAGUAGCAGCUGCGGCAGCAUCCGCCGAUGUUGAAAUUGCAGCAGCACAAAAACUUCUUUGAAAUCUCAUAUGUACUAUUUUAAUAAAUAAUAGGACAUUUCUUUGGCCAUGAAAUACAAAGUGAGCACCUAAAAUAAAUAUUCAUAUGUGAAUGAUGAAGAGUUAUUGUUCUAUAACGUCAACAUGUUUUGAACUUAAAAAUAAAGCGCAAAAUCUUAUAUCCGUGCAAAAAAUGUUGUUUUACACAAAAGGGUACUUCUACCUAAAAUAAUUCUUUUGGUGAUUGAAAUUUUUUUUUAAAAAAUUAAGAAAUAGAAUUAUAAGUCAAAGAAAAAUCUAUUUUUAUUGAAGAAAAAUUUGACAUUCAUAUUUAAAUCAAAGAAAGAUCCACUUAAUUUCAAUGUUUAAGUCUCUUUUGAUUUGAAACCUAGCUUUCGUCUUUUCAAGAGUUGAUUUAAGAACAUAUUUUCAUAUAUUGACUUGUAUGAUCUCAAGAUUCGUUAAUGCAUUAAGGCAUAGUAAAAAAUAGUCUAUGUUGAUUAACAAAUAACUAAUCUGCUACCCUGACUUUGUAAGUAGCAGGGCAGUCAAGACUCUGUAUAUUACAACCUCUUAGUUAAGAAGCAGAGAGUCACUAACAAACCAUCCAUGUAAAAUGACUAGGAUAUAUAGUGUAGACAAUUCAACUUAAUAUAACAUCAUCUUACCUUCAAGUAUAGUCUAAUCCAGAGCCCCGACUUCUUUAUUAGCAAGAUAUUUGCCUUAAGAAGAGAUCAAAGAUAAAUCUUAAUAAUCUAAUUAGCAAAGCAAUGUUUCCUAUUCAGAUAAAGAAGUCGUUUCACAUUAGGAUUCAACAGAUGUGACUAAAAUACAAUAGGAAUCUAUAUGUAAGUUCUUUCAAGACACCUUCAUAGAGUAAGCCCCAACUAAUUUAGUAGAAAUAUUCCUAUAUAGAAUACUAAUUAGAAUGUGAAACAUCUAAUUCAUAGCCUCCUGUGGCUUCUUUUAUAAUUUAAGAUGCUUUCACAGAAACAAUAAUAACUCAAGGAGAAUUAAAUCAAUUGGCCUGCUAAUUUAUGCCGUGCAAAUGCUGCCUUUUGGUGACUCUCCCCAUUGCACCCAAAUCAUUCUUAGUAAUGGAGUUUUCAUUAAUCAACAAUAAAAUGUAUCUGUAAUAAUUUUAUCAUCUAAAUUUUGUCCUUACAAUUAUCGAGAGAUGAAAAUGAUAAGCAAAUUUUUUGUAGCUGAAGAUAAUUUAUUUAUUUUUAAAAAAGAAAUAAUCAAAUUGUGUAUAAUCAGAAUUAGAACGAUCAUAUUUUGAAAUUUGAAAAGAAUCCUCAAGCAAAUGGAAUUACAACCAUAAUUUAUUUUAACUAAAAGUUUGAUCUUUAAUUCAACAUCCUUGAUAUUCAGCCACCACAAUAACAACAAUAAUAUACCAAUAUAGUCCGACAAAGUAAGGUCUGAGAGUAUAGAGUGGAUGCAAACCUUACAUCUACCUCGGAUGUGAGAUAGAGAGUUGUUUUCGACGAAUUCUGACUCAAGGUAAAAACAUUCUGGAAUGAAAUUCAAUCACUAAAAUAGAAAAUCUGAAGAUAACUGGAAAGAAAUUCAGGAAUUUUUUAUACUCUUAAAGGUCGUUUGGUUGGAAAACAAGUUAUGAUGAAAUUAGUUAUACUGAGAUUAGUUGUUAUCGAAUUAGUUAUUCUGCUAUUAUUUUUCAGUGGUUUUUUGGUUUGUGAUAUUAAAAAUAAUAUGCAUUGCAUUCUUUCUUAAAAUAAAUAAUUUGUUUGCAAAAAUACUCUCACCUUAUUUCGCUUAAUUGUUUUUCUUCAUACUAAACCAUAAAAUAGAAAUUGAAAGUUACUAGUUUUUUUAUUAACUUUAGUAUUUUUUUCCUAAAAUACAUGUGAAGAAAUUUAUUCUUUUAUUAAAUGUGUAUGAAUCUUUAAUAUUUCAUGUUAAAAUUACUUAUUUUGUCCUAAAUUCUAUAAAAUGUGGAUAGUCCCAUUUUUUGUUAAAAAAAUUCAACAUAAAAAAAUGUGAAAAAGUAUUAAUCUCACUUUUCAUUAUUUAGUAUCAUUAAUAUUUGGAGAGUUAAAUUCUAUUUUAAAUAAAUUAAAUUUUCAAACAUUUUUAGCUAUAUAUAAAAAAUAAUUUCUUAUUUAAUAAUUAAGCAUGUACUAAGUUAGAAAGGGAAUGUUAAUAUACUUUAAUUACUUAUCCAUGAUAAAUUUAUUUGGAAAAAUAAAAUUUGAAAUAAGAUUAAUAAACAUUUCUACAAAAUAGACUGACAAAAAAUCCUUGGAUCAAUUUUGAAUUUGAUUGUAUAAAUAAUUUUUAUGGUGUCACUAUAUUUUUCUCAUGAAUCAUCACUUUUGUAGCAUUUAAUAAGUCCAAAUAAUUGUUCAAAUUUAUUAAAAUGGAUGAAAGUUUGUAGAAUAAUUAAAAAUUAAAUUAGGGAUAAAAUUGAUAAAAAAAUUGAUGCAAGGACUACUAAAAUGUCAAAUUCUCUCUUGUAUAUAGUAAUGAUUGUGGCACUAAAAGAAAGUUGAAGAUUUUGUUUUUUUGAAAAAUGGUGGAUAUUUCUAGAAAUAUUUUGGAGAAGAGAGGAUUUUUUUGGAAUGAGUUUAAUGAAUGCUGAAAAGACAAUUUUACCCUUGAUCGUCCUUGAACUCAUCUUUCUAUAUAAAAUAAUAAAUAAUAUAAAUAGGGUGAAACAAAACUGCAGUAAUGUAUAAGAUAAACCUAUACAUAAAAAAGUAAUAUGGAAUGUAUAGGAUAAAAAAUAGCGUGGCUAAGUAUAAGGUGUAACAUAUAACUGCAGGGAAAAAUAUGGAAAAUGGGUCAAACCAUAUAAAUUGCGUAACACAGACAACCCUUGUACAUAACCAUUACACGUAUAAGAUGAGAAAUACUUCAAGCCAUAUACAGACCACUGACAACCCUUAUACAUAACCCUUACAUGUAUAAAUAGCAGAAUGAGUCAACCAUAUACAUUGCAUAUCAAUGUAUAUGGAGUAGCAAUUACAGCAGAUCUCCCAAAAAGGUGCGUCUUUACCCUUAUGCAUAACAUAGCUAUGUAUAACAAUGUAUACGAGUGCAUAAAAUCGAAAAAAAUACAGAUUAAAAAAUAAAUCACAAAAAUUUUGAAAGCCGAGGUUGUCAUGAUUUUGAGAAUCAAGCACAUGCAACAAAGAAACUAUCAAAAUUUGAAGAAGAUGAUGAAAAAAAUAAACAAAUCGCUAGAUAUCUUAAAGUUGAAAAAAAAAUAAACAAACCUCAAAAAUAAAUUGAAGAAGAUGAUGAAGUUGAGUAAUCUAAUGAAAUAUAUUUUGAAAUUUGAAAUCUUGAAACCUCCAGAUAAUGCUAACUUAAUUUUACUCAUAUAUUAUAGAGCAUUAACCGAUCUAAAAGAGAUGCUUUUCUAUGUAUGAGGGUUUUGGAGAGAGAAAGUAUAUUAAUGGGAUAUUUGUAAUUAGUUUUGCCAAAUGAAAUUUUAUGUAAUAAUUGUAACUUAAAAUGUAUAUUUAUAUAAAUUUUAGUUUCUAAUAGUCGUAAGUUAGUACCUUCAGUUGGACUCAAGUUAGCCAUUUAUAACUUUAUUCAAAAUUUGCUAAGUACUAACCAAAAUUCAAAAUUUAUAGUUGGUUACUUAAAAUGAAUUAGUUUUAAAUAUUUAAAUAUCUCAUUUGGUGUCUCACACGCUUUUAAAGAAUCAUUUGUAAUUACUGCAUAUUAUUACUCAUUAUAUGCAUGUUUUCAUAGAAUUUUAAUCGUUCAAACAAAAAUGUUAUAUGAAAAAACUAGUGUAAAAGAAAUAGAGAAAAAUAAUAAAGAACCAACAAAAAUUGAUUCAAUUACUAUUUGUUGUAAUUGGUUGAUGAACUUUUAGGGAGUGAUUUGUUAAUUAGGUGUACUAUGUUAUGCAUGUGUUGGUCAUUUUAGCAGAGUUCUUGUUGAAUUAAGGACAAUGUUGGUUGAGAAAAUUGAAGAAAAUGUGUCUUUUAAGUCUUGAAUGAAGGAUUAAUGACACUGACUAACUUAAAGGGUUAAAAAUAAUUAGGAAACUUGAUUAAGUUAAUUGUGAACUUGAUUAAUAUUUUCAAAACUUUCUAAUUUUUUCAAAAAUACAAAUCAACCCACACCCCUCUCCUUUCCGAAUCAUCGACCGUCUCUCUCAUCUCUCUCUCUCGACAGCUUCGCUCAACUCUCUCCCAACCAACAGUUCUGUAAAAUUUCUUCCUUCAAUCCCUGAUGACUUCAACCUCCGGCAAUGAAUAGUCGCGCGAGUUCAUUUUCGACUUUCAACCGUCAAUCUUAUAACAGUAUUCUCCGGCGACAACAACCUAAUUCUUUUGUCAUAGGUAAAAAUUUAUGCCUUUUUAGUUUUGAAGAAAAAGAGAGAACUUGAGGCAACUUCUCUUCUAGUAUUUGUUAACAAUUUUAAUAUUUGUUACUUUAAUUUGAAAUGUGGACUAGAGAAAAUCCUAAUUUAAUUUUUGGCAUUUCUUCUCUACUCUUUCCGAAAUAUAAUUUUUUGUUGUUAUUGUAGUUCUUGUUGUCGAACUGUUGAUUCGAUUGUUUGGUGUCUAUUGAGUUUUUUAAAGUUUACUUUUUAUUGUUUGUAUUUGUACAAACGUAAAACAACAAUGUUGGUGAUUUUUGGUCACCGUUGAUAUUCUUAUUCUUAGUGUGUGUUGUGUUGGUGUUGCUGGAUUGAUUUUUUUAUUUUUCCUGAUAAAAAUAUUGUAUUUGAUAUUAAAUGGUGAUAGUACUGUUAUUCUAUUGAACAAAAUCCUGAUACUAUUUUUUUCCACAACAGAUGCAAAUCUGAUGCAAUAGAUAAAAAAUCUAGUGCAACAGAUAAAAAAUCUGGUCAACAGAUGAACAAUAUGAUGCAACAGAUGAAUCAUCUGAAGCAGCAGAUAGACUAUCUGAUGCAACAGAUGAAUAUCUGAUGCAACAGAUGAAAAUCUCAUGCAACAUAUGAGCAUCUGAUGCAAAGAUGAACAUUUAAUACAAUAGAUGAACAGUCUAACAGAUCGUUCAUCUGCUGCGAUAGACGACUCUUCUGUUUGGAAGAAAUUUAAACAAUGUUGACAGUUGAUAGUAGUUCCAACAGAUAACUCAUUUGGCAACAUAUAAGUGAUCUGUUUUAAAAGAUGAGUGAUCUGUUAUAAUUAUUCCAAUGGAUUACUCAUCAGUUGCAACAGGUUGGUUAUAUGUUGCAACAGAUAACCUUUCUGGUACAGCAGAUAAGUGAUCUACUUUUAUUAUUUCCAAUGGAUUACUUAUUCGUUGCAACAGGUUGGUUAUAUGUUGCAACAGAUAAACUACCUGGUACAACAGAUGAGUGAUCGUUUUUUAUUGUUUUCAAUAGUUUACUCAUCCGUUACAAUAGGUCGAUUAUAUGUUGAAGCAGAUAACAUACCCGGUGCAACAGAUGUGUGAUCUGUUGGACCUGUUAUUUGACUAUUGUACAUGUUAGAUUUACUUUAUUGUAAUCUUUUUUUAACAAUGUAUUAAUCAAUUAUAAUCUAUUUUAUGUUCCUGUUAAUUUAAAAUAAUAUGGCUCCCAAAAGUAGAGCUGUUAAUAUGGGUCGGCCCAACCCAUCCGAUCUAGCCCACAUGGGCCUUGAGUUUGACGGGUUAGGCCGGGAUGGCCCAUCAAAAUGAUGGGCCAAAAAACACCAAGACCACAACAUUACUUUAUGGGCUGCGGGCCUCACGGGCCAGCCCACUUCUUAAAAAUAAUAUUUUAUAAUUUAAAUUUAGAAUGUUAAUAAACAUAAAUAUUACCAGACAAUAUUACAUAUGUUAUGAAAUAUAAAAGCAAGAACAAGAAAAUGUAAAACAAGAACAAGAAUAAAUAGAAAGAGAAGAGGGAGUAAUUCUUUAUUUAUCUUUAGGAUGAGAUAUCAUCAGAUUGUUCAGAAUACAAGGAACAAAACCCCUCUAUUUAUAGGGGAAAAUACUCCUAGUUUCUGACUAAAAGACAAAUAUUUUAAAUCCUGAUAGAUUCCAACUAGAUCUUGAUAGAUCUUAUUAGAUCUUGAUAGACAUUCACUAUAAUGUAAAUACAUUUAUAACAACAUAGUGUUAAUACUUUUUAAUCAAGUCUUCAACACCCCAAAAAAUACUCCUAAUUGAGAGAUUAAACAACUUUUGAUAUGAUAUUCUUCAAACUAAAUAAAAAUACUAAUAAGCAAUCUAAAUAGUUGUAUGUAUUUGACUUACGGGCCAGCCCACGGGCUAGCCCAACCCACAUUGCUCAAGACCCACGGGCUACGGGUUUAUCCAAGACAGGCUAAAAAGCCCUGUUCUUAAAUGGGCUGCAAAAACUAAAGCCCAAUUUCAUUAAAUUAUAGACUGGGUCAGGCCAGCCUAACGGGCCUGACCCAUAUUGAUGGCUCUUCCUAAAAGAAAAAAAUCGAAUCAAGUCCAAGUAAAGGAACAAAUAAAGCAGCUAGGCUCUAUGCAUCACUCUAUGAGCAUGCUUUACAAAUGUUAUCUCAAUCAGGAGCAAAUGAUAAUGAAUAUGGGGAUGAGGAUCGUUUCAAAAGAGAUGAUCCAAAUGCUAAUAGACCUUCCACCAAAGAGUUGGUCAAAAUCUUCAACAAUGAUCUUUAUCCUGUGAGAAUGCAGUCCGAUGAUGACACAAAUUUAAUAGGUGAUUUCAUAGUUAAGUCAGCCAUGAGAAAAUUUUUUGACGCCUUCAGAAAAAUACUUUGAGAAAAAAAUUAAAUUCUUAUUUCAGGGAAAGCUGCUUUGGGCAAUAUCUUGAUUUGUCGGAGGACAACAAUGCUCAUUUUUAAAUGAAAAUGGUAUAUGAUCUUCUCAAUCGUAGGUUGACGUAUGAAAACAAAGAUAAAAUAGAUGAGGUAUGGGUAAAUUACUAUAGCAUGCCUGUUUGUUUUGGUUGUAAGGAGUUUGCCAUAGUUACUAUACUAAAAUAUUAUCCUCCUUCUCCUUCUCAAGUUAUACCUACUCUAACCCAAAAAAGCACCCCACACACCCAAAAACGUCAAAGGCAAGUCGAAUGAUCGUGAUGACUUGGUGUCCAUUUUUGGUCUAAGAUUCAAAAACAACAAUUUGACAGAAGCGUUGAAAGGUAAAAGACUUUCAAAGAAGCACACACAAUUAUUAUGCUUGGUUUGGUUGGUACAUAAUAUUCUUUGGGCGAGAGACAUUAGCAACAACACAAGCCUUGAUUUAAUAAAUCUCUCUGAGGAUCUUGAGGCAUUUAACAGUUAUCCUUGGGGUCAUGAAAGCUUCAAAAUGACUGUCAAAUAUUUAUUGACUCAUUAAUACCAAAGACAGUCAACUUAUAUGACUUUCCAUGGGCUUUCAUGGUAAAUAUUUCUUUUAUUAUGAUAUGAUUCAUUUUUUAUUCAAUAAUGCUUUUAAUUUAUUGGCGUUAUGUUAUAGGCUUGGGCAUUUUAAGCCAUUCCUUAUUUGAGACAACAAGUGAACUACCAGGAAGAAGUUUUUUGUCCAAGAAUCUUGAGAUGGUUGUUGGCCAAAAGUGAUAAAAAUAUAAAAUUUCUUGAUCUUUUCAAUCCCCCAAAGGAAGCAGUAAGUCUAAUUCUAAUCAAGCUUUUGUUUUAAUUAAUGAUUAAUUUAAAUGAUUUCAUCAUCAUUCUAAUAUAUGUAUUGAUUUAUUUUAGAUUGUCCAUUCGUGGUUUGUUCCAACCAAUCGAGAGUUAAAGAUGUCAUUUUUUUUUACUUUACAGACUGUGCAAACUUUAUCGGACUCUAAGGUCAUUGAUAGAAUAAAAAUAGAAUUAUUUAGAGAAACAAAUAGUACAAGAAAAAUAAUUUUGGAGGUGGGCUUGUUGUUGUUAAUGAUGAUAGUGGCAGUGGUAGUGGUGCUGCUGUUGGGGCUAAUGAUGCUCCUCUUACAGUUUUUGAAACAACAAACCAUUAUGAUUAUGAUCAUACUAGUUAUACAGAUUUUGCCACUUAUAAUAAAUGUUCUGCAUGCAAAUAUCAAGACUGCAAGGCGAAACAUGAUGGGGUGAUAAAUGCUAUUAAUGCACUAACUAUUUCUGUAAAGAAAAUGACAUCUAAGAGGGGUGUUAUUCCAUCAAAGAGGAUUUCAUAUCCAUACACUCCACUAGAGAUCAAAGUGGCUAAGAGGAGAAGGAAAGAUAUUUCCAAGGCAUCAUGAAGCAGCAAAAAAAGCAAAAUUGCAAUGACUCUGUCUUUGUCUUGCACCAUUAUUCAAUGUAUAAGGUCCACAAGAGAGCAGCAUUAGCUGAAAAAGGUGAAUGCAUAUCACCUGUUCCAACAAACAAACAAGCAUAUAUCUGUUUCAACAGAUGACAACUCCUGAAAAUUAUCAAAUAGAUAUAUACAUCUGUUGCAACUGUUAUCUAACCUAUUACAUCUGAUGUGUUAUCUGGUGCAACAUAUGUCCGUCGGUUUCAGCAAAUCAAACAGGUUUUUGUACUAUUUUAAUUUCUACCAACAGAUGAGUCUUAUGUUGCAACAAAUGGGUCAUCUGCUCGAAAUUAUCAUACUGCUCUAUUUUACCUAUUUGAAUUCAUCCCAACAGAUGAUCCAUCUGUUGCAACAUAAGAUUUAUCUGUUCCAAUAGAUAGACAAUCUAUUGUAUAUCUGUAAUUAGCAUUGACAAUUUUGGCUUUCCAGGUGGAUAUCACAGUAGAAGCUACUGCUGAACAACAUAAUAUCACAGUUGAUAAUCCAUUAACUGUUUCCAAAGAAGAAAAAAAAAGUGGAGCCUGUUAGUUCAGGAGAAUGAAAGAAUUAUCCGUUUGAAGGGUUCAACAUCUCGGACGAGGCUCCAAAAAAAUUGACAAAGUUGAUCAACGACUAUUUAGAAUGGACUGUCGAUAGGCUGUAAAGGCAUCAUGACGACAGGUACAUAAAUCAAUUUUAAAGAUAUUCAUUUAUACAAUUCUUGUUGUAAAAAUAUGACAUCAACAUAAAUAAAUCAUCAUUUAGAAAAUAAAAUGACAAACACUACAAAGUGAACGAAUCGAGUCUUGGUUUUGAUACAUUUGACUUUAUUGUUGCACAUUCCGGAAUAAGGAAUUGGUUCUAUUUGAUAUCACAACCCAAACUUGCUGAAAUGAUGAGGUUUAAAUGUCAUACAUAUUACUAUUAAUUAAUACUUUAUUUAAUUGCAUUUGUGUAUUAAUUUUUUUGUCACGUAAUCUAAAAUAUUUGAUAAUAUGUGCAGCACAUUGAUGUCAUUUUUUACUACCUCCGAAAGAAGGCCAAGUUUCAAAUAUAAGAAUAAUACAGAUACAUGACAGGCAAUUAUUUGUACAAAGUUUACAUCAAUAAUGCCUACGAUAGGUAUUGUCAAUAAUAGCCGAAAGUUUUCCAAAAUGAGGAAUGCUUAAUCAACAUCAUCAAAGGUUUUAUCAUUCCAGCUAACUUACCUUGACAUUUGGUCAAUGAAGUGUACAUCCUAAUCAAUUGUGGUGAUAAAUUCCAUUAGGUGCUGGCUGUCAUUGUUCAAAGAGAGUCGUCUCCGAGUUUAUGACUCGAUGUCGCGAAGGAGACGUUCUGGUCCAUUAUCUGAGAUACAAAAGAUGGCCAAAAUAUUGCCUACUUACCUUGAUAUGAGUGGCUUUUUGGAUCAAAAAGUUCAUACUGAUUGGUCGACGAUUGAAGCAUACCAGGAUAAAAUAGGUAAUCCAUUUGAUGUACAAUAUGUUGAAAGAAUUGCUCAAGAAACCAUUGGUAGAUUGUAAGUAUAAGUAUCAUGAUUUAGUUUUAUUUCAUAAAUUUUACAACACUUACAUGAACUGCAAGAUAUGAAUUAUUUAUUUUUGUAAAAGCAGGGAUUGUGGUCUUUUUGUUGUCGCUUAUACCAAGUAUUUGUGUGAUGGAUUACAAGUACCAAAUGAUGGACUUGAUGCCGGAUUACUCCGCAAAAGAUAUACUUCUCUUUAAUGGAAAUACAGAGAAGCAAAAACUCAAAAACCGUACGUAGGCGACAUUAAAGAUCCGCGACGAUCAAAGCCAAAUUUUGUAGCACCUGAUGAAGAACAACUUGUCCAUAUUGAGUAGAUCUUUAUAGCUUGAGUCCGUCAAUGUAAUAACCUAUCAAUGUAAUAACCUAUCCUCCUUGGUUAACUUGUUGAUUUAUUUGUAAAGUAGAUCAUUUGUACCCAAAAUUUUUUCUUUUACAUUUUAUUUAUUUGUUGAGUUAUUUCAUGUAAUUUUCGAAGGCUUCAAUUUAUUUUAUAUUGUCUAUGAAUAUAAUUUAAUCCUUAGUUUUGAACUUGUUAAUUGAAAUAGAAUACUAGAUUCAAAUAUCGCAACAGAUAAUACAUCUGCUGCAACAGACGACAUAUCUUAUCAAACAGAUUUAGACAUAUAUUGCAACAUGUAGGUCAUCUGCUGGAAAUUAUAUAAUAGGUCUUCCUACUUUUUUGAUUUGUUCUAAUAAAUUACCUAUCAAUUGCAACAGAUAGAUUAUCUGUUGCAACAAAUUAUAUAUUUGUUGCGAUAGACAAACUGAAAAGCAUCUGCAUAAUGCAACAAAUGACCAACCUAUUGCAAUAGAAAAUAAAUCUGUCACAACAGGUAUGAUAUCUAUUACAACAGAUAGACAAUCUGUUGCAUUAUAAAAAUUCAACUUUCUUCAGACAUAAAAAAUUGUCACUACAUGUAAAGUGAAGUGGCUUGAAAUAAAAUAUUAUUAUUGUAUUCAUAUCUGUCUUUGUUCAUAUUCUUCUUUAUACACAGGCUCCAACCAUUUAGUUAGUACCCCAUAAGCCCAGACCUCUUGCAUUUUUUCCACAAUGGCGUCGCACAUACCGACCAUUUUUGUGCCGGUCAGCAAACACUCAAUGUAUGCAAGCGAGUACGACCCACACGCGAUAGCGGUUUUAUUUGUUUGAAGGUGGAUGUUCUUUUUUCGACCUUGAAAAUCCCAUGAUUUCGUCAUCAAGACUUCCGCCGGUAAUUGAUCCAUCAGUUUACUCUGCGUCAACAACUUGGGGAACAACUUCAAGAGUGGCUGCACGUAGGUUAAAAAUGUGGCCUCGUUGAAGAUAGCUAAGUUGAAUUCAUAAACCUUAAUCUUUUCCUCAUCGAGUAGUAUCUCAAUAGUGAGAAAAUGUUUGACUUCCACGGUCAUGACUGCAAGGAUUUUAUUUACCUUGGUCUAACUUUUGUCGUGUGGAUAUGUCCUCUUCUCUCUAACAUAGUUAAUCAUGUCUUCAUUCCAUUUGAAUAUAGAAAAUAGCUGAUCAAAUCCCGGGCCAUUGGGAGCAGCUUACCUACAGAGAUUAUCGUACCUACUCUUGAAAUUAUUGUAGAAGUUGAGAUUCAUUAUCUAUCGGUACCAUCAUAAGCAUCUGGGUACGCUAAUUGCCCGCCCCUCAUAAGACAUAAAAUUUCAUUAACAUACUGUUCUAUAAGAUGUGCUAUAAGAAGACAACUUUUAAAUAGUUAGUAAUUGUAAAGAAGAAAAAUACGGUGGAAAGAUUCUGUUGCAGAUGGUUCUCUAAAUCAGUUCACAAAUUACCCAGCUAACACAACUUAUGCAACGGAUGGGUAAUAUGUUGCAAUAGAAUACUCAAUUGUUGCAAUAGAUUACACAUCUAUUGCGUAGCUUCUUUUUCAUGGAGUAGAUUGGAAGGCUGGGUUAGCAAAAGUAAACUUACAUUGUCCAUGUACCACUCACGCAUAUUUGUCAUAGUCAUAAAAUCUUGGGCGGCAAAUAAAUGCAAAGUGUAUUCUUGUGGAGGUUUCAUCUCACCAGUCAUGAUUUUUUCUAGUUUCUUCUUCUUUUUGUCGCCAAGUACCACGUAUAUGUCCACAUUCUUCAGCGUCCCCUGAAUUUCAACAACUCUUGGAGCGAGAGGAGUUAUAGUUUUUUCUGUUUUUAGAAUGAAGAGUAUUUGGCUAAUGUUUCUUAUCUUCCUCCAAACCACCACUGUAGGAGUGUAUAACUCUCUCGCCUUUUGGAUGGUAUGAAACCCCUAUUGGAUUUCAACUCCUCGACAGCUUCAGCAAUAGCCUCUAGUUUUUUAAGGAGUUUAUCCUCUCUAUCCUUGCAUACUUUGCAUUUGUAAUGAGAAUAUAAGGGUGAAGAGGCGUGAGAGGGACCACUGUGAGGGUGGGAGUGUAACACCCCGUAUUCAAGUACGUGUAUUGGCGUAUUCAAGUACGUGUAUUGGUCUUAUUUAUAUGGAAUUAUUUUUUUUAUUUAUACCAGAAUUUACCCGUCGAUGGUUUUAUGUGAAGGUUAUUGAAUAAGCUUUUCAACGAUAUAAAGAUUUUAAAAAACAAAUAAAUUUUGGAUAUAAUCGAACACGUUCAAAACUAUAAAAGGGUGGCCGGGAUAUUUGGGAAUAGUAAAUGUGCAGGAAAAUUUCCUGCACACAAACUACUGAGGCCAGCCAAAUUUUUGGGUCAACUUAGAACGAUCAUAACUCCCUUAAUAUAAUGAACUGGGAGAGCUGUGACCUAUGAAAAGAAAUAUCUUUGAGUCUUCUUUCCAAUUCAAUUGGUUUCAUCAAAAUCCAAUGUCUGAGUAUGGAGUUAUACUCAUUUUACUUCGCUUAUCAAAACAAAUUUUUAGGGUCAACUUCAAACGAUCAUAACUCCUUGUACAGAAUGAAGUGGGUGGCCUAUCUUAUAUGAAAUGAAAUGUCUUUGAAUUAUCCUUCCAAUUAUUCCAAUUUCACCCAAAUCCGAUAUCAGAUCAAAGAGUUAUGGUCGAUCUACUUUAGCUUAUCAAAAUAGUCCACCAAAAGGACAGAUUUGACAUUAUUUAAAUUUUAAAGGCAUUUAAAUUUUAAAGGCAUUUUGGUCAUUUCCUAUUAUAUUAUGGACAAGAAUAUGUGUAUAUAUACAUGUAUAUGAGUUCAAAAACUCAUUUUCAUCAUCAAUCAUUGAGAAAGAACAAACCCUAGCCAAAUUUGACCUUUAAAUUACUUUUGAUUCAACCGUAGAAAUUCCAAAGUAAUCCGAUAACUGCGUUUGUCAUCUCGAGAGCUUCGAACGACACCUAUUAUUUAUGCAAACAGGAUUGCAUAAUCAAGAGGUGAAUUCUAAGGUAUGAAUAUUGUUUGCCUUUGUUCUUUUCCAUAUGUAUAUGUGUGAUAGAGGAUUAUAUGUAUUGGUUGUUAUUGAAAGGUGAUGAAAAUAGGAUUAUGGACUAUUUUGCAUGGUUUGAUUGUAUUNNNNNNNNNNNNNNNNNNNNNNNNNNNNNNNNNNNNNNNNNNNNNNNNNNNNNNNNNNNNNNNNNNNNNNNNNNNNNNNNNNNNNNNNNNNNNNNNNNNNNNNNNNNNNNNNNNNNNNNNNNNNNNNNNNNNNNNNNNNNNNNNNNNNNNNNNNNNNNNNNNNNNNNNNNNNNNNNNNNNNNNNNNNNNNNNNNNNNNNNNNNNNNNNNNNNNNNNNNNNNNNNNNNNNNNNNNNNNNNNNNNNNNNNNNNNNNNNNNNNNNNNNNNNNNNNNNNNNNNNNNNNNNNNNNNNNNNNNNNNNNNNNNNNNNNNNNNNNNNNNNNNNNNNNNNNNNNNNNNNNNNNNNNNNNNNNNNNNNNNNNNNNNNNNNNNNNNNNNNNNNNNNNNNNNNNNNNNNNNNNNNNNNNNNNNNNNNNNNNNNNNNNNNNNNNNNNNNNNNNNNNNNNNNNNNNNNNNNNNNNNNNNNNNNNNNNNNNNNNNNNNNNNNNNNNNNNNNNNNNNNNNNNNNNNNNNNNNNNNNNNNNNNNNNNNNNNNNNNNUAUUUAUACCGGAAUUUGCCCGUCGAUGGUUCCAUACGAAGGUUAUUGAAUAAUCUUUCCAAUGAUAUAAAGAUUUCCAAAAACGGAUAAGUUUCGGAUAUAAUCGAGCACGUUCGAAACUAUAAAACGGUGGCCGGGAUGUUGUGAACAGUAAAUGUGCAGGAAAAUUUCCUGCACACAAACUACUGAGGCCUGCCAGUUUUUUGGGUCAACUUUGAACGAUCAUAACUCCCUCAAUAUAAUGAACUGGGAGAGCUACCACAUAUCAAAAGAAAUAUCUGUGAGUCUUCUUUCCGAUGCAAUUGGUUUCAUCCAAAUCCAACAUCUGAGUAAGGAGUUAUACUCGUUUUACUACAGCCUCUCAAAACAGAUUUUUAGGGUCAACUUCAAACGAUCAUAACUCCUUGUACAGGACGAACUGGUGGCCUAAUUUAUAUGAAAUGAAAUCCCUUUGAAUUAUCCCUUUGGGUCGAUCCCUAUUUAUGUGUUUAUGGGUGGUAUCCCAGGGGCAUAAGCCUAUCAUGGGUCGAUCCCAGUUUAUAUGUACUGGAGGCAGCCUAAUGGUCACAGUACAGUACAGUAAUGAUUACAAAGAUGAUAAGAACGAAGGUAAAGUGAUUGAAUAAAUACAAUGUACAGGUUGUCACAAGUUCUAGUAAGUAUGGUCCACUCCUAUUACGAUUUAUUCACUUGUUUCUGAUUUAUAUUGAGCUCCUAUAUCAUAUGUGAUUAUCUACAGCUUUACAUACUCAGUACAUAUUUCGUACUGACGUUCCUCAUGGGGGACCUGCAUUUCAUGCUGUAGGCACAGGUAUCUUAACUCAUACACGGCACAAGUAGGAGCCAGGAUAUCCAGCUGCUUUUGGUGAGCUCCAGUUUGCUUCGCGUCUUUCCAUGUCAAAUCCAGUCACUUUUGGUAUUGUAUAGAAGUUAGUUAUCUGGCGGGGUGUGUCNNNNNNNNNNNNNNNNNNNNNNNNNNNNNNNNNNNNNNNNNNNNNNNNNNNNNNNNNNNNNNNNNNNNNNNNNNNNNNNNNNNNNNNNNNNNNNNNNNNNNNNNNNNNNNNGUAUAUACAUAUAUAUGUGUGCUCGAGCUUAUACAGGUGAUUAUUUGCUUUUAUAUGCGACAUAAUGCUGUCCGAAUUUUGGGUUGUCAUAGAGGUAUACAUGGGAAGUAUAAGGUUAUGAGCUGGUUCUCCUAGGCCUUCUUGGUGCCAGGUGCCAGUCCACCCCAAUAGGAUUUGAGGCGUGACAAAGGUGCUAUCAGAGAAGUUCGUCCUAGUGAGUCUACAAAGCUGGGUCUACAUAGAGUCUUGUUUAUCGGUGUAUCAUGCAUCGUAUCUAUAAACAGGAGGCUAUGGACAUUUAGGAAUUGUUUCUUUUCUUCAUGUCUUAGAUCGUGCGAUAGAGCCUAUAUUGUAUAUGAAGUCAUAGUUGACCACUGAAUUCGUUUGUUUCUCUUAUUAUAGUAAUGAUGCCGGUUACCAGAAGCAAGAAUACCGGUAAACAAGUAGAUAUGGCUGCCGGAGAGGGGACUAGUAAGUCACCUACUAUACCAACUAAUCAAAGUGAGGCUCCAGUUGAGCAUGCAUCAGAAAAUCCUUCCACUUUAGAAGAAAUAAGGGGGAGGAGAACUAUAUCCUCAGAGCCACCUAUUAAUGCUGUUGAUCAAGAUCUUAGAAAUGCAGUGCAACUUUUGACUCAUAUGAUUGCUGGGCAAGCUCAAGGGCAAGCUAUUCCUACCACGGGUCCUAGUGGUACAGAUAGGUCGGCUAGCCUUCGAACACAGGAUUUUCUUAAGAUGGAUCCUCCCACUUUUACUGGAUCAGAUCUUAAUGAGGACUUACAGGACUUUAUUGAUCAAAUUCGAAGGGCCUUAGAUGUUAUGCAUGUAAUGGGUAGAGAGAUAGUGGAGUUAGCGGCGUAUAAAUUCAAAGGGAAGGCUAUAUAUUGGUACGAGGACUGGAAAUGAUCUAUGGGUAUUGAUGCACCCCUAGCUACUUGGAAAGCGUUCAAAGAGGCAUUUCUUGAUCAUUAUCUUCCAUUUGAGAUUCAUCAGGCCUGUGCAAAUCACUUUUUAAAUCUUUAUCAGGGGAAUAUAAGCGUGAGGGAGUACAGUCUCUGAUUUAAUUCCUUGUCGAGAUAUGCUCCUAAUAUUGUAGCUACUAUGGAUGACAGAGUUCAUCAAUAUGUGGAUAGGCUAGAUCCAUAUAUGGUUAGAGAUUGUACUAUUGCAGCUUUGAACAAAGAUAUGGACAUAGCGAGGAUCCAAGCUUUUGCACAGAAAAUGAAAGAUCAGAGGCAGAGGAGAAGAACAAAGGAAUUAGAAAGACGAUAUUCCAAAAGGGCCAGAUCUACAGGGCAGUUUAUGGCAUCCCAAGGAGGGUUCAGACCACAGUUUUCUGCUAGACCACCUAGGCCAUUAUCUUCUUAUUCUGUAGCUAGUUCCCUACCACAGUUCCAAGGGUCUAGAGGAAAUCAAUUUGGGCACAGAAGUGAGAGUCAGAGUUCGUGGACAGUGGGGUACCAGGGCAAGGGAAUAUAAGCCAAUCGAGACCUCCUCGAGAGCCAUGCAAUAAAUAUGGAAGGUAUCAUUUAGGCGCAUGUCACUGGGGACCAAUGUUUGCUUUUGGUGCGGUAUGUCGGAGCAUAUGAUGAGAGAAUGUCCACGAAGGGGCAUAGGGGGUAUGGCAUGACCUAUGGGGUCAUUUGUUGCAUCAUCAUCAUUGAUGCCUUAUUCAGGAAGGGGUGCACAACCAAUGGGUCGUGUUAGAGGUGAUAGAGGAGCCACGAGUUCUAGCGGGGCUCAAAAUCGUAGUAUACUCUAGAAGAUCGACAAAAUUUAGAGGCUUCCCCAGAUAUGGUUACGGGUACGUUGUCUAUCUUUUCAUUCGAUGUAUAUACCUUAAUUGAUCCCGAUUCUACAUUAUCUUAUGUUACUCCAUUGUUUGCUGGAAAGUUUGAAAGAAUACCCGAACUAUUAGUUAAGCCAUUUAAAGUGUCCACACCGGUUGGGGAAUCUAUUAUAGCUAAAAGGGUUUACCAAAAAUGCAUAGUAACUAUUUGUGGUCGUGAUACGAUGGCUGAUCUCAUGGAGUUAGAAAUGGUAGAUUUUGAUAUUAAAUGGGUAUGGACUGGUUGGCGUCUUGUUAUGCCACAAUUGUUUGCUGCACGAAAAAGGUAUAUUUCUAUUUUCCAAAUAAACCAGUCCUUGAAUGGAAAGGUGAAAUUGGCGCGCCAAGAGGUAGAUUUAUUUCUUAUUUUAAGGCAAGAAGAAUGAUUUCCAAGGGAUACAUAUAUCAUUUAGUUAGAGUAAGGGAUACAGAAGCGGAGCCACUAACUCUUCAGCUGUUCCGAUGGUAAAUGAAUUUUCUAAUGUAUUUCCUGAAGAUCUUCUAGGUUUGCCUUCUGAACGAGAAGUAGAGUUUGGUAUUGAUGUAAUACCAGGCACCCAACUAAUCUCCAUUCCUCCGUAUAUAAUGGCCCCAACAAAAUUACGAGAAUUGAAGGAGCAAUUGAAAGAUUUGCUAGAGAAGGGAUUUAUAAGGCCUAGUAUGUCCCUCUGUGGAGCACCAGUGUUAUUUCAAGAAUUGAUGAUUUAUUUGAUCAGUUACAGGGCGCCAAGUGCUUUUCUAAGAUUGAUUUGAGGUCAGGUUACCACCAAGUGAGGGUCAAAGAAAAAGAUAUACCCAAAACAGCUUUCCGAACAAGGUAUGGUCAUUAUGAGUUUCUAGUUAUGUCAUUUGGGCUAACAAAUGCACCCGCAGCUUUUAUGGAUUUGAUGAAUAGGGUUUUUAAGCCAUUCCUGGAUGUAUUUGUGAUAGUUUUUAUAGAUGAUAUUCUAGUUUAUUCUAGAUCAGAAGAGGACCAUGCCAAUCACUUACGACAGGCAUUGCAGACUCUUCGUGAUUGUAAGCUUUAUGCAAAGUUCUCUAAAUGUGAGUUUUGGUUAAAGUCGGUGGCAUUUUUGGGUCAUAUUGUAUCUAGUGAAGGGAUAAAGGUUGAUGCUCAAAAGAUAGAAGCUGUGAAGAACUGGCCAAGGCCCACAACGCCUACGGAGAUUCAUAGUUUUCUCGGGUUGGCCGGUUAUUAUAGAAGGUUUUUUGAAGGCUUUUCUUCCAUUUCAACACCCUUAACCAAGCUAACCCAUAAAGCAUCCAAAUUCCAAUGGAAUGAUGCCUGUGAGGAGUUUUCAAGAUUUAAAGAACAAGUUGAUUUCUACACUAGUGUUGGCACUUCCAGAAGGUACCGAAGGGUAUACAGUGUAUUGUAAUGCUUCCAGAAUUAGUUUUGGAUUUGUAUUGAUGCAGCAUGGUAAGGUAAUAGCAUAUGCUUUUAGACAAUUGCGGCCACAUGAAAAAAUUAUCCUACACAUGAUCUUGAGUUGGCAGCAGUUAUUUUUGGUUUAAAGAUAUGGUGCCAUUACUUAUAUGGGGUUUAUGUUGAUAUAUAUACUGACCAUAAGAUCUUGCAAUAUAUUUUUAAUCAGAAGGAUCUAAAUUUAAGGCAGCAGAGAUGGCUUGAACUAUUAAAGGACUACGAUGUUGAUAUCUUGUACCAUUCAGAGAAAGAAAAUGUGGUAGCUGAUGCGUUAAGUCGUAAGGCUAUGAUGGCGCCUAUAGAAAGGCAAGGGAUGAUUAAAGAUCUUCACCAGUUAGCUAGUUUGGGAGUUCGCCUUCUUGAAACUUUGGAUAAAGAGCUUAUCGUACAUAAUGCUGCAGAAUCUUAUUAGUAGCUAAAGUGAAAGAGAAGUAAUAUGCAGAUCCUAUUUUAUUACAGCUUAAGGAGAAAUUUUAGAGUGGUACGACCAAGGCAUUUGAGCUUACGCAAGAAGGAGUACUUCAGUGUCAAAACCGAUUGUGUGUGCUAGAUGUAGACGGGCUAAGAAAGAAUAUUAUGACAGAGACACAUUGUUCAAGGUAUUCCAUUCAUCUAGGAUCAAACAAAAUGUAUCAAGAUUUGAAAGAUAUGUAUUGGUGGAAAGACAUGAAGAAGAGCAUUUCAGAAUUUUUAGCUGAAUGUCCAAAUUUUCAAAGAGUUAAAGUUGAGCACCAAAAACCCGGAGGUUAUAUGCAAUGCAUUGAUCUUCCAAGCUGGAAGUGGGACAUGAUCAACAUGGAUUUUGUUAUUGGUUUACCUCGUACAUCUCGGAAUUUUGAUUCUAUAUGGGUGAUUGUUGAUAGCCUUACCAAAUCCAUACAUUUCCUACCAGUUAGGACCACUUACACAGUUGAAGAGUAUGCAAAGCUGUACAUUAAAGAGAUAGUCCGAUUACAUGGAGUGCCAAUUUCUCUUAUAUCAAAUUGGGGAACCCAAUUUACCACAAACUUUUGGAAGUCUUUUCAGAGGUGUUUGGGAAAACAAGUGAAGUUGAGUACAACUUUUCACCCUCAAACAGAUGGACAAGCAGAACGUACCAUCCAAAUACUUGAAGAUAUGCUACGAGCUUGUGUAAUAGAUUUUAAGGGCAACUGGGAUGAUCAUUUACCUCUUAUUGAGUUUGCCUACAAUAAUAGCUAUCAUUCAAGUAUCAAAAUGGCACCAUAUGAACCUUUAUAUGGAAGGAAGUGUAUAUCACCAAUAGGAUGGUUCGAAGUGGGUGAAACUCUUUUAUUCGGACUGGAUCUUGUUUAUCAAGCAAUAGAGAAGGUUAAAGUAAUUCAGCAACGACUGAAAACAGCCCAAAGUCGACACAAGUCAUAUGCGGAUAGUAGAAGGAGAGGGCUAGAGUUUUCUAUAGGUGAUUGGGUAUUUUUGAAGGUAUCACCAAUGAAAGGGGUAAUGAGAUNNNNNNNNNNNNNNNNNNNNNNNNNNNNNNNNNNNNNNNNNNNNNNNNNNNNNNNNNNNNNNNNNNNNNNNNNNNNNNNNNNNNNNNNNNNNNNNNNNNNNNNNNNNNNNNNNNNNNNNNNNNNNNNNNNNNNNNNNNNNNNNNNNNNNNNNNNNNNNNNNNNNNNNNNNNNNNNNNNNNNNNNNNNNNNNNNNNNNNNNNNNNNNNNNNNNNNNNNNNNNNNNNNNNNNNNNNNNNNNNNNNNNNNNNNNNNNNNNNNNNNNNNNNNNNNNNNNNNNNNNNNNNNNNNNNNNNNNNNNNNNNNNNNNNNNNNNNNNNNNNNNNNNNNNNNNNNNNNNNNNNNNNNNNNNNNNNNNNNNNNNNNNNNNNNNNNNNNNNNNNNNNNNNNNNNNNNNNNNNNNNNNNNNNNNNNNNNNNNNNNNNNNNNNNNNNNNNNNNNNNNNNNNNNNNNNNNNNNNNNNNNNNNNNNNNNNNNNNNNNNNNNNNNNNNNNNNNNNNNNNNNNNNNNNNNNNNNNNNNNNNNNNNNNNNNNNNNNNNNNNNNNNNNNNNNNNNNNNNNNNNNNNNNNNNNNNNNNNNNNNNNNNNNNNNNNNNNNNNNNNNNNNNNNNNNNNNNNNNNNNNNNNNNNNNNNNNNNNNNNNNNNNNNNNNNNNNNNNNNNNNNNNNNNNNNNNNNNNNNNNNNNNNNNNNNNNNNNNNNNNNNNNNNNNNNNNNNNNNNNNNNNNNNNNNNNNNNNNNNNNNNNNNNNNNNNNNNNNNNNNNNNNNNNNNNNNNNNNNNNNNNNNNNNNNNNNNNNNNNNNNNNNNNNNNNNNNNNNNNNNNNNNNNNNNNNNNNNNNNNNNNNNNNNNNNNNNNNNNNNNNNNNNNNNNNNNNNNNNNNNNNNNNNNNNNNNNNNNNNNNNNNNNNNNNNNNNNNNNNNNNNNNNNNNNNNNNNNNNNNNNNNNNNNNNNNNNNNNNNNNNNNNNNNNNNNNNNNNNNNNNNNNNNNNNNNNNNNNNNNNNNNNNNNNNNNNNNNNNNNNNNNNNNNNNNNNNNNNNNNNNNNNNNNNNNNNNNNNNNNNNNNNNNNNNNNNNNNNNNNNNNNNNNNNNNNNNNNNNNNNNNNNNNNNNNNNNNNNNNNNNNNNNNNNNNNNNNNNNNNNNNNNNNNNNNNNNNNNNNNNNNNNNNNNNNNNNNNNNNNNNNNNNNNNNNNNNNNNNNNNNNNNNNNNNNNNNNNNNNNNNNNCAAAGGACAGAUUUGGCAUUAUUUAAAUUUUAAAGGCAUUUUGGUCAUUUCCUAUUAUAUUAUGGAUGGGAAUAUGUGUAUAUAUACAUGUAUAUGAGUUCAAAAACUCAUUUUCAUCAUCAAUCAUUGAGAAAGAACAAACCCUAGCCAAAUUUGACCUUUAAAUUACUUUUGAUUCAACCGUAGAAAUUCCAAAGUAAUCCGAUAACUGCGUUUGUCAUCUCGAGAGCUUCGAACGGCACCUAUUAUUUGUGAAAAUAGGAUUGCAUAAUCAAGAGGUGAAUUCUAAGGUAUGAAUAUUGUUUGCCUUUGUUCUCUUCCAUAUGUAUAUGUGUGAUAGAGGAUUAUAUGUAUUGGUUGUUAUUGAAAGGUGAUGAAAAUAGGGUUAUGGACUAUUUUGCAUGGUUUGGUUGUAUUGAAUUGUGGAAGGUGGAUAUGGUAAUUGAGUUAUGGAAGGUGGAUAUGGUGAUAUACUAUUGAAUUGAUGAUUAUUUAUGUCUAUGGCUCAAUUUGGUUUAAUGGAUUGGUUGGAAGGAUAAAUGAAUCCAAACUUGAUAUUGGAGGAUGUUGUAUGAAUAUGCAUGGCAUGUGAAUGUAAUUGGAGUAUAAGAGGGUUAAAGUGACACCCUUUAUGGUGUAAUUAAGGCUUACUACUUAACCACUAGUUUGGUGAAUUCAAAUAAUUGAAUUGUGACGUUUGGUCGCUAAUACUAGAUUGCUAUAUAUGUUCAUUGUAGAUAAGUAAUCCGAAAAGACGAGAAGUCCAUUUGGGACUAGUAUUGAAGGUUGACAGUCAGGUAUGUAAAGCAUACUCUAUACCAUAUCUUUGGCAUGAAAGUGAACAAUUGUUCUAUUAAGAAAGUUUCCAAAGUUAUUCAAUAACAUGUGAUCCAUAAUGGUUUUGUAUGAUGUCCUACGUUACCAAUGAACUUGUUUCCACCCUACAAGAUGUCAAGACAUUUCAAUACUUAUUUGUCUUCCAAAUCUUACAUGUUUAUUGCACUAAUAAUUGUCAGAAGGUAUCCGGUUACUCAAACAAGAUCCAUGUGCUAUUAAUGACUCUAAAACAUUUCAUUGAUAUACCAAUAAGUUCCUACUUCAUUGUUAUGGCAUUGAUGACUCCAAAACACUUCAUUGAUGUGCCAAUGAGUUCUUACUUCAUUGUUAUUGCAUUGAUGGUCUAUUUAUAUGUCUCUUAUUGAUGUAUCAUUGUUUCAAAGUAUCAAAAAUGUGGUGGCGACCGAAAUAAAAAUCUUAAAGAUUAAUUGAACUAAGUGAUGGAAGUUCUCUCUUAUCGGGUGGUAUCCCAGGGGCAUAAGCCUAUCAUGGGUUGAUCCCAGUUGAUAUGUACCGGAGGCAGCAUAAUAAUUACAGUACAAUAUAGUAAUGAUUACAAAGAUGUAAGAACGAAGGUAAAGUGAUUGAUUAAAUACAAUGUACAGGUUGUCACAAGUUCUAGUAAGUGUGGUUUACUCCUAUUAUGAUUUAUUCACUUGUUUUUGAUUUCUAUUGAGCUCCUAUAUCAUAUGUGAUUAUCUACAGCUUUACAUACUCAAUACAUAUUUCAUACUGACGUCCCCCAUGGGGACCUGCAUUUCAUGCUGCAGGCACAAGUACCUUAGCUGAUACACCGCACAAGUAAGAGCCAAGAUAUCCAGCUGCUUUUGGUGAGCUCCAAUUUGCUUUGGGGCUUUUCGUGUCAUAUCCAGUCACUUUUGGUAUUGUAUAGAAGUUAGUUAUAUGGUGGGGUGUGUCCCGACCUUAGUUAAACUCUGUGUAUUAUCUAGAGUCUUUGUAGACCUAAUGUACAGUCAAGGUGGUGUUUUGUUAAUAGACGUGAUGGCUCCAACGGCCAAGUAUUGUAUAUACAUAUAUAUGUGUGCUCGAGCUUAUGCAGGUGAUUAUUUUCUUUUAUAUGCGACAUGAUGCUGUCCUAAUUUUGGGUUGUCAUAGAGGUAUGCAUGGGAAGUAUAAGGUUAUGAGCUGGUUCUCCCAGGCCUCCUCGGUUAUGGGUGCCAGUCCGCCCCAAUAGAGGCGUGACAAAGAGGGUCCAAUGUAAGGGUGAGAGGGACCUGUGCAAGGGAUGUUUUCAAACAUAUUUAUUUUUUCUGAGCACUAAUAUACUUAUAAUCAUGACUGGCAGCAGCAAUAAUAAGAGGAUGGCUGCCACCAUCAUCAACAACUCUACCAACAACACCCCCAGAAGAAACACUCGGAUCUGUUGCAUUAGGUUGGUCAUGAAGAGCUUCAACAUUGGGCUGACCUUGCCUAACUUCUCUUCUUAUGGAUAUUAACCUAGCCAAUUUCUUAUUUAUUAACUCCAUCAUUGGGUCUGCUGUUGUAUCAAUAAGACCUAGAGUAAUAAAAGAAGUCAUCCACAACUCCUGCUUAGUAGGCAUGAUCAAAGGAUGCACAACCUAUAAAAAAGACAGAAGACAUUUAAAUCAUAUAAUAAUAAUUUGCAGUCAGUUGGGUUACUUGUUAACACAACCAACUUAUACAACAGAUGAUCUAUCUGCCGCAAUAGCUGAUCUAUGUGUCGCAGCAGAUUGAUAAUAUGUUGCAUUAGAUUAUCUAUCUAUUACAUAAUUUACAGUAGAUGGGUAAUUUGUUGUGUUGGGUUAAGAGAACCAAAGCAGCAGAUGGUUACUCUAUUGUGAAAUAUGGAUUGUCUAUCGCAACAAAUUACCUAUUUGUUGCACUAGUUGCUAUUAACAGGCAAUCUGUUGCAACAGAUGACCCAUAUAUCGCAACAGAUAGCACAUCUGUUUCAAUAUCUUCCUUUAAGGCAAAUUAUUUUAGUUUAACAAAGACGUACGUCCUCAUCCGAAUGGUUAAAGAGAUCAACCUCCUUAAUUUUUUUAUUGCUCUUUGCAGCCAACCACCUAAGGAUCCUUGGAUGAGAAACCUCAUUCGAAUAAUCCUUGAACUGCUUUCAGAGGGGAGAAAAGGAUUAAAAUGCACAAGCCUAAAAAAUGUAAAUAGGAAGCAAGAAAAAAAAGUCAUAAUAACUAUAUUCAAUAUAAAUUAAUGGAUGAGUAAAAAUAGUGAGUAAUUUUACCAUGAAAGCCCAAGAAAAAUCGUAUAAUGUGAUCGUCCCUAGGGAUUGAUUUGUCAGUAAAUAUUUGACAGACAAUUAGUAGUUGUCAUAUCCCCAGGAAUAAUCGUUGAAUUUCUCAAAAUCAUCAGCAAACGCCAACAAAUCAUCUUCUAUGACUUUCCUGACGUCUCUUGCCAAUAUAAUGAAAUGGACAAACCAAACUAAGCAUAAUUUCUCCCUGUACUACUUUGGUAUGGUUUUAUCCUCAAGAAUUUGCUGUCAAAUCCCCCAAUUCGUAGCUACGUCCAACAAUGCUAAACAACCUAGCUUUUUUUCCUUGCGUUUGUUGGUUUUAGGUGACGGUUGCUUGGACAAUGUCUUGGAACUUUUGUGUGGUAUUUCCUUGAUGAGAGUUUCUUAUAGAAGAUCGCAUCUCAAGCUCUUUACUAUGGCAAACUCUUUCAAUCCAAAACAAACUGGCAUGCUACAGAAGUUGAUUCAGAUAUCAUCUAUCUGUUUGUCCCUCUCCGUCAAAUCUUUAUCACUCCCACGUACUUGAUCCUGCACUUGAGAAGACCAUAUACCAUGCUUAUAUUCCUUGGACCUUUUGUGGGGUGUUUCCUUGAUGAGAGUUUUUUCUAGAUGAUUGCAUCUCAAGCCCGUCACUAUGGCAAACUCUUUCAAUCCAAAACAAACUGGCAUGCCACAGUAGUUGAUCUAGAUAUCAUCUAUCUAUUUUCCCCUCUCCAUCAAAUCUUUAUCACCUCCACAUACUUUAUCCUGCGCUUGAGAAGACCAUAUACCAUGCUCAUUUGGAAACAGACAGUGUGAUCCUCAGGCAGCUUAAGAAAGUAUGCAAAGCAUCUCUUCUUAAAAAGUCUGUCUAUGUUUUCAUUUUUCAUAAUACUCCUAAAUUCAUCAAUACCUUUCCCCAACUAACAUUUAAGUACAAAAUCAUUAGUUACUUCUACAGGGUCAUCUAUCGGCAUCACAACUCGAAACCUGUCAAUACUAAUGGUUUUGACAGGAUCAUGCUGGGAUUUCAUUAUUAAUUCACUCCCAAUUGGUGAGAAGGAGUUCUCACUUUUCUCAGCUUUAUUUUGCCCUAACUGAUAUAUUCAAAAAGUUUCUCCGAAUCUAUCUGUACUCUAGCCUUUUUUGUUAGGUGGUCAGAAGUUGAUCCACUUUCAGUUUCUUUUCUUUUGGGAGACAUCUUUUAACUACAAAUUACAAAAAAACAAAAAAUACAUUACAUUAAAUGUCUAUAUAAUUUUUUAAAAAAAGGUAAGACAAAUUUCAAUAAAUUAUUAUACACCAUAUUAUAAAAAAUACUCCAACAGAUAAAUCAUUAGUUGGAAUAGAUGGGAAUCUGUUUGAAGACCUAUUUAAUAUCUCUCAACAGAUCUUCCACCUGUUGCAAUAAAUAGACCACCAAGACCACCACCUACACCACAACCAAUGCCACCACCAAUUCCACCGAGACCACCACCAAUGCUACUAAUACCAACAACAAUACCAAUACCGCCAACACUACCACCAAUGCCACCAAUGGCAACACCAAGACCACGAAGACCACCACCACUACCACCAAUGCCACCAAUACCAACACCAAGACCACCGACACCACCACCAAAACCACAAAUACCGACACCACAACCAACAGCCACCAACAAUACGACAAACACCAUCCAACAAUACCACGAUAGUAAACAAAACACUAAAACAAAAACUAGGAUUUUCUUGGGUGCUUUCUACAUUUUUAGCAUCAAAACUCAAAAUUGUUAACCCAUUCUCGAAGAUAAUACAACUAAAACUCUUUUUUCAUCAUUAACUAAAAAAACCUUAAUUUUUAGAAUAAAGAGAAAAUGUAUAAAUCUUCUCAAACUCUAUUACCUGCGAAGAUAGAGAAAAUGAUGGAUACAGGCAAGAAUGAAGUCAAAAAUAACAAUUAUGUGAUCAAAAAUUGAAAGAAAAUCAAUCAGUUUUAAAGGGUUGAGAAAUAUGUUGAGUAUUUAUUUUCUAUAUUAUUGAGAGAGAUAGAUAGAUAGAGAAGAGCGAGAACUUGAUAUUUAAAAUAAGGAAAAGUUUUUCUCGUAAAUGGAUGAUUUGUAAUUUUGGAAAAGAAUGACAAGUUUUGAAAUUGUUAAUUUGGUCUUAAUUGAUCUUGAUUAAUUUUUAAAAUUUUAAAAGAUAUAGUUUUUAAAAUAUUAAGUUGAUGAGAAUCUUUUCAACUUAGAGUGAUCUAUCGAUGACUCGGGCCGAGGUGAACGCAAUAUAACAUUAUGCAAUUGCAAAGACUCAAUUGAAGUAGUAGUUGACCCUAUGAACUCAUUCCUAGUUCUACCAAAAUCAAUUUAGGUACUAUCUUAACACUAAGUUAAUGAGAAUAUUUUCAACUCAGAGUGAUCGAUCGACGACUCAGGUUGGGAUGAAUGCAUUACCAACACCAUGCAAUUGCAAAGACUCAAUUGAAGUUAUAGUUGACCCUAUGAACUCAUCCCUAGUUAUACCUAAAUAAUUUAGGUACUAUAUUAACAUUAAGUUGAUGAGAAUUUUUUCAACUCAGAGUGAUCGAUCGAUGACUCGGGUCAUAAGGAAUACAAUACCAACACCAUGCAAUUGCAAAGCCUAAAUUGAAGUUGUAGUUGACCCUGUGAACUUAUACCUAUUUCUACCUAAAUAAAUUUACGUACUAACUUAACAUUAAGUUAAUGAGAAUCUUUUCAAGUCAGAGUGAUUGAUUGAUGACUCCGAUCGGAAUAAAUGAAAUACCUACACCAUUAAUUGCAACGACUUCAUUAAAGUUGUAGUUGACCCUAUUAACUCAUACCUAGUUUAUUUUAGGUACUAUAUUAACAUUAAGUUAAUGAGAAUCUUUUCAACUCAGAGUGAUUGAUUGACGACUCAGAUCGAGAUAAACACAAUACCAACACCAUGCAAUUGUAAAGACUCAAUUGAUGUUGUAGUUCACCCUAUGAAAUCAUCCCUAUUUCUACCUUAAUAAAUUUAGGUACUAGAUUAACAUUAAGUUAAUGAGAAUUUUUUUAACUCAGAGUGAUCGAUCAAAGACUCGGAUCGAGAAGAACGCAAUACUAACACCAUGUAAUUGCAAACACUCAAUUGAUGUUGUAGUUGACCCUAUGAACUCAUCCCUAGUUUUACCUAAAUUAAUUGCAAUGAAAUCUAUUGCAACAAAUGACUGAGUUGAUGGAAAUUUUCAAACAGAUAUUCAUAUCUGUUGCAACAGAUGACAUAACUGAUUUAAUUAUUAAAUAGACAUUUGCAUCUGUUGUGACAGAUGACUGAGCUAUUGAAAAUUGUCAAACAGAUAUUGAUAUCUAUUGUAAUAGAUGGCAUAUCUGAUAUAAUUAUCAAAUGGACAUUUGCAUCUAUUGUUACAGAUGACUGAGCUAUUGGAUUUUUCAGAUAGAUAUUGAUAUCUGUUGCAACUGAUGACAUAUUUGUUUGAAAAUCUUUUUUCUUCUUUUAAUUUUAAAGCAAGCUUCUAUCUGAAAGAAGAAAGAUAGAUAAAAUAGUACUACUAAAGGCGGUAAAAAAUAUUUCUUGGAUAACUAAAAAAUCUCAUUGAGUAGUCUUAUCUUGUCUUUUCAAUAUCACCCAUAUUUCUUGUGCCCCUCAAGUUAUUAAUGAAUAUUAAUGAAUAUUUAAACCCAUGUCUACAUCUAGAAUUAUCUCAUCUCUCCUUCAACCCUAAAUUUAUUUUAUUCAUCUCUUAUCUUUUUCUUUCUCUCAUUUUUGGGGUUAUCAUAACCUUUUUUCUCUCUUUUCUCUCCUCUUUAUCAUAAAGAUCCUUUCGAUCUAAAUCGAUUCAUAUCUUGCCUCGAUUGAAAUUGUUGUUUUGAUCCCUUCUUGACAUUGCAGGCAAGGUAUGAUUCACUAUUUCUCUUUUAUUCUCGUCUUCUUCUUUGCAAGUUAUUUACAUCUAUUUUUUUAUUUAAUUACCAUUUACCUAUAUCAUAUUUAUUUAAAAAAUUUGAAGGAACUUUUAAUUUUUGAAUAAACAAAAUGAGAAUUUUUAUUAUAAUAUGCAAAAAAGUCAUCUGUUGGGAGAAGUUUAAAAACUUUGUGAAAGUAUCAUUUUUCUGUAUGUGUUUUGUUUAUUUUUUUGUUGUUGAUGCUGUUAUUAAUGUUGUUGGUGGGAUUAGUGUCGUUGAAACUUGUGGUGUGGUGUUGUUGAUGGUGUUGGAACUAAGGAUGUUGCUUCUUUGUUGUUGAUGAUGUUGUUAAUAGUGUUAGAACAAAUGAUGUUAUUUCUUUGUUGUUGAUGUUUUUUAUUUAUUGUUUCUUUGUAGUUUAUGCUGUUAUUGAUGUUGCAAUAGACAGAGCAACUGUUGGAAUAAAUCAAACCACUAGCAAGGCUGGUUUGAUGUAUUCCAAUAGAUUCCACAUCUGUUGCAACAGACUCCACAUCUGUUGCAAUGGAUGGAUAAUGUUCUUUCUAUUUUUCUCCUUUUUGACAUGAAUUUUUUUCCUCUUCUUUUUAGAUAUAAGGAACUGAAAGUUGAUCAGCUUUUUUCUAACCAACAUAAGAGGCUACAAUAAAGAUAGGUUCAGAGGAAUAAGCUGCUUGCAGAUGGAACCACUUCAUAUGUGGGAGGUAUGUAUUACUAAUAAUAUUAUUAUGAAAACACUCAUAGAGGACUCCAAUUUUGUGAAUAAUGCUUUUACCAUUUUUUCAUUGAUCAUUCAAAUAAGAUAUCUGUAAUUUUACAGUUAAGUUUGAUAGGUCUAAACUGAUAAGGUUGAGGGACCAUGAAUAUGGUUCUGAUACCCUAUUAAAAUUUAAUGUCGAUUGUUUCUCAUGUUUAUAUGUCAAGCAUUAUGAAGGGAUAUAGUUUUGGUGUUAUUGUAAAAAGAUUCAAUAGCGAUUGGAAUAACUUUUAGGGUGCAUUGGACUCUGAGAGCGCCUUCAAAGCCUCAUACUACUUCAAUCAAGAACAUAAAUCAAUAUAGUUAUUGCCCUAGCCCAAAUUUAUAUGGUUGGGUUACUCAGGGUGAUAAUUAUAUGCCAGAAGGUACGGCAGGAGAAUGCCCACAAGGGUAAAUGGGGGGUUGAUGAAAGAUUAUAUCAUCUGAGAGCUAAUUAAAGAGGAAACAUAGGGUAAAAAAAACUUCUAGCGAAUCUGGCUGAUGAAACUGAAUUAGAUCAUGAGAAAUCUGAAUCAAGUGCAAAUAUGAAAGUGUAUCCAGUAAUGUAAAUCCGUCUAUUGUUUCUCUAAAAGAAAAAUAAUGUAGAUGGAGACUUUGCUAGGGAGCUGCAACUAGGAAGCAUGGUCAGUAUGAUUACCUACAUAGAAAAUAGCAGAACACCAAGAAAGCAACUUCGCGAGAAUCGAGGGUUAAAAUAACGUACAGUAAGUAAAAAAAACUUAUGCUAAUAAUAUUUGUAGUUAAAAUAAGGAAUAAAUGUGAAGGCGUCAAUUUCUGAAUUCUAAAUUUCAUCCCAUGCCUUCUUGUUUGUGGUUUUGAUUAGGUCCACUACUAUUGAUUUGACCUGAUCGGAUCCACAAAUAAGAUUGAAAGAUAGAUUGAGUAUCAUUAAUCCUUUAGCAAUAUGUAUAUAAUUGAUUGUGUUUUCUAGCCUUAGCACGCUUUCAACAUAUCUUGGAGAAGAUCAGAGGUUUGCUGUAGUAUGUGAAUCUCGAUAAUUUUUAAGAUUACCUCCAACUUGCUGAUUCUAUAUUCAAUCUUGUCGUUGCAGUUGUUGAGGUCGGUGUAGAGUUCUUGGUCUUUUGUGAUCUAGUCAACAAGGAAUAAUUUCUUAAAAGUUGUGGCAUUGUAAAAGGCCUUCAGAAGGCUUCCAGAACAUUUUCUUCAGUAGACUUAAAUGAUACAUGUAGGGUUUGCUAUGUUUGUUUUAGGUCAAAAUAUAUUGAUGCACAUUCAGGCAGUGGUCCGAAUAGUUGAAUAGCUCACUUUUAUCGAACGUUGUUCAAUGCAGCUUGCUCAACAAACCUUCAAAGGAUUUGAUAGGUCAAUUAUCCUGGAAUUACAUAAUGUUUGAUGUAAACUGAUUUUACCAAGCCUAUCAAGCGUUACAUAACUCCAGGCUCAUUACCCUACCAAAACCUUUGCUCGAGUUAGUUCACAAAUCAAAUAAACUCAAUCUCUCAGCCUUUCUAUCGAUGACUCUUCUCCCAUAUAAAGGACAAGAUAUUCGCCAUGGAAAAGUCUACACCAUCUCCAGAACUUCUUGCCAUAACAAAAAUCUUGAGAAGGAAUGACUAGGAAUCUCUUAAUAUGACUUUUAUGACUAGUCAUAUUGAGAGAUCACUAGUUAUGCCUUUUCAAGACUUUUGCUGUGGCAAGAAUUUAUGGCAACGGUGUAGACUUUUACAUGACAGGUAUCUUAUCCUUCAUAUGGGAGAUGAGUCAUCAGCAGAAAGGAUUAGAGAUUGAGCUCGUUUGAUUUGUGCACUAACUCAGGCAAAGGUUUUGAUAGGGUAAUAAGCCUGGAGUUACGUAACAUUUGAUAGGCUUGGUAAAAUUAGUUUAGAUCAAAAUUUAUGUAAUUCCAGGAUAAUUGACCUAUCAAAUUCUUUAAAGGUUUGUUGAGCAAGCUGCAUUGAACAACGCUCGAAAAAAGUGAGCUGUUCAACUAUUGGGACCAUUGCUUGAGUGUGCAUCAAUAUAUUUUGACCUAAAACAAACAUAGCGAACCCUACAUGUAUCAUUUAAGUCUACUGAAGAGGCCUUUUACAAUGCCACAACUUUGAAGAAAUUGUUCCUCGUUGACUAGCUCACAAAAGACCAAGAACUCUACACUGACCUGAACAACUGCUGUGACAAGAUUAAAUACAGAAUCACCAAGUUGGAGCCAAGCUUAAAAAUUAUCGAGAUUAACAUACUACAGCAAACCUCUGAUUUUCUCCAAGAUAUGUUGAAAAAAGCUUAGGCUAGAAAACUCAAUAAAUUAUAUACAUAUUGUUAAGGGAUUAAUGAUACUCAAUCUGUCUUUCAAUCUUAUUUAUGGUUCUGAUCAGGUCAAAUCAAUAGCAGUGGACCAAUCGAAACCACAAACAAGAAGGCAUGGGAUGAAAUUUAGAAUUCAGAAAUUGAUGCCUUCGCUUAGAUUCCUUAUUUUAACUGCAACUGUUAUUGGCGUAAGUUUUUUCGACUUACUGUAUAUCAUUUCAACCCUUGAUGCUAUCGAGGCUACUUUCUUGGUGUUCUGCUAUUUUCUAUGUAGGUGAUCAUCUUGACCAUGCUUACUAGUCGCAUCUCCCUAGCAAAGUAUCCAUCUGCAUUAUUUUUCUUUCAAAGAAACAACGGGCAGAUUUACAUUACUGGAUACACUUUCAUAUUUGCACUUGAUUUAGAUUUCUCAUGUUUUAAUUCAGGUUCAUCGGCCAGAUUCGCUAAAAGUUCCUUUACCCUAUAUUUCCUCUUCAAUUAUCUCUUAGAUAAUAUAAUCUUUCACUAACUCCCAUUUUCCUUGCAGGCAUUAUCCUUCGGCUCCUUCUGGUGUAUAAUCCUCUUCUCGAACAACUCUUCCAUAUAAAUUUAGGCUAGGGGAAUUUCUAUUGAUUUUUCAUUCUUGUUUGAUGCAGUGUGAGGCUUUGAAGGCCUUCUUAGAGUCCAAUGCACACUUAAAACGCUAUUGGAUCUCUGUAAUAACAUCAAAUAUUGAUCCUUUUUCAAAACUUAACAUGCAUAAACAUGAGCAACAACUAUCAGUAAUUCGUAACAGGGUAUCGACACCAUCAUCAUGGGGCCCUCAGCCUUAUCAAUUCGAACCUAUCAAACUUAACUGUAUAAUGCAGGAUCUUGUGUGAAUGAUCAGUGCUUAAUCGAUUAAAAAAUAUAUUCACAAAAAUAUUAUACUUUGUGUGUUGUCCCGAUGACCUUAUCAGUAAUACUUAACUCCCACACAUGAAAGGAGAUCCAUCCAUCUGCACGCACCUUAUUCUUCCUAGCCCCCCUGUGGCUUAAAUUGAAUAAAUAGAUGACUAACAAGUUGCAACAUAUGCCACAUCUGUUUAAUUGUCAAACAAUUAUAGAAAUCUGUUAUGACAGAUGAUCAAUCUAUUGCAACAUAUGACAUAUCUGUUGGAAAAAUCAAACAGAUAUAUCCAUCUAUUGCAACAAAUUGUCAAUAUGUUGUAAAUUAUCUAACAGAUGAAAUAUAUUUUGCAACAGAUUACCCAUAUAUUAGAUUUAUUUUAAAGUAAUUUUAUUUUCUUUCCGAAAUACAAUAAAGAUAAUAUGUUGUAUUUAGAUCUAUUUUUUUAAUUUACUUAAGCUGAAAAGUCAAUAGUUUUAUUUAAAAACAGGUGAACAGUUGUGGCUUUUUGACUAACCCAUUCGAAUUCAAUACUUUAUAAAUAGGUCCCUCCUUACUUGUUUAUUCCACUCCACUUCUAGAUAUGGCUGAUCCAGAUUUGUACAAGGUGAUUCAUCUCGAGCCCUUGCGGGAACUUGAAAGUCAGAUUCAUGAACUCUUAAGGGACUUGGGCGACUUUAGAGCAAGGCUGGGGAGGGCCCUGUUGCGGCCGGAUGACAAUAAUACUAAUACUAAUACUAAUACUAAUACUAAUACUAAUACUAAUACUAAUACUAAUACUAAUACUAAUACUAAUACUAAUACUAAUACUAAUACUAAUACUAAUACUAAUAAUGAUAAUUAUAAUAUUAGUAAUAAUAAUUAGGUUAUGUUUUUUCUUUUAGCGUAUGUAUUUUUUUUUAAUAUCAGAUCUAUCGAAGGGUAUAUUUUUUUAUGGUAUAUAUUUGUAUAUAAUGGAUUCAAAAAUCUAUGUUUGAAUGACCUUGAAUUUUUAGUUCUUACUUAAUAUUUAAUUAUCAUUCUGUUUAUUCUUUAUUCUCAAUAGGUUGACGGUUGGAGGUAGGAAUUGAGCAUUUGUAGUAAUAGAGGUUAAUCUAAUACGUUAGAUGGAUCAUAUGUUGCAACAGGCGGUUAUUAAUAAAAGAAGGGCUAUUAUUGUUAUUGAGAGGGUGAAAAAUCAUGACUUUAUGAUUAUUUAAUAUGAAAAAUGGUUCAUAAAUAAAUAAUAAUAAAAUACAUGAUAAACACAAUUUAUAACCAUAAAAGAACGGUUAUUUAAUUUUAAUAACUGAUUGUGACUUUUCACCAAUUUUGUUUUUCAAUCUAUUUUUAAAAUUAUUUUAUUUUUACAUAAUAAAAAAAGUCACAACAUGGAGUUAAUUAAGUUAUAUGAUGAUUGUUUAGAAAAAGGUGAACAGUCAUAACUUUUUAUCUAAACACAUUCAAUAAUGUUGUUGAUGCAUCAAAUUCCCCAUAUGUUGCAACUGAUGAAUCAACUGUUAGAAAAAAUAAAAAAAGUUCCUAAAAUAGAUGGUCGAUUUGUUGCAAAAGAUGGUAUAUCUGUUGCAAUAGAUGGGUUAUCUGAUGCAACAGAUAUUGUAACAAUCCUCUCAAUCGUUUGUAAAAUUUUCUUAUCUUUUCUAUUUUAGCUCUCCUCAUAGUUGGUGUACGUGAAUGAUGACUCACGAGAUGAGUAGUACCAAUUCUUGAGGUGUUCGGAAGUUAUUGAAGUCAUUAGUUGGAUUAUUGAGAUUUAAUAAAUUUAAGCUUGAUCACAGUCAAUCUUUGGUCAAGACGACCUCGAUAUGAUAUUUUAAUAUUUUCAAUAGAUUUGGGAUAUACUUUUUAGUCAAUUACAUAUUUAAUUUAUUUCUAUAGAGUUUCGAAUAAAUUUUAAAUUUUUUUAGAAGUUUUGGGAUCUAAAAUAAUUAAUUUAAUUGUGGUUUAAUGGGUCAAAACCACAAUAUUUUUACUAUCUCAUAUCACGUACUUUCAGUUAUAGGGUUAAACCCUUUUUGAAUGAUAACCAAAAACAAGCAAAAAAAGAAGGGGAAGGUCAGAUUUUUUAUCAAAAAGCUAAGCCGCUGCACCGCUAUGGUGUUGAAAGGAAUUAUUUCAGAUUUUGAACGUUCUGAAUUUAUCAGGAAGGGCAGGGCACUUGUGGACUAGUGACAUUUGGAUUCUUCGGUUGAGGUAGGUUACGGUUUAAUUGGAGUUUAGAUUCGACUUAAUUGUGUGUAUGCUCCUAAAUUGGAUACUUGUUGAUUGGUAUUCGGACAUACUUGAUAUUGUUGAUGUUUGGAUUGUUGAUGCGUGUAUAAAUAAUUAUUAAAAAUUGACUUGAUGGAAUUAUCUUAUGACAUUAAGUGUACUUGCAAACGUGGUACAUUGUGUUGUAUGCUGUGAGGUUGUGUAAAUUGAUAUUGAUAAUACUUGUUUAUAUUUAUGUUGGAUCAGGUACUACGCCAGUACGUUUAUAUUUAUGUUGGAUUGGGUACCAUGCCAGUACAUUUAUAUUUAUGUUGAAUUGGGUACCACGCCGGUACGUUUAUAUUUAUGUUAGAUCGGGUACCACGCUGGUACGUUUAUAUUUAUGUUGGAUCGGGUACCACGUCAGUACGUUUAUAUUCAUAUUGGAUUGAAUACCACACCAGUACACUUAUAUUUAUGUUGGAUCGGGUACGACGCCGGUCAAUUUAUUUUUAUGUUAGAUCGGGUACCACGCUGGUACGUUUAUAUUUAUGUUGGAUCGGGUACCAUGUCGGUACGUUCUUAUUUAUGUUGGAUCAGGUACCACGCUGGUACGGUACAUGAACAUAUUAUGUUCCCCGCAGGUCAUGAUUAUUUGGGCAAAAAUAAGUCCCAUAGCAUGUGUGUACAUACUUGUGUUGAUUCUAUGGAUGUUUACCGUAUGGUUGAUACUCUUGAUAGUUAUGUGGCUUGUUUGUGAGCACUAUGGACCUAUUAUUGCUGUAUUGUUGAUUUAAUGAGAAUUUGUUAUUUGAUGAUGCCUAUCUACUUGUUUUUCUAAUUAUGUUGUGUACAUGCUAUUAAAUCGAGUUGACCUAUGAUACCCUUCUAGUACAUAGUGGUUUGCACGGAUACUACACUGUACUCUUCUUUUGUUGAGCGCAAAAAGUGUUCUAGAGGCUCAAACAUGACCUCACCUCUAGAGUUUGAUAUCAAAUCUUGAUCCAAGGGUGAGCACUCCAUCUCCAGGCUGCCAUGGGUCAUCUUGUUGUUCUUUUCCAUCUUUCGACCAAUGAAACAUUCUUUAUUUACUUUAUUUUGGGUAUUCUUUAGACAUGAUCUUUGUUAGUAGUUCUUGUACGAUGACUUUCGGAUCUUGAAAAUUUUAAUAAGUAGUUUGUUUGACUUCCGUAUUAAUAAUGAUUAGUCCUGGAUUAUUGUCAUUAUGAUAACUUUAUGAUAAUGUCAUCUCAGUAUUGACUAAAUGAUUGGGUAAUAGUUUGAUUUAGAUGGUUCUCCCACAUAAAGAUUAGUGUGGGUGACACUCAUGACCAUUUGGGUCGUGGUAAAGUUGGUAUCAAAGCCCUAGGUUCGUCGAUCUCGUCGUGUAAGAACAUGUCUAGUAGAGUCUUGCGGAACGGUAUGGAGAGGUCUGUACUUUUCUUCGAGAAGCUAUAGGACAAUAGGAAAAUUCAAAUUCUUCUUUCUUACAUGCUAUAAUUUGAAUUCAAUUGGUAUCUGGCAAUUCUAAUUGAUAUCUAUUAAUAAGAGCAAUGUCAAGUAGAGUUUCAUAGAUUGGGGUGUAUGGCCCCACACCCAAUCUUCAUAAGGCUAUGAGGCAUGUAGAAGUUAUUUUCCUUUCUUUCUCUCCAUCGUGCCGUCCUAAUCCUUGAUUACUAGAUUGAAUCCAAUUGGUAUCUAGACAAUUCCAAUUGGUAUUUUAAUAAUUUUGAAUAAAAAUUUAGGAGAUUUCAAUUGGUAUUUGUUAAUAAGGUCUAAAAGUUAUUGUUAAUUGGUAAAGACUUGUGAAAGUUGUGAACAUAUUGAUUGAUUGUGUUUGAUAUGUGGCUAAACUUGUGUUGCUAGAUUUUUGUCAUUAUUGUGAAUUAUUUUUGUUAAGUGAUGAAAAUUGACUAAGCUUAUUUUGUUGAUAAAUGUGAUGAGAUUAUUUGAUUUCUUGUUAUUGUGAAACUAGAAAUUCUAUGGUGCUUACUUAUUUUUUGUACUAUUAUACUGAUGAUAUCGAUGGUAUAAGAAUUUAGAGGAUGAUAUGAGAAUAUGAUGUCAAGAAAAGAUGGUGAAAAAGUGACAUAAAUAAAAUACUGAGGUGAUAUGUCUUUUCCGUAAUGAGAGGUUCUUGUCAAUUCUGUUAUGGACGGAUCCUUGUGAAGUUUGAUUAUUUGAUAUUAUUUGGGGAUCGUUGUGUGGUUCGUUCAUUGAGAACGUAUUAGAAUUUUUGUGCAGUUCUAUUAUUAAAAUCAUAAUGGGUUCCUUGUGAGGACUAGCUAAGUGACAUUUUCUUUGAGUUUCUUAUGUGAAUGAAUUCUUAAUGCUGCAAAAUAAUGAGUUUUAAAUAAAGGUGACAAAAACUAGUAGAGGUUUUUGAUACCUAUAGAAUUUGAUCGAUGACUUUUCUGGAAUAUGAUAUUGGUGAUGAGGCUAUCAAUGACCUAUAAUCAAUUUAUUUUGUUUGGCCUUGCUUAUUUGCUAGUGGUGUGGGGACCGCUCUUGAAGUGAUUAAGAGUUAAGUAAAGCCCGUAAUAAAAUUAUUGUUAAGUAGAAAUAAGAAUGACUCUGUAUAUCUUAAAUUGGUGUUAGUGAUAUUGGAGAGGUUUGUCUUGACCAUGAAGUAUUUGUCAUUGAAAAAUAUUGAGUUAGUGAUUGUCAGGACAUAAGUUGUAGCUGCGGAUUUAUGCAUUAAGAAGAAUUUUUUUUUUGAGAAGACAAAUUGUUAUUGACUUGACCUUGUGGCUGAAUUAUACAUUUGCAUGUUCCACAGAGUUGGAUGAUAUAUGACACUUUUAGAGGAUUGUAAUUUUCAUAAUAGUGGCAAUGCAAAAUCAAAUGUCUUAUACAUUCAUAAAAUAAUUAAGGAUGAUCCUGAAUGGGAGAAUAAAUGAAUUAUUAAAUGGCAUGAUUGAUCUUUUCUUGAGUGAUACUUGGUGGAUAUUUCUUGUUGAGUGGUUAAGGUAUGAUGAUUAGAUGGAUUUUAACAAUGUUGUGGAGGAUUAUGUAUUGCUUUUCCUCUCUAGUUUAGAUUAGUUGUAGCGUGGUUAUGAUGUAAACCUAUUUUUGGGAUAUGGUAUUAGUAUCUGAAGCAUGAUUUUUAUAUUUAUCCUUAUUGGGCUAGUGUGUCAGUCUUGAAAUUGUAAGUUGGGUAGAGUUGACUUGUUUACCCUUGUUUCUAGUCGAAAUUGCUAUCUUAGGCUUGAAUAUGACAUACUUGACAUCUAGAAUAUAAACUAGAUACCUUAGCCUAGUUUGGGGCAUAGUGUGACUAAUUAUGGAAAUUGAGGAUUAGAAGUGGGAUCGUCUGGCCCACUUAGGCCUAAACUUGUGUUAAGUCUUGUGGACUUAGUUACAGAUGUUACACAUAGAUGAGGCUACUAAAGCUUAGAAUAAGUUCACUUCAUAACUUUGUAACUUGUAUUGAUGUUCUCGGAAUGUGGCUUUUGAUUUAUGGUUAUGAUACUUUUUGUGGAAGUGAUGUUGGUCAUUUAGAGAUGAUAUUCCUUCUAGAUACGUUAUGUGUCCUGUAGAGAUGCUAUUUCCUCUUAGACUUGAUGAAUGACCCAUAGAGUUACUAUUUCCUUUAGUCAUGAUUAUUGGACCAAUAAAGACAAUGUUCCUCUUAAAUAUGCAAAUUGGCCCAGAGAGGUGAUAUUCCUCGUGGUCAUGAUGUAUAACCUAUCAAUAUAUGAUAUUCUAUAGACAGUUACAUUUCUAUCUACAUUAUGCUUCCAAUAUGUCAGAUACCUCCUAUAUGUGAGAUGAUUAGAGAUAUGCUACGACUUAUAAGUAUGAUUAUUGAUAUGAGUUCCAGAUAUGUAUAUGGGCCUAGGUAUUUAGUUGCCUGUAAGUUCAGGACUAAGAAGAUUGCGUCUGUGGAGGUCCAGUGGAAGAAUCGUCCUAUUGAGGAGGCCACUUGAGAGACCGAAGCGGACCUGCGUAGAAAGUGUCCAAAUCUUUUUUGCAGAGUCAGCUAAUUCUUUAUUUUCCCUUCUUGUCUUGUGUUUGCCCGUUCGGGGACAAACAGUUGUUUAAUUGGUAUCUGAUGUAACGAUCCUCCUGAUCAUUUGUGAAAUUUUCUUAUCUUUUUUAUUUUAACUCUCCUCGUAGUUGGUGUACAUGAAUUAUGACUCACGGGAUGAGUAGUACCAAUUCUUGAGGUGUUCGAAAGUUAUUGAAGUCAUUAGUUGGAUUGUUGAGAUUUAAUAAAUUUAAGCUUGAUCACGAUCAAUCUUUGGUCAAGACGACCUCGAUAUGUUAUUUUAAUGUUUUCAAUAGAUUCGGGAUAUACUUUUUAGUCAAUUUACAUAUUUAAUUUAUUUCUAUAGAGUUCCGAAUAAAUUUCAAAAUUAAUUACAAGUUUUGGGUUUUUAAAUAAUUAAUUUAAUUAGUGGUUUAUUGGGUCAAAACCAUAAUAUUUUUACUAUCUCAUAUCACGCACUUUCAGUUAUAGAGUUAAACCCUUUCUGAAUGAUAACCAAAAACAAGCAAAAGAAAAAGGGGAAGGUUGGAUUUUUUAUCAGAAAACUAAGCCGCUGCACUGUGACGGCGUUGAAAGAAAUUGUUUCAGAUUUUGAAUGUUCUGAAUUUAUGAGGUAGGGCAAGGAACUUGUGGACUAGUGACAUUCAGAUUCUUCGGUUAAGGUAGAUUACGGUUUAAUUGGAGUUUAGACUCGACUUAAUUGUGUGUAUGCUCCUAAAUCAGAUACUUGUUGAUUGGUAUUUGGACAUGCUUGAAAUUAUUGAUGCGUGUAUAAAUGAUUAUUGAAAAUUGACUUGAUGGAAUUGUCUUAUGACUUUAAGUGCACUUGUAAAUAUGGUACAUUGUGUUGUAUGCUGUGAGGUUGUGUAAAUUGAUAUUGAUAAUACUUGUUUAUAUUUAUGUUGGAUCCGGUACCACGCCGGUACGUUUAUAUUUAUGUUGGAUCGGGUACCACGCCGGUACGUUUAUAUUUAUGUUGGAUCGGGUACCACGCUGGUACGUAUAUAUUUAUGUUGGAUCGGGUACGACUCUGGUACAUUUAUAUUUAUGUUGGAUCGGGUACGACGCCGGUCAAUUUAUUUUUAUGUUGGAUCGGGUACCACGCUGGUACGUUUAUAUUUAUGUUGGAUCGGGUACCACGCCGGUACGGUACAUGACCAUAUUAUGUUCCCCGCAGUUCAUGAUUAUUUGGGCAAAAAUAAGUCCCAUAGCAUGUGUGUACAUACUUGUGUUGAUUCUAUGGAUGUUUACCGUAUGGUUGAUACUCUUGAUAGUUAUGUGGCUUGUUUGUGAGCACUAUGGACCUGUUAUUGCUGUAUUAUUGAUUUAAUGAGAAUUUGUUAUUUGAUGAUGCCUGUCUACUUGUUUUUCUAAUUAUGUUGUGUUCAUGCUAUUAAAUUGAGUUGACCUAUGAUACCUGCCAGUACAUAAUGGUUUGUACUGAUACUACGUUGUACUCUUCUUUUGUUGAGUAUAGAAAGUGUUCUAGAGACUCAGACAUGACCUCACCUCUAGAGUUUGAUAUCAAAUCUUGAUCCAAGGGUGAGCACUUCAUCUCCAGGCUGCUAUGGCUCAUCUUAUUUGUUCUUGUCCAUCUUUCGGCCAAUGAAACAUUCUUUAUUUACUUUAUUUUGGGUAUUCUUUAGACAUUAUCUUUGUUACUAGUUCUUGUACGAUGACUUUCGGGUCAUGGGAAUUUUAGUAAGUAGAUUGUUUGACUUCCGUAUUAAUAAUGAUUAGUCCUGGAUAUUGUCAUUAUGAUAACUUUAUGAUAAUGUCAUCUCAAUAUUGACAAAAUGAUUGGGUAAUAGUUUGAUUUAGAUGGUUCUCCCAUAUGAAGAUUAGUGUGGGUGACACUCAUGACCAUUUGGGUCAUGACAAAUAUACAAUCUAUUGCCACAACUUAAUAAAAAUGGUUAUUAUUUUAUUAGAGAAAUAAUUAUUAAAAAAAGGUGAUUUCAAUUUUUAAAUUGAGAAAAAGGUUAUUUAAAUUUAAGAACUAAUUAAUAAUAAUUAGCUGAAAAGUCAUGACUUGUCACAAUAAUAAAAAACUCACCAGCUUGAUUUAAUUAAGUCAUUUCUUUUCACAGAAAACAACAAAUAAAUAAAUGAGAAACACAAUAAAAAAAAGACGUUAUUUAAUUUGAAUAAUUGACGUUAAUAUUAAAUAGCUGUCAUUUCUUUUCACAGAAAAUAUUUUUAUUUUUAAAUCUAUUUUUUGAAUUUAUAUAAUACAAAAAUCAACGAAUUUGAAUUAAUGAUAUGAUGAUAAUUUUUUUUUAAAAAAGAUAGAUUAUAUGUUGUAAUAUAUUGAUUAUCUGAUGCAAUAGGUUGUCUAUUUAUUGCAACAGAUGAUGUAUCUGUUGUCACAGAUGAGUUAUAUGAUGCAACAAAUAUAAAAUCUGUUGUCACAACUCAAUAAAAAUGGUUCUUGGAAAGAACUAAAUAAUAAUAAUAAGCUGAAAAGUCAUGACUUAUCACAAUAUUGCUUAGUUUAAUUAAGUCAUAACUUUUCACAAUAAUAAAAAAUGUAAUUAAUAAAUGAAGGUGAACAGUCGUGCCUUUUUGCCUGACUCAUUCAAAUUCAAUCCUCUAUAAAUAGGUCCCUCCUUACUCAAUCAUUCAUUCAACUACACUUUAUUUAUUUAUUGCAUCUUGUCUUUCAUAUUACACCUUCCACCACUUUCUCUUUCCUGAAUCAGGUAAGUUUUUUUUCUUGCUUUGUGUGUAAAUAUACCCAAUUUGUAGUAUACGUUGUAUUACAUUCAAAUUCUUUUCUUUAUUUUUAUUUUUAUAUUUUUUGUCAAUUCAUAUCUGUUCUAGAUAUGACUGAUCAAGCGUGGGACGUUGCUUUUCUGCAAGACGCUGUGAAUGAACUUCGGAUGCAGGUUCGUGACCUGCAAUGAGAGUUGGGAAAAGUGAGAGCAAGGAUGCUUCAUGAGAUCCUCGGGCUGAGGAGGGCCCUGCUGGUGGUGGUUGAAGAUUGACCGACUGACAAUAAUAAUAAUAAUAAUAAUAAUUAAAUUAUUUUUUUCUUUUGAUCUAUGUAUUUUUAUUUGUUUUUGUUUAAUAAAAAUAAUUAUGUUUGAUCGGCUUUGACGUUUUAAUUCAUAUUUAAUUUUCAUUUUGCCUAUUAUCUUCUUAACAAAUAUGUCGAUAAUUGGACGUAAGGAAUAAUUUUGAAUCCAGUAGCAAUAGAAAGAGUUGAAACAUAUUGGUUAUCUAUUAGGUUUGUGGCAGGAGUUGAUUUAUGUUGUUUCAAACAGAUUACUCAUCUGUUGCAACAGAUAAUCAGUCUAAUGCAACAAAUAACCAGUCUGAUGCAAUAAAUAAUCAGGCUGAUGCAACAGAUAAUAAGUCUAUUGCAACAGACAACUCUUAUAUUGCAAUAGAUUACCCAUCUGUUCGAUUCAUGUUACGGGCACUAUAGAACCAUAAACAUGAAUCCAACAUAUGAGUCUUUCGUUGCAAGAUAUUACUCAUCUGAUGCAACAGAUGAGUGAUCGGUUUAAAUUGUGGGUCAUCAUGUUGCUCAAAGCCCCAUGUUGGUCAUCAUUUGUGGCAUAAAACUUAACUAUGAAUUUAUGUAUCUUCAAUUGUCCAUUCGAUAUCACUAAAGUUUCACAUUGUGGGUUUACAUUUUAUUAUACUAUAAUAUAAAUUCAAAACCAAAACAAGGUUCAUAUAAGAUCAAAUGAGCAAACAUCAACAUAUAAUAUCGUUAAAAAAAUACUUCUUUUGAAAUCUCUCUAUUGUUAAACUAUUACACCAUUUUUUUCUUGUUUUCUUUUUUAUUUUAAAUUAUGAGAGUGAAAAAUAUAUAAAGUUUAAUAUUAGAUGUUUGAGGAUGAAAGUACAUAACUUAGUAAAAAUAUAUUUUUAUUGAAAAUUUUUAGAAAAUGGGUGAUUCUUCUGAUUAAGCGAAGCUGUUUCCAAGAAGAUGGUUCAUUGAAACAAUUAGCGACUUCAAAGGUCAUAAUAAGAUUAGCUAAUUAAUCGAAAGGUACCACCUCGGCAAAUUAAGGUCAACCUUUUUUGAAUAAUCUAUACUAAAUGACAAUUUAAAAUUUUUGUGGCUUAUAGAGCCAACUAUUUCUUUUCAUUUCCUUGAAUUUUUGUUUUCCUGCUUAUUAUUAUAGCGACUGUUAUAAAUGGAUUUACAUUAUAGUGAAUGUCUAUCAAGAUCUACUUUGAUAUCUAUUAGGUUUUGAAUCAUUUGUCUUUUACUCAGAUUAGGAGUAAAUCAUUUUUCAUAUUUCAAACCACAUUUUUCUCGAAUGACUAAAGAGACACCCUAUAAUGGUAGGAGAACUUAUGAGAUAUGUGUCAAGCCUAAACUGGAAGGAAGACAUCUUAAACCUACACUAGCUACGUAGUUCUGUAACUCAGGAAUUGCUACAAAGGGUCAAACCCUAAGCUGGCAAGAACACCCCCAUCCCUGGUUCUCUCGGUGCUGAAUCCUAAUCCCAACUGAAUGACACUAGAAUACUAACUGGUGCAUGCACUAUUAAGUAAUAACUAAUAAAAUCAGGUCAUGAUAUUCUGAAAAUAAUAGUGCAUAUGUAUUCUAGGGUAAUUAAUAACAUAUAAACUGAUAAUUCUCAUCAUGAAUAUGGAUAUAUGAGUAUACUGAUAGGAUUCAUGGAUUAUGGACCUUACCAAAUAAUUAUAUUAUUAGUAGCAAAAGCCGCACAAAAUGUAUUUUGCUACUAAUAAUAUAAUUAUUAUUGGAAUUGAGGAAAAAUAAUUAGUUUGGAACCAUUAAGUUUUAAAUUUAUUCCUCACGAACAGUAUUAUCAAAAGAGAUGAUAAUAUGUUGGGUUCAAGUCCCAUCGAUUUAUGCCUAAGACACCUUUAUAUGGAUAAGACGUUGAGUUUGAAUCUCAAUGUACCAUUGAUGAUAUUAUGAUGGAUAAGGCAAACUAAUGGAUAUUUGGUGAAACAUGUCCCAUUAAAUAUACUCCAUUCGUUGAAUUGAAUAUGGUAGUAAUAAAUCAUAUGUAUACCUCAAUUUUCUUUGUAGUAGCUAUAAUAAUUUGAUACGCUUAAGGCAUGAUUAUAUUCCAUUCCUGGGGAAUGAGAAGCUUAUUUAUUCAAACGUGCACUUGAUUAUGAUGGUAUCACACCUCACCUCCGAACGAGGCAGAAUAAUUGAGAAGAGUUAUUAGUAAAUCUAAAAUUUACUAAAGUAAAAAGUGCAUGUCGUGGUAACUUUGAGUUUGCUAGAACAAAAGUUCAUAAGUUGACAUGAACGAUUGCUACAUCUUAAAUAUGUUCAUAUUAAGUAUUGAACAUAUAUUGAAGAAUUCAAAUAUUCUUCACAAACUUUAAUGUUGCUUGUUCUCAUGAUACGUUGGUUGGACCAACUAAUAUUGAAAUUGGAUCCCUUAAAAUCAAAAAAAGUAUAAAAGGUGAAUAUAGUCCCGUUCACCAGUCAUGAGAUCUAUUAAGAUGCAUCAAUAUAAGAAGAUCAUAUGUGCGUUUAUUGUCAACUUGCAGCUUGACAUUCAUAAAGUUGCUUGCUCAAUAAAAUUGAGUUAAGAGCAUAGCUUUCAGAUUGUGCAAUCAAGACAAUUCAUCUUGAUGAUCAUGGUUUAGCAUUGAAUGCCUUCAAUAAAAUGCGAAACCAUUGAAAACGAAAGUAUCAUGUGUUGGUUUGAAAUAUUUUAUACAAAAGUACUUGUAUGCAUCAACCCAAUAAAUUAUGAUUAAUUUUCUCUCAAAGUUGGUUCUAAGUUAGGAAUCACAUGUUGUCUAUCUAAUAGUUAAUGUGCAAUAUACAAUUAAUGAAUAUACCAUGAUGCACAAAGAUGGAUUCCUCAAAGAUGAUGUAGGAUGUAUGUUAGUUUUCCUAACAUAAGGAGGAGAUUAUAAACAGCUGUGAAAUAUGUUAGGAAUUAUCAUAAGAUCCUCAUUUAUAAGAUAAUUCAAGUCAUAUGCCGAAAGCAUCUCAUAUUUAAGCUGCAAGUGCUCCUAUUUUGUGUCAUUGAAGGACAAAGUCUAUGCUUGCAUGAAGCAUUGUAGACUAAUCGGUUCUAAAUGAAAUAAGGAGCAAAUAAUCAUACAACAUAACACUUCAUGAAACUUUAUGAUAGGUUCAGGUACCUGAAAAUGGUGAGAUCUCAAAAUAUUAUGUCACAUUAUAAAUCGAUACAAAAUGGUAAAUAGUCGACAAUAUCUUUGAUACAAUAUUGGCGCAAUAUUGUGAAAUAUUACGAGGAUCUAAAUAGAGAAGAAGAAUAGAGAGAGAAUAGAGAGUAAUUUCUUAUUUCUCUUAAGGGAUUCUUGAGGGGUAAUUUACCCUUCUAUUUAUAGGAAAAUUUACUUCUAGUCUGAGUAAAAGACAGAUGAUUCAAAUCCUAAUAGAUAUCAAAGUAUAUCUUGAUAGACAUUUAGAUAUCAAAGUAUAUCUUGAUAGACAUUCACUAGAAUGUAAAUACAUUUAUAACACUCCCCCUUGAAUGUCUAAUUGGUAGAUAAUGUGCCUUGUUAAAACCUUACUAGAAAAAAUCCAGUAGGAAAAAAAAUCCAGUGAAGGAAAAAGAGCACACAUAUCUAAUAAUAUGCAUUUUGGUUGCCUCAUUAAAAACCUUACAAGUAAAACCCAGUGGGACAAAACCUUAAAAGGAAAAAAGAGUACAACACAUAUUAACUCCCCCUAGUAAGAACAUCCUUGAGCCUUGGCAUCUUGAUCUUAUGCAUUAUUUUCGUGAAAACUACAGUUGGAAGUUUGGUGAAUAAAUCAGACAUAUUGCCACUUGAAUGAAUUUGUUGCACGUUAAUAUCACCAUUCUUUUAGAGCUCAUGUAUAGAAAAGCUUUGAUGAAGUAUGCUUCGUUCUUUCUCCUUUUAUGAAUCCUCCAUUAAGAUGUGCUAUGUAUAUUGCAUUAUUUUCAUAAAAAUCAUGGCUACUUUAUCACAUGUCAAACCAUAUUUUUCGCGAAUAAGAUGUAUCAUGGACACACUCUUGGUUUGCUUCAUGAAUAACUAUUAUCUCAGCAUGGUUCGAUGAGGUGGCUAUGAUAGACUGCUUUAUAUAUCUCCAAGAUAUGGCAGUACCCCCAUAUAUGAACACAUAGCUUAUUUGAGUCCGAGCUUUAUACGGAUUAGAUAAGUACCCAACAUCAGCAUAUCCAACAAGAUCGGGAUUGCAAUCUUUAGAAUAAAAUAAACUCAUGUAUUUUAUCCCAUAUUGAUGUCUUCUAGUAGGAGCAGAAAUAUUUCUUGCUUAACAAAUUGACUGAAAAGGCUAUAUCAGGCCUUUUUGUAUUUGCAAGAUACACUAGUACACCAAUUGGACUAAGAUAUGGUACUUCAGGACCAAUCCAAUUCGGUAUGUUUAUCAUUUUAGCAAAUAAUCUUAUUCCUUUUGAAAACUCUCCAAGAGUUCCAAUAAUUUUCAAGCUAUAAGCUUAUACAAUAUAAGGAUUCUAAAUAAGUUUCCAAGAAACUUUUAUAUGCUUCAAACAUUUUGAAUCCUUAGAAAGUGUUCAUUUAAAUUUUGUCAAGUGACAAUAUUCAACAUUUCAUAUAUAACAUUUUCAAGUGUCUGGAUUGCAAAUCAAAUCAGUAUUACACUUAUCAAGAAACAUCCUUUCAUGUCACUUGAUAAAUGUUUAUACAUCAGCAUGCUUAUAUAAACGUAGAAUCCGGAUCCUCAUAAUCUCUUACAAUAUUGUACAAAUAUUAUAUCAAAGAUAUUGAUGAUAUAUCAUUUCGUAUCGGUUAACAAUGUGACAUAACAUUUUGAGAUCUCAAUACUUCAUUAUUUUCAGGUACCUGAACCUCUCAUAAGGUUUCAUGAAGUUUUAUGUCAUAGGAUCUUCAAGAGAACAUUACCUUCUUAUUACGAUUAUUUGCUCCUUAUCUGUAAUACCCCGAGAAGUUUUUCGUUGAAAUUUUAUGCGUAAACGUGUUGGGUUCUAUCUUCUAGAAUGAAUUAUAAAUUUUUCAUGCGGAAUGUCUUAGAUUAUGACCCACCAUUGUGUAGAGUAUCAAAUAAGCUUUCUAAAAAUAUGUGGAUCAUCCAAAAUGGACACCCGAGCGACGAGUGAUGAACAUUUCGAUAGAACCGCGAAUAGUAGUGAACAGUAAAACAUGCAGGAAAAAGUAUUGAGGCCUGACAUAUUUUUUCUCCAACUUUAAAUGAUCAUAACUCCUUGUACAUAAUGAUAUGGGUGAUCUACUAUAUAUCAACGGAAAGCUCUGCGAGUCCUCUUUUCAAUGAAAUUGGUUUCAUCCAGUUUGUCUAUCGGAGCAAAAAGUUAUGGUCGAUCUACUUCAGCAUAUUAAAACUGAAUUUUUGGGUCAACUUCAAAUGAUCAUAACUCCUCGUACACAAUGAUCUGGGUGAGAUACUAUAUAUCAAUGGAAAUAUAUGAGAGUCAUCUUUCUAAUGAAAUUGGUUUCAUCUAAUUUGGAUAUCGGAGUAAAACGUUAUGGUUGAUUUACUUUAGACUAUCAAAACAGUCCACCAAAGAACAUAUUCGAGAAUUAUUUGAUUUUUAGGGGCAUUUUGGUCAUUCCCCUCACCCAAAAUCCGUCCAAACCCUAUAUUAAAGUCUAUUAGAAGUAUUAUAUGUUAUAUUUCAUCAAAUUCCCUCAAAAAGAAAACCCUAAGCUCCUACAUACAACUUCAAGAACCUCCAAAGUUCACCAUUAAUUCUGUAAAUUUAUUCAAGAUUCCAAGUUCCUAGUUCAAGAACUCCAAGAACCAUUAUUCAAAGGCACAAUUAACAUCUCAAAAAUGAGUAUCGAUCUAAAGUUNNNNNNNNNNNNNNNNNNNNNNNNNNNNNNNNNNNNNNNNNNNNNNNNNNNNNNNNNNNNNNNNNNNNNNNNNNNNNNNNNNNNNNNNNNNNNNNNNNNNNNNNNNNNNNNNNNNNNNNNNNNNNNNNNNNNNNNNNNNNNNNNNNNNNNNNNNNNNNNNNNNNNNNNNNNNNNNNNNNNNNNNNNNNNNNNNNNNNNNNNNNNNNNNNNNNNNNNNNNNNNNNNNNNNNNNNNNNNNNNNNNNNNNNNNNNNNNNNNNNNNNNNNNNNNNNNNNNNNNNNNNNNNNNNNNNNNNNNNNNNNNNNNNNNNNNNNNNNNNNNNNNNNNNNNNNNNNNNNNNNNNNNNNNNNNNNNNNNNNNNNNNNNNNNNNNNNNNNNNNNNNNNNNNNNNNNNNNNNNNNNNNNNNNNNNNNNNNNNNNNNNNNNNNNNNNNNNNNNNNNNNNNNNNNNNNNNNNNNNNNNNNNNNNNNNNNNNNNNNNNNNNNNNNNNNNNNNNNNNNNNNNNNNNNNNNNNNNNNNNNNNNNNNNNNNNNNNNNNNNNNNNNNNNNNNNNNNNNNNNNNNNNNNNNNNNNNNNNNNNGUACUCCCAUAGGAGUGAGCCUGAGGCUGAUUUAUAUAGUGAUCACUAGUUUGUGUGGAUUUGAUAUCGAUAGUCCUACUCCAAUGGCAAGGAUAGGACGGCUCUCCCCAACAUGGGUUGUACGUUGGACUCUAUGUAGCUCACAUGGUUAAUGUUGGUUAUAGGAUCUCCCAGUGUGCUUGUGUUUCCUUGUGUCUAUGGUGAAUGGUGAAGUGAUUUGAAAGUGGAAUUAUGAAAGUUAUUCUUUCGAAAGAUUUAAAUGAUAUUUACAUUAUGAGAAUUGGUAUUCUUGAUGAACUGAAAGUGAUUGACAAAUUAUAUGAUGACUCCAUAUGUUAUUUGUACUUAGUUCAUCCUCUCAUGAUUAUGAUGAUUUUCUUCGGNNNNNNNNNNNNNNNNNNNNNNNNNNNNNNNNNNNNNNNNNNNNNNNNNNNNNNNNNNNNNNNNNNNNNNNNNNNNNNNNNNNNNNNNNNNNNNNNNNNNNNNNNNNNNNNNNNNNNNNNNNNNNNNNNNNNNNNNNNNNNNNNNNNNNNNNNNNNNNNNNNNNNNNNNNNNNNNNNNNNNNNNNNNNNNNNNNNNNNNGAUUUUCUUAGAGGCUUGUCAGACUAGGAUAGAUGUUGGGAGUUGACUAAUAAGUUGUAUUUUGUUAUCUUUCUGAAAUUCUUUUAUUCUUGGAUGAUGAUUACUCUGUUGAUAUUUGAGGGUUAUUUAUUGAAACCCUGUUGAUUUGUGUUGAACUGAAUGAAAAUGGCUCAAAGGGUUAGCUUGGGGCUACUCGUAGCCUUAAGCACUGUGUGACGCUCCGGGACCUGUUUUCUAGGGCGUUAUAUUAUCCUUUUCAAGGAUCAUUUAAUUUUGAACCGAUUGGUCUAUUAUGCUUCAUGCAUGCAUAGAAUUUGUCCUUUAGGGAUACAAAAUAGUAGCACUUACAGCUUAAAUAUGAGAUACUUUCGACAUUUGACUUGAAUUAUAUUUUGAAUGAGGAUGUUAUGAUAAUUCCUAAUAUAUUUCUUAGCUUCUUAUAAUCUCCCUCUUAUGUUAGAAAAACUAACAUACAUCCUCCUUUUUCUUUGAAGAAUCCAUCUCUGUGCGUCAUUGUAUAUUCACUAAUCGUAGACUGCACAUUCACUAUUAGAUGGACAACGUGUGAUUCCUGAUUAAAAUCAACUUUGAGGGGAAAUUAAUCAUAAUUUAUUGGUUUGAUGCAUACAAGUACUUUUGUAUUUAAUAUUUCAAACCACCACAUGAAGUUUUUGCUCUCAAUGGUUUAACUAUUUAUUGAAGGCAUCCGAUGCUAAACCAUGAUCAUCAAGAUGAAUUGUCAUGAUUGCACAAUUUGAAAGUUAUGCUCUCAACUCAAUUUUACUGAGCAAGCAACUUUAUGAAUGUCAAACUACAUGUUGACAAUAAACGCACAUGUGAUCAUCUUAUAUUGAUGCAUCUUAAUAGAUCACAUGAUUGGUGAACGGGCUCAUAUUCACCUUUUGAAUUUUUUUGAUUUCAAGGGAUUCAAUCCUAAUAUUAGUUGGUCGAACUAACUUAUUAUGAGAACUAGCAACAUUAAAAGUAAUGAAGAAUUUUCUAAUUCUUCAAUAUAUGUUCAAUACUCAGUAUACACUUCUUUGAGAUAUCGCAAUCGUUCAUGUCAAUUUAUGAAUUUUUAUUUUAGCAAACUCCAAGUUUACCAUGACAUGUACAUUUUUUCUUUAGUAAAUUUUAGAUUUACUAUUACAUGAAUAAAUUUUAGACUUACUACUUUAUAAGUAGAUUUCAAAAUAACUCUUCUCAGUUAUUCUGCCUCUUUCGGAGGUGAGUUGUGAUACCAUCACAAUCAAGUGCACGUUGCAUUAAUAAGCUUCUCAUUCCCCAGGAAUGGAAUAUAAUUAUGCCUUAAGCGUAUCAAAUUAUGAUAGCUACUACAAAAAGCAAAUUAAAGCAUAUGAUUUAUUGCUACCACAUUCAAUUCAAGGAAUAGAGCAUAUUUAAUGGGACAUGUUUCACCAAAUACCCAUUAGUUUGCCUUAGCCAUCAUAAUAUCAUCAAUAUGGUGCAUUGAGAUUCAAACUCAACGUCUUAUCCAUAUAAAGGCAUCUUAGGCAUAAAUCGAUGGGACUUGAACCCAACAUAUUAUCACCCCUUUGGAUAAUAUUAUUCUUGAGGACUAAAUUUUAAACAUAAAUAGUUCUAAGCCAAUUAUUAAUUCCUCAAAUCCAACAAUAAUUAUAUCAUUAGUAGCAAAAGACAAAUAACAUAAGGAAUGACUAACCUUGAAUUUAUCUUUAGAUUUAUAAUCUCACCUUGUUUGGUUGAGUCUCAUGUUGAUAAUGUGUUAUAAAACAAGAAAGAAUAAAGAAGAAGAGUAGAGAGAAUAGAGAGAGUAAUUCUUAUUUCUCUUGAGGGAUGAGAUAUCAUCAGAUUGAUAAGAAUACAAUGAACAAAACCCCUUUGUAUAUAGGGGAAAAUACUCCUAGUUUCUGACUAAUAGACAGAUACUUCAAAUCCCGAUAGAUAUCAACUAGAUCUUAUUAGAUCUUGAUAUACAUUCACUAUAAUGUACGUACAUUUAUAACACUCCCCCUUGAAUAUCUAGAAAUAUAAUGUUCCUCGUUAAAACCUUAGUAGAAAAAACCCAGUGGGACAAAAAUCUAGUGAUGGAAAAAGAGUACACAUCUCUAACAAUACGCAUAUAGGCUGCCUCAUUGAAAACCUUACAAAGAAAACCAAGUGGGACAAAAGCUCGUAAGGGAAAAAGAGUAGUGCGCAUAUUAACUCCCCCUAAUGAGAAUAUCCUUGAAUCUUUGCAUCCCGAUCUUGUGCACCAUCUUCUUGAAAGUUGCAAUUAGAGGAGACUUGGUGAAUAAAUCAGCCACAUUAUUACUUGAACGAAUCUGUUGCACGUUAAUAUCACCAUUCUUUUGUAGCUCGUGUAUGUAGAAAAUAUUUGAUGAAGUGUGCUUCGUUCUAUCUCCUUUUAUGAAUCCUCCAUUAAGAUGUGCUAUGCAUAUUGCAUUAUCUUCGUAUAAAAUUGUAGGUACAUUAUCAUAUUUUACGCCACAUUUUUCUUGAAUGAGAUGUAUCAUGAACCUCAAUCAUACACAUUCUCGGCUUGAUUUAUGAAUAGCUAUUAUCUCAGCAUGAUUAGAUGAAGUGACUACGAUAGGCUGCUUUGUAUAUCUCCAAGAUAUGGAAGUAUCCCCAUAUAUGAACAACCUAUUUGAGAUUGAGAUUUAUGCGGAUUAAUUAAAUACCCAACAUCAGCAUAAUCAAUAAGAUCGAGACUGCAUUCUUUAGAAUAAAACAAGCUCAUAUGUUUUAUCUUAUUCUGAUGUCUCCUAGUAGGGGCAGAAAUAUACCUUGCUAAUAAAUUAACUGAAAAGGCUAUAUCAGGCCUUGUAGUAUUUGCAAGAUACAUGAGUGCAUCAAUUGUACUAAGAUAUGGUACUUCACAACCAAUUUAAUUUAGUAUAUUUCUCAUUUCAACAAAUAAUCUAUUGCUUUUGAAAACUCUCCAAGAGUUUCAAUAAUAUUCAUACAUCUAUUUAUCCCUCAUAAGGAUAAUAAACAAGUUUUCCAAAAAAUUUAUAUGCCUUAGGCAUUUUGAAUCCUUUAGGAAUUUUUAUAUGGAUUUUUGUCAAGUGACAAUAUCAAUAUGUGUGACAUUUUCAAGUGUCUGGACUUUAAAUCAAAUAAGUGUUAUGGUUACCAGGAUGCAUCCUUUCAUGUCACUUGAUAAAUGUUUCUACGUCAGUAUGCAUAAAUUAACUUAGAAGUUAGAUCCUCAUAAUCUUUCACAAUAUUAUGCCAAUAUUGUAUCAAAGAUAUCAUCGACGGUUUCUCAUUUUAUAUCGGUUUGCAAUGUGACAUAACAUUUGAGAUCUCAUCACUUUAUUAUUUUCAAGUACUUAAACUAUCAUAAGGUUUCAUGAAGUAUUAUGUCGUAGGCUCUUCAAGAGCACAUUGCCUUCUUAAUAUAAUAAUUUGCUCCUUGUUUCAUUAGGAACCGAUUAGUCUACCAUGUUUUAUUCAUGCAUAAACUUUGUCUUUUAAGGACACAAAAUAGAAGCACUUGCAGCUUAAAUAUGAGAUGCUUUCGGCAUAUGACUUGAAUUAUCUUAUGAAUGAGGAUCUUAUAAUAAUUCCUAACAUAUUUUAGAGCUACUUAUAAUCUCCCCCUUAUGUUAGGAAAACUAACAUUCAUCCUCAAUCUUUUUUGAGGAAUCCAUCUUUGUACAUCAUGAUAUAUUUAUUAAUCGUAUACCAUACAUCAAAACUAUUAGAUAGAAUAGUUGGUUCCUGACCUUGAACCAAUUGAGAGUGAAAAACUAAACAUAAUUUAUUGGUCUAAUGUAUACAAGUUCUAUUGUAUGCAACAUAUCAUAAUUCUGACCAACACAUGAAGUUUUGUUCUUAUUAGCAAUGGUUUAGCUAUUUAUCGAAGACAUUCAAUGUCAAACCAUCACCAUCAAGAUGAAUUGUCUUGAUUACACAAUCUGAAAAUUUUGCUCUUAACCAAUUUUAUUAAGCAAACAACUUUAUGAAUGUCAAACUGCAGGUUUACCAUAAACUCACAUAUGAUCAUCUUAUAUCGAUGCAUCUUAAUAGAUCACAUGAAAGGUGAAUUGGCCCAUAUUUACCUUUUUAAUUUUUCAGAUUUUGAGAAAUUCGAUCCCAACACUAGUUGUUCCAACCAACUUGUCAUGAGAACAAGCGACAUAAAUAAUUCUUUAAGAAUCUUCUAGUUCAUCAAUACAUGUCUAAUACUCAAUAUGCACAUCUUCGAGAUGUCACAAUCAUUCACAAUUAUGAACUUUUAUUUAGUAAACUCCAAGUUUACCAUGACAUGUACCUUUUUCUUUAGUAAAUUUUCAGAUAUACUAUUACAUGAAAAAAUUUCAGAUUUACUACUUUAGAAGUAGAUUUCAAAAUAACUUUUCUCAGUUAUUCUGCCUUAUUCGGAGGUGAGUUAUGAUACCAUCACAAUCAAGUGCAUAUUUGCAUUAAUAAGGUUCUCAUUCCCCAGGAAUGGAAUAUAACUGUGCCUUAAGCCUAUCAAAUUAUGAUAGCUUAUAACCUCUUUCAUAAUAUUGCUACUUCAGGAGCAAAUCGAGGCAUAAAUAUGAUAGAAAGAAUUUCUCUAUAUUGCUACCACAUUCACUUCAAGAAUGGAGCAAAAUGUCAUCUUUCAGACUUAUCAUAUAUUGCUACCACAUUCACUUCUUGGAAUGGAGCAUAUUUAAUGGACAAGUUUCAUGACUUUUCAUCAAAAAUACAUUAUUUUUCCUUAGCCAUCAUAAUAUCAUCAAUAUGAUGCAUUGAGAUUCAAACUUAAUGUCUCACCCAUAUAAAAAUGUCUUAGGCAUAAAUCAAUGGGACUUGAACCCAACAUAUUAUCAUCCCUUUUAAUAAUAUUAUUCUUGAGGAAUAAAUUUAAAACAUUAAUGGUUCCAAACCAAUUAUUUUUCCUCAAAUCCAACAAUAAUUAUAUUAUUAGUAGCAAAAGACAGAUAACAUAAGAAAUCACUAACCUUGAAAUUACCUUUAGAUUUAUGAUCUCAUCUUAUUUGGUAGAGUCACGUGCGCAUAUCAAUUCGAAGCAAGUUAGAAUCGGCUACAUGAACUGUUCAUGUCACUUCAUUAAAUCCGUCUAAUGUUUACAGUAACUACAAAUUGACAAAAUUAAGAAGUCUUUGGAAAAUGACUGGAUAGCAGCUUUGCGAUCUCUAGAAAUCCAACUUUGUCCUUGCCAAAAAAUAUCAUCUUCAACUUGGCAUCACAAUUUAUCUCCUUCUUGUUCGCCGGGUUCUAAAGAUUAAUGGUUUUAAUGUAAUCCCAAACUUUCUUAACAACAUCAGUACGUGAGAUCUUAGAAGCACCAAUAAAUUUUUGUAGUGCUGGUGAAAUCGGCAGCGGCUUCAGUAUUCUUCUAGUACGACCUUUUCCCGCCUCCGUACUAGUAGCGGCGGAGGCGGCGGCAGCUGCCAGAGCUGCAGUGGAGCUCUUAGCAGCUGCCAUUAGGGUUCAGCAAUAGUUUUCGAAAAACCUAGAUGAUGACGUCAUGUUUUUUUGUCCUUGGAUUCUGUGCAAAACCCUAAGAGCUUAUACAGAGGUGAAAUGGUGAGGGUUUUGGAGAGGGCAAUGGCAAAACAAGGUGAAAUUAUAAAUCUAAAGGAUUUCAAGGUUAGUAAUUCCUUAUGUUAUAUAUUUUUUGCUACUAAUAAUUUAAUUAUUGUUGGAUUUGAGGAAAAAUAAUUGGUUUGGAACCAUUUAUGCUUAAAAUUCAUUCCUCAAGAAUAAUAUUAUCAAAAUGAAUGAUAAUAUGUUGGGUUUAAGUCUCAUCAAUUUAUGCCUAAUAUGCCUUUAUGAAUAAGACGUUGAACUUGAAUCUCAAUGCAACAUAUUAAUGAUAUAAUGAUGGCUAAGGCAAAAUAAUGUGUUUUUGAUGAAAAGUCAUGAAACUUGUUCAUUGAAUAUGAUCCAUUUCAUGAUGUGAAUAUGGUAGCAAUAUAUGAUAAGUAUGAAAGAUGACAAUUUGCUCCAUUCUUGAAGUGAAUGUAGUAGAAAAUAUACAUUUAAAGAUAUGCAUACCUCAAUUUGCUCCUGAAUUAGCAAUAUUUUGAAAGAGGUUAUAAGCUAUCAUAAUUUUAUAGGCUUAAGGCACUAUUAUAUUUCAUUCCUGGGGAAUGAGAAAUUUAUUAAUGCAAACGUGUAAUCAUCAAAACUCACCUCCAAAUGAGGCAGAAUAACUGAGAAGUGUUAUUUUGAAAUCUACUUCUAAAGUAGUAAAUCUGAAAUUUAUUCAUGUAAUAGUAAACAUGAAAUUUAAUAAAGAAAAAAAAUUACGUGUCAUGGUAAACUUGGAGUUUGCUACUAUAAAUAAGUUCAUAAGUUGACAUGAACGAUUAUGACAUCUCAAAGAUGUGCAUAUUGAGUAUUAGACAUUUAUUGAAAAAAUAGAAGAUUCUUCAAGAAUUGUUUAUGUCGCUUGUUCUCAUGAUAAGUUGGUUGGACCAACUAAUAUUGGGAUUGGAUCCCUUAAAAUCUUAAAAGUAUAAAAGGUGAAUAUGAGCUGGUUCACCAGUCAUGUGAUCUUUUAAGAUGUAUCGAUAUAAGAUGAUCACUUGUAUGUUUAUUGUCAACCUGCUGUUUGACAUUCAUAAAGUUGUUGCUCAAUAAAAUGAGUUAAAGAACAUAACUUUCAGAUUGUGUAAUCAAUACAUCAUCUUGAUAAUGUCGGUUUGGCAUUGAAUGACUUCGAUAAUAGCUAAACCAUUGCUAAUAAGAACAAAACUUUAUGUGUUGGUAUGAAAUAUGAUAUGUUGCAUACAAUAGCACUUGUAUGCAUUAGAUCAAAAAAUUAUGAUUAUAUUUUCCCUCUCAACUAAUUUAAGGUCAAGAACCAACUAUUCCAUCUAAUAGUUUUGAUUUGCAGUAUAUGAUUAAUACAUAUACAUGCACUAAGAUGGAUUCCUCAAAGAAGAUAGAAAAUGUAUGUUAGUUUUUCUAAUAUAAGGGAGAGAUUAUAAGUAUCUAUGAAAUAUGUUAUGAAUUAUUAUAAGAUCCUUAUUCAAACGACAUCUCAUAUUUAAGAUGCAAGUGCUCCUAUUUUGUGUCCUGGAAGGACAAAGUCUACGCAUGCAUGAAGCAUGGUAGACUAAUCGGUUUCAAAUAAAAUAAUCCUUGAAAAAUAAGGAGCAAAUAAUCAUAAUAAGAAGACAAUGUGCUCUUGAAGAGCCCACAACAUAACACUUCAUGAAUCCUUAUGAAAGGUUCAAGUACCUGAAUAAUAAUAAAGUGAAGAGAUUUCAAAUUAUUAUGUCACAAUGUGAACCGAUACAAAAUGAGAAACCGUCGACGAUAUCUUUGAUACAAUAUUGGUUACUGUCAAAGAUUACGAGGAUUUAAAUUCUAUGUUUAUUUAAGCAUACUGACGUAGAAAUAUUUAUCAAGUGACAUGAAAGGAUGAAUCUUGGUAAGCGUAACACUUAUUUGAUUUGCAGUCCAGACACUUAAAGAUGUCACACAUGGAAUGUUGAAUAUUGUCACUUGACAAAAUCUAUAUGAAAACUUUUUUAAGAAUUCAAAAUAUAAAAGUUUUUGGGAAACUUAUUGAUAAUCCUUAGAUUGUAUAAGCUUAUAGCUAGAAAAUUAUUGAAACUCUUGGAGAGUUUUUAAAGUAAUAGAUUAUUUGCUGAAAUGAGAAAUAUACCAAAUUAGAUUGGUUAUGAAGUACCAUAUCUUAUUGUAAUUGAUGCACUAAUAUAUCUUGCAAAUACUACAAGGCCUGAAUAGCCUUUUCAGUCAAUUCGUUAGCAAGGUAUAUUUCUGCUCCUACUAGGACACAUCAGAAUGUGAUAAAACACAUGAGCUUUUUUUAUUCUAAAGAUUGCAGUCCCAAUCUUAUUGGUCAUGCUUAUUUUGGGUACUUAUCUGACCCGCAUAAAGGUCGGUCUAAAAUAGGCUAUGCGUUCAUAUGUGGUGGUACUACCAUAUCUUGGAGAUAUACAAAGCAUUCUAUCGUAGCCACUUUAUCGAAUCAUGUUGAGAUAAUAGCUAUUCAUAAAGCAAGUCGAGAAUGUGUAUGACUGAGGUCCAUGAUACAUCUCAUUUGAGAAAACUGUGGUUUGAAAUGUGACAAAGUACCCAUGAUUUUAUUUGAAGAUAAUGCAGCAUAGAUAGCACAACUUAAGGAAGGAUGCAUAAAAGGAGAUAGAACGAAGUACAUUUUGCCAUAGCUUUUCUAUACACAUGAGCUACAAAAUAAUGUUGGGUAUUUAAUUAAUCCUCAUAAAUCUCGAUCUCAAACAGGCUGUUCAUAUAUGGGGAUACUGCCAUAUCUUGGAGAUAUACAAAACAGCCUAUCGUAGCCACUUCAUCAAAUCAUGCUGAGAUAAUAGCUAUUCAUAAAGCAAGCCGAGAAUGUGUAUGAUUGAGGUUCAUGAUACAUCUCAUUCAAGAAAAAUAUUGCGUGAAAUGUGAUAAUGUACCUACAAUUUUAUACGGAGAUAAUACAAUAUGCAUGGCACAUCUUAAUGGAGGAUUCAUAAAAGGAGAUAGAACGAAGCAUACUUCAUCAAAGAUUUUCUACAUACACGAGCUACAAAAGAAUGGUGAUAUUAAUGUGCAACAGAUUCAUUCAAGUAAUAAUGUGGCUGAUUUAUUCACUAAGCCUCCUCCAAUUACAACUUUCAAGAAAAUGCUGGACAAGAUCGGGAUGCAAAGGUUCAAGGAUGUUCUCAUUAGGGGGAGUUAAUAUCCGCUGUACUCUUUUUUCCUUAUGAGGUUUUGUCCCACUGGAUUUUCCUUGUAAGGUUUUUAAUGAGGCAGCCUAUAUGCGUAUUGUUAGAGAUGUGUACUCUUUUUCCUUCACUAGUUUUUUUCCCACUGAGUUUUUUCUAGUAAGGUUUUAACGAGGCAUAUUAUCUAUCAAAUAAACAAUCAAGGGAGAGUGUUAUAAAUGUAUUUACAUUAUAGUGAAUGUCUAUCAAGAUCUAAUAAGAUCUAGUUGAUAUCUAUCAGGAUUUGAAGUAUCUAUCUUUUAGUUAGAAACUAGGAAUAUUUUUCUCUAUAAAUAAAGGGUUUUGUUCAUUGUAUUUUCAAUUAUCUUAUUAUCUCUCAUCUCUCAAGAGAAAUAAAGAAGUCUCUCUCUUCUUUCUCUAUUUAUCUCUUCUCUCUCUAUUUAUUCUUGUUUAUUUCAUAACAGCGACUAAGCUUUUCGUUCUAAUUUUAUAUUCAAAAUUCCAUUUGUAAACAAUGAAACACUACCAUUCAUAUUUCCAUAAGACGUUUACAAGAAAAAGAGACCUCUUCAAAUUUUUGGAUGUAAACAUUAGCCUGUUCAUUUAAUUUCAAAAAAGACGGAGGACAGAGAGAAAAGAGACAGAGAAGGAGAGUAAGAGAGUACCGUAGGGUUUGUAGACAUUCCAAAAAGCGAGGAAGCAUAAUAUAUGAGAUUGGAGUUUAUGUUUAGGCUAGAGAAGAGAUUUUUCGGAUGAUUCGAUAUUGCUAAAUAUAAUUUAUAAACAACACAAAAAUAAAAAAUAAAAAAAGAAAGGCAAAUGAUUUUUUUGUUUGUUUGUGGUUUUUCGUUUGUUGUACGGUGCUCGUAUUUGAGCCCUGAUUAAUUCGAACCACACACUGGACGACUCAUUCUUGGGGUGGCGCUUCCAAAGGUAAACUUAUUGAUGAUGAAGUACACUUCAUUUGUACCAAACACACAAAGACCACAAUAUUGCAACAGUUAUAAAACAAACUUUUGAGUUUUAUUCCUGAAUUAUUUGUAUAUGGAUUUUCUAUUUGAACUGUCACCAAAUAUUUGUUGAAACACACUUGACUUAUUAGUUGUUCACUUUUAUCACCUAAAACUUUAGGUAUAAACCUCAAAUAACUGAUAGUUUAGGUGUAUUUCAAUAAAUAUUUGGUGAUAGUUCAAAUAAAAAAUUCACACAUUAGACAGUUCAUUAUAAAACUGAAAAAACACUUGAUGAAGAGUGUUUAAUUUAAUUCACAAAAGAAAACCGUAGUAAGAAACACAUUAGUGUGAUUAGCCAUUAUGUCAUAGCCAAGAUUUAGCGAAGACUAAACCUAGAGCAUGUUGUAGCAAGUAAACCAACUAUAAGUUUGAAACAAACGACGAACAAUAUGCAAGAAUAAGUUGACAACGUGUCGUCUUCUUUCAGAGGGUUUACAUAUAUUUAUAAUUCAUUUUAUAAUUAUUAUUAACAAUUAUAAAUGAGAAGGAUUUUUUGUUUAAAAAUCCAUUUUGAUUAGUUAUCUAUUAAGUUGUAUUACCUUACAUCAUUUAGAAAAUAAAAUUUGAAGAUUCAAAUUCAAGAUACGAGUUACGAAUAUCCAUUCCUCAAUAUGUCAGCAAUUGGUGACCCGAUCCCGCUAACGCUAAGCAAUAAUAGCUACCGACACCAACUCUAUCUUCCCUUUCACUCGAAAACUCAGGGAGGGGGGAGUCUUCAAUAUAUUCACAGAAGGUGGUCUACGAUCAUUAGAUUUCUAAAAAGAGGAGCUACGUCAAAUCAUUUAAUUUUCUCCGAAAUAGCAAUUUUUUAUGUUUGAUUGGUCAACAUAUCGAAAGGUAAAAAAAAUUUGUAUCUCAUUAUUAUAUACAUUUUACUAAAUAAGUUUAAUAUUAGGUCAUACUAUACAUUCUGACUUUAAGUCAUCAUCUUCGUUAAAUCGCCUAUGAACAUAUCCAGUAUAAUAUCAGAAAAUAAAAUUUGAAGAGACUAAAAUAUAUAUAAAUUUAAAAGUAUUUUUUGGCCAACAACUAGUUUAAUCCCACAAAAUGAAGUCAAAAAACGAUAGAUAUACUUAUAUUUUUUGGAGAUAGAGAGACUAUUUUCAAAAGACAGUCGACUCAAGUGAGGCAAAAUCAAUGUAAGAAUUAGAAAAUAUUGAUAGUGAAGAGAAACAUGAUAAAUAAUACAAAAAUAGUGUGAAUAAAUGUUCAACAAAUCCAAAACAUAGUAAACAAUAGAUAAUGUCAGAUUAGUAUAAAAGAGAGACAUUAGCCCGAUGACUUGCCAGCCUCACAGGCCAGGAAUUCUAUUUUAAAUUUUUCUCAAUUUUCCCCUUAUGUUUGCUAAUCUAUUUGUAAGUUGUAUCUUUUCUGAACAGUUGUAACUUUUGCCGUCAACGAAACCGACACAACUUUAAGUAUCAUUAAUUAUUUUUUUGAAAGAUAAUUUUCACCAAUAUCUUUCCAUUACAUAUGCUAUCAAACAUUAACUAUUCAAAGGCAAUUCUGUUCAUCCAGGGGCGGCUCAAGCGAAUCCGUGGCCUAAGGCCUUACAUCUUUAAGAAAAAAUAAUUAUUUUUAUAAAGUCUAUUUUUAAAAUUAUAUAAUUGAUUUCUUUUAAUAAUUUUUUUAAUUAAUAAUAAAGUUAAUGCAUUAAUUUCUUCACACAUAGUAUUCUGAACUAGAUAUAUCAAACUUCAUCUAAAUAUUUUUAUAUAAAGAAUCUAUUUUUUCUAUAUAUAGUAUUUAAUAAAUUUAUAAUUUAUUAUUAUUAAAAAGAUGAGGCCCUCAAAUUUUGGGGGCCUUAGGCGAUCGCCUUUUUUUCCAAAGGGUUGAGCCGCCCUUGUGUUCACCUCUUAUGUCGAAUUUUCACUUUCAAUUUUCUUUUGUUGAACGAUGAAUAUUUAUGUGAUAUGACUAUGAUGAUCAAAAGAUUCUUUAAUAUACACGAGGGUGAAAUAUUUUAACCUAUGAAUUCUUGUUGCAAUAGACUAUUUUGCCUAGAUUGUAAUUUGGGUAUUGGGAACAGGGAGUUAUACAUUUACGAUCACACCAUCAAUAAAUACAGGUCUAUCCCAGUACUAGACACAAUCAACGAACCCCACUUGAUAAAAUCUACUUGUAUAAAUUUAGCUUUUGAUUCCAAAAAGCCAGUGGAUUAAAAUGUUGUAUGUCUGGUUAGGUUCAUGGUGUGGAGAUAUUCUGCGGAAUGUUAUGACUGUACUGAGUAUGGAACAGUGAAUUUAUAUCGUAACAGCUAUGGUAUUUUAUAACUAUUGUUUUUUUGGUACAAAAUUAUGGGGUCCAGCCCAUGUUCAUGGCAUAAAAACAACGUCGAAAAUUUCUGCAUACCCAUACUCUUACUUUGUCAAAAUUUGGCUAGAAAAAAGUCUGAGUUUCAAUUUAUUUUUGAUGUCACUGAUGGCAUCAACGUAGGAAGUUUUUGCCUAUAAAUAGAGGCAACUUCAGCUCACUUCAACACACCAAAAAAAGAGAGAAAAAAUAAUAUAGGGAGCAGUAAGAUAUUCCACAGAUUAAUAAAAAUAGUGUCUGAAGGAAAAUUUAGGGGGAGCGACACUUUAGUAAGGUGGAGUCAAAAAAGGGUUAUUUCUUUUGAAUGUGUGGUAGUUAUUUUGAGUAUUGUACUUGUGACUACGGUGUAAAAUUUCUUACUAUAGUAAUAUCAGUUAUUCUUCUUGGUUCGUGGUUUUUUCCUUAUUUAGAAAGGUUUCCACAUAAAAAAAUUAGUGUUAUUAUUUUUCCUAUUAUUUUGCCACAAAUACUUUUGUUGUUAUUCCGCGUUUAUCCAACAAACUGGUAUCCAAGCCCACGAUUUGCAAUAUCUGUAUUUUUGGUAAACAAUGAAAACCAACAUAAGUAGAAUGGUUACCUUAAAUGGCGUUAAUUAUGCCAUUUGGAAGGAUAAAAUGGAAGAUCUGUUCUAUGUCAAGAAUUUUUAUCACCCGGUAUUUGACACUAUAAAACCUGAAAAUAAAACAGCUGAAGAGUGAAACCUGUUGCAUAGACAAAUUUGCUGUUUUAUCAUGCAGUGGGUUGACAAUAAUAUGUUGAACUUUAUUUCUAGGAAGACAGAUGAUCGGUCCCUAUGGGAGCAUGUUGAAAGUUUGUAUACUUGAAAGACUAAAAAUAAUAAGAUGUUCUUCAUUAAGCAAAUGUUGGGGUUAAAAUACUAUGAUGGUUCUUCGAUGACAGAUCACCUGAAUAACUUUCAGAGGAUUAUGAACCAGUUAUUUUCUAUAGGUAUUAAGUUUGAUAAAGAAAUUCAAGGUUUGCUUCUACUUGGUUCUCUACCAGACUCGUAGGAAACAUUUAGAACUUCUUUAUCAAAUUCUACUCCUAAUGGCGUGAUCUCUAUGGACUCUUCCAAGAGCAGCGUUCUUAAUGAAGAGAUGAGACAAAAGUUUCAAGGUUCCUCUUUGUUUGAUGUCCUAGUGACUAGCGUUACGGGGAGAAGCAAGAAUCGUGGUGCUCAAAAUAUUGAACACCAUAGAAGCAAAUCCAGAGGUAAAUUUAAUGAUAUUGAGUGCUAUCAUUGUGGGUUAAAAGGGAACACAAAGAAAUUUUACCAAAAGUUGAAGAAGGAGAAAAAAGACAAGGAGGAAAAAAAGAAGACGACAAUGAAAAUUGCGUAGCCACCGUCACCACCGAAGAUCUUGUUACUGUCCUUGAUGCAAGUCUAAUAAAUGUUGCUUGUGAUAAGUCAAGUUGGGUUAUGGAUUUUGGUGCCACAUCUCAUGUGACAUUAAGGAAGGAUUUUUUCUCAUCUUAUACUCCAGGUGACUUUGGAACCCUGAGUAUGGGCAAUGAGACUAUUUCUAAGGUGGUUGGUAUUGGUACAAUUUUUGAAAAAAUAGUACUAGAUCUAAACUAGUUUUAAACAAUGUAAAACAUGCACCCGAUGUUCGCUUACACUUGAUUUCUGUUGGCAUACUGGAUGAUAAGGGAUAUGUUAGUACCAAUGGCGGUGAAAAAUAGAAACUCAUUAAGGGUUCUUUGGUUGUGGCUCAUGGAGACAAACGUCAUGGUAUAUAGUGACUACAACUUCUACUUGUGCUAACAUGGUGAAUGUAGUUGAAAACGCUAGCUCUUCAACAUUAUGGCACAAGAGGCUUAGCCGCAUUAGCGAUAAAGGACUUAAUGUUCUGGCGAAGAAAAAAUUUCUGUCAGAUUUUGAAAGUGCAAAAUUGAAAAGGUGUGAGCACUGUUUGGCUAGAAAAUAAAAUAGAGUUUCUUUCAAAUCUCAUCCUCCUUCAAGAAAGACAGAGUUGCUUGAGCUAGUGCAUUCAGAUUUUUAUGGUCCAAUGGAGACAAGGACUUUGGUUGGUGCAAUUUACUUUGUCACUUUUUUUUAUGAUUGCUUAAGAAAACUUUGGGUCUAUGUAUUAAAGACUAAAGAUCAAGUGUUGGGUGUCUUUAAGCAGUUUCAGGCUUCUGUUGAAAGAGAAAUAGGGAAGAAAGCUAAAGUGUAUUCGUACUAAUAACAGUGGUGAAUAUUGUGGGCCGUUUGAUGAAUACUGCAAACAAAAAGGUAUCAAACACCAGAAGACUCCUCCUAAGAUGCCUCAACUUAAUGGUUUGGCGGAAAGGAUAAAUAGGACCUUGAUGGAAAGAGUCUGAUGUUUGCUCUCUGAAGCAAAGUUUUCAAACUCCUUUUGGGGUGAGGCUCUAUUGACCACUGCACAUGUUAUUAACCUAUCUCCUACUGUUGCUUUGGAAAGUGAUGUACCAAAUAAAAUUUGGUAUGGAAAAGAUAUUUUCUAUGACUAUUUGAAAGUAUUUGGUUGCAAAGAUUUUGUACAUAUGCCCAAAGACAAGAGGUCAAAGUUAGAUGCCAAGACAAGGCAAUGCAUCUUCAUUGGUUAUGGUAUUGAUGAGUUUCGUUACAGGCUAUAUGAUCCAUUUGAGAAGAAGCUUGUAAGAAGUCGUGAUACUGUAUUCAUGGAGAAUCAAACCAUUGAAGAUAUUGACAAAGCAGAGAAGCUAGAAUCUUCAAGUUCUGAUGGUGUGGUUAGUCUUGAUCAAUUUCUUUGUACAAGUGUGCAUGAUGUUGGGCUAGAUAAUCAUGGUGACGCCCAGAAUCAUGUUCAAAAUCAACAUGUUCAUCCUAAUAAUGACAAUGAUGUUGUUGUUGAUGAUUCUCUAGUUCAAGAAGUUGUGGAUGAGUCAAAUGCUCCAUUAAGAAGGUCUAUAAGGCAACGUAUUCCUUCUUCUCAUUAUUAUCCUAAUGAAUAUGUGUUACUUAGUGAUGGGGGAAAACCUGAAUAUUAUGAGGAGGCCAUAGAAGAUAAACAUAAGGAUCAAUGGAUUGAAGCCAUGGAAGAUGAGAUAAAAUUUGCAUGAGAACCACACUUAUGAGUUGGUAAAAUUGCCAAAGGGCAUGAGAGCUUUGAAGAAUAAGUGGGUGUUCAAAGUAAAAUUUGAAGAAUACAGCUUGAAUCCCAGAUUGGUUGUCAAAGGAUUUGAUCAAAGUAAGGGUAUCAACUUUGACGAAAUAUUCCCCCCUGUUGUCAAAAUGACCUCUAUUCGUACAAUUCUUGGUUUGGCUGCUAGUCUAGAUUUAGAGAUUGAGCAGAUGGAUGUGAAGACAACUUUUCUUCAUAGUGACCUCGAAGAGGAGAUCUAUAUGGAACAAUAUGAGGGUUUCAAGAUAAAAUGUAAAAGAAAACUAUGUGUGCGAACUUAAGAAUAGUCUUUUUGGCUUGAAGCAAUCUCCUAGACAGUGGUAUAAAAAGUUUGAAUCUAUCAUGGGGGAGCAAGGCUACAAAAGGACUUCUUUAGAUCACUGUGUAUUUGCACAAAAUUUUUCUGAUGACAAUUUUAUCAUCCUCUCGCUAUAUGUGGAUGAUAUGUUGAUUGUGGGUAAGAAUGCUUCCAGGAUUAAUGAGUUGAAGAAAUAAUUAUGCAAGUGUUUUUCUAUGAAACACUUGGAUCAUGCUAAGCGGAUUUUGGGCAUGAGGAUUACUUAUCACAGGAGAAGUACAUUGAACGUGUACUGCAGUGCUUUAACAUGAAGAAUGCUAGGGUUGUUAACAUACCCCUUCCUAGUCAUAUGAAAUUGAGCAGGAACAUGUGUCCUAUAGAGAAGGAGGAAAAAUAGAGCAUCGCUAAAGUUCCAUAUGCCUCUGUUGUCGGAAGUUUAAUGUAUGCAAUAAUGCGUACCAGACCUAAUAUUGCUCACGCAGUUGGUGUUGUCAGCAGGUUUCUUAAAAAUCUAGGAAAAAAGCACUGGGAAGCAGUCAAAUGGAUAUUGAAGUACCUAAGAGGAACCUCAGGAGACUAUUUGUGUUUUGGAGGAUAUGAUCCAAUCUUGAAGGGCUAUACAGAUUCUGAUAUGGUGGGUGACCUUGGUAACAGAAAAUCUACUACUGGAUUUUUGUUUAUAUUUUCAGGGAGAGCUAUAUCAUGGCAGUCGAAGUUGCAGAAGUGCAUCGCACUAUCUACAACUGAAGCUGAGUAUAUUGCAGCUAUUGAAUUGGCAAGGAAAUGAUAUGGCUCAAGCGAUUCCUUCAAGAGCUUGGAUUACAGCAAAUGGAGUAUGUUGUCUAUUGUGACAGUCAAAGUAUAAUAUACUUGAGCAAGAACUCCAUGUAUCAUGCAAGAACAAAACACAUUGAUGUGAGGUACCAUUGGAUUCGUGAAUAAGUGGAGAACAAAUCAUUCCAUAUUAAGAUGAUUCACCCGAGUGAAAAUCCCGCAGAUAUGCUAAUAAAGGUAGUACCAAAAGACAAGUUCAAACUGUGCAAAAAACUUGUCGGCAUGAGAUCUCUCUAAAGAACGAUGAUACCUUCUUCAGAUGUAUAGGACUGGAGGGGGAGAUUUGUGGGGUCCAGCCUAUAUUCAUGGCAGAAAAACAAAGUCAAAAUUUUUUGCAUACCCAUACUCUUACUUUGUCAAAAUUGGCUAGAGAAAAGUCUGAGUUUCAAUAGUAUUUUUUAUAUCACUGAUGACAUCAACACAGGCAGUUUUUGCCUAUAAAUAGAGGCAACUUCAGCUCACUUCAACACAUCAAACAAAGAGAGAAAAAUAAUAUAGAAAGUUGUGAGGUAUUCCACAGAUUAAUAAAAAUUGUCUGUGAAGGAAAAAUUAGAGGGAGCGAUAUUUUAGUAAGGUGGAGUCAAAAGAGGGUUAUUUCUUUUGAGUGUGUGGUAGUCACUUUGAGUAUUGUACUUGUGACUACGGUGUAAAAUUUCUUACUAUAGUAAUAUUAGUUGUUCUUCUUGGUCCGUGGUUUUUUUCCUUAUUUAGAAGGGUUUUCGAGUAAUAUUCUUGGUGUUAUUAUUUUUUCUAUUAUUUUGCCACAAAUAUUUUUGUUGUUAUUCCGCAUUUACACUAUAAAAAUUUAUAUUAACAACAAAAAAUUCAAACACAAGUUCAAACAACUUAUAUAUUAUCAAAAUGAAGUUUCAAGAAAUUCAAACACAAAGUCAAACAACUUAUGAACUAUCAAAAUGAAGUUCAAAUUAUUUUCUGAAAAAUAGCAAUAUCAUUAAGUAAAAGAUAAAGAAAUGAAAGAAUCAAGUCCACCAAACUCAUGGUGUGUCCUUAAGGAAUUUAUUCCCCUCAAGUACCCGAGGUUAAUGUAAAAUAUCCUUCCAGGGUUAAAAUAAUUCACUUCUAAAUUGUGGUAUCUCAAAUUUUCUGAAUAACGAACUCACUCAACGAUUUGUGAAUCACACUUGAAAUUUCGGAAGGAAAAGAUAUUUUUUCACUUCAAAAUUCUGUGCCUUUACCUGAGAAAAAAUCCAGGUACUUAGCCAAAAGGCGGUGCUUCAGAAAGGAAGCAAUGAUUCUUGAAAAGAGGUGUUGUUUCAGAUAGUCGCCGUCCUGCGAACCCCGCCUGCACCUGCAUAUGGCCCAUAUGUGGUCACAUCUAAGUAUUUCUCGAUUGGGUUCGGAUAUUCACUUAUCACUUGUGUUAGAAAUGAAUUAAAUGACAUCUGUGAAAAAGAAUUUAAAUUAAAAAGAAAAAAUAAAAAUUUAUGAAAAUAAUAAAUUUAUGAUUUUUUUCGUAUCAUGCUGACGUGGCAUGCGCAUGUGCAACACCACACCACGUGCAAGUGGUAUAAUGCUUUCCAGGGUGUAAAAGUUUCACUUUUUUAUAGUUUAGGUGUAUAAUAGGUCACUAGUAUAGUUUAGGUGUGGCUUCGACUUUUCUUGUAUAGUUUAGGGUGGAAACAAUGUCUUUUCCCAUAUUUGUAAUGUAAAACUUAACUAUGUAAUAUGCACUUUUAAAUUAACGUCAAUAAUCUUCAUUUCUCCAUUCGAUAUCACUAAAGCUUCACAUAGUAGGUUCAUAUUUUAUUACACUAUAAAUUUGAAACCAAAACAAGUUUCAUAUAAGAUCAAAUGAGCAAACAUCGACAUAUAAUCUUGUUAAAAAUACUUCUUCCCAAAUUUCUCAAUAUUAAACUUAUUAUGUUAGUAAAAAUAGUUAUACGUGGGCCUAUUCUUGUUUUGUAUUCAUUUUUCUUAUUAAAUCCAUUUCUAAGUAGACAUCUCUAAUUCGUGUAUUCUAUUGAUAUUUGUUAUCUUUUCUUGCUCCUCCACCAUUUCUUGCUUUUUCACCAUCUUCAUUUAUAUCCAAUUACAAUUUACAACUCUUACUUUGGCCAUUUCUUUAUAUGUGUUUCUUUCGGUUGUGAUUUUGUUUCUAAAUAAAUGUAUAUUCAAAUUUUCAAGAGUACUUUGAUCAUAAUCAUUUUAAUAUGCCCCUAAGUUUAAAUAUAGUAAUCAGUGUAAAUUUAGAAAGAGAUAAAAUUUAAUUAGCGGUAAGUUGGUAAAGUAAUUUUUAAUUUUCUAAAAGUGAAAAGUUUAUUAACGGGUGUACCCAAGUCAAAAGGAGCACUUAUUUAGAAAUGGAAGGAGUAAAAUUUCUUUUGAUUAAAAAUAUAUUUUAUUAAACUAAAUUUAUUAAUGAUAUUUUAAAAUCGUAAAUUUAAUUGCAAUUACUUAUAUAGUUAUUUAAUACUAAAAAUAAUAUGGAUAAAAAAAGUACUAUAACACUCUCUUAAUUUGUUAAAAUGGACCAGUAGAAUGAAACAUCUAUUUUUGAUAUAUCAACCAAAUUAAAUGCAACAUAUGAAGUACUUUCUCCAUUUCAAUUUGUGUGUUUGAUUUUAAUUUGAAACGAAUAAGAAAGUAAUGAAAAUUUUAAAUAUACCACAAAGCCAUUUAAUCUUGUGAUUUUAAACAUAUAUUAGAGUUAAAACUAAAGAACUGACAAAAAAGAUAAUUUCUUAAAGGACUUAAAAGGAAAUUAAGAUAAAUAAAUUAAAGUGGAGGGAGUACACAAUAUUUUUAACUUUUGUAUUUAAUCUAAAAAAAAUAACUUUUUAUAUAAUCAAGAAGGUAUUAAUAAAAUAUCAAAUUUGUCUUUAUUUAUAUAAAUAAACUUUUACGUAAUUAAGAAAUUAAUAUAAAUUGAUAUUACUUAUGUAAGGGCAAUUUGGUGAAAAUACAUUUUACGUUCGUUAAGGCAAUUAAUUUCAUAAGGGAUAUGUCCAAUCUAAAAUAUCAUAUAUAUGGACCAGAAGGAGUAAAGAUUGUCCUUAGCAUUAUUUGUAAUUAUAUAUUUUUUUGAUAAAUUUAGGUAAUUUUGGAACCUAAUUUCAUUUUAAUGAUGAAGCAUUUAUUAUAUACUAUUAAUUCCUCUCACCCGUUUUAAUUUAUUUGAUAUUUUUCAUUUUUUUUAAAAGUCUUUCUAAUUAGUUUCUCAAGCUAAAUUAAGUUGGAUCAACUUAAUAUUUUUUUAAGAAUUUAAUCCCCCCUCUCUCUCUAUAUAUGUAUGUAUGUAUAUGAACUAAAUUAGUUCUUCAGAUUUUUUUAAUGAAUUUAUUUAUUUUUCCUUGAUUUUUUUAACACUAAAUUUAAAUCACCAUAUUUAAUUAGCAUAAAUUUUGCCCCAUAAUAUUAUAUCAUUAGUGAAAUAAAAACUUAAUAAAUAACAAAAAGAUUAUACUUCAACCAAUAAAUAAAUUCAUAAAAAGUUCUGCUACUUACAAUUUAUGAUCUCCUAUGAGUUGAGCAUUUUAUAUAUUUAAAUCAUGUUACUUUACUAAAUAUCGAAUUACUUGUGUCUCUUAAUUUUUAAUUACUAAGAAUUUUUAAUAAUUAUAAAGACUUACCAACAAUCCAUCCUAUUUAAUAUAUCAUUGAAUUUUAUUAGCUGUGCAGUGAGAAAAUAUGACACAUAUAAUUUGUAUAGAUAAAAUAUUAUUAUUUUAUAUUUUGAAUUUGGGCUCAGGCUUAUGUAAUUAGUUAUUAUUAUAUAUAGGGGAGAAUAUUUCAUUUUGGUAAUCCUCACAUAAAUGUAUUUUGUCUAUUUAUCCUUAAGAGGUCGUUUGGUGUAAGGUAUAAAAACAAAUAAUAUCGGGAUAAAAUAAUAAUUCUAGAAUAAAAUUUUUAAUGCGUCUUUGGUUGGCAAUAUUUGAGACAAUUUAUCCCGAGACUAAUAAAUAGUACCGGGUAACUUAUCCCGGAACUAAUAAAUAGUACCGGGAUAAGUUAUCCACCCAUUUGGUGGGAUAACAAUCCCAUCAUUAUUUAUUCUUGGGAUAAAAUUAGAAAAGGACACAAUUACCCUCCAAAUUCUUAGAUUCUCAAUAAAAUAUAAGGUAUUUGUAUAACGAGAUAAGUUAGAUUUUAAUGAGAAUGGAUAUAAAACUUAUCAUAUGAAGUUCAAAUUUUUAAAUGAGAUGAAAAAAUAAAAUACAAAAUUUUGUGUAUAAUAUUUUAUUAUUUCUACACAAGUUUUUCAUCGUUUUUAUUUUACUUUUUCUACCAAUUUACUCAAAUAAUUUUAUUUAAAAAUCCAAAAAAAAAAAAACUAACUACUACAUGAUUCAUCGUUAUAUAUGUUUUGGAGAAAGUAAGAAAUUCAAACUUACAAAUAAAGAGAAAAAUCAUAUGAAUCAAAUAAAUAAUUUUUUAUGUUGAGCAAUGGAGCAUCUAGCUAGCUAUUAUUUUAAAAUCUUUUUCAAAACUAUAGCUAAUAAUAUUUUUUUCAAAUGAUUUUACUAAUAUAUAUAUAAUAGAUAAUGUGAGAUUUUAGUAGUCUUCACAUCAAAUAUUUUUUUUUAUUUUAUCCCUAAUUUAUAUUUUAAUUACUCUACAAAUUUUCAUUCAUUUUGAUUAAUUUGAAUAAUUAUAUAAGCUUAUUAAAUUCUACAAAAGUGAUGAGUAAUAGAAAAUGAUAGUGACCAUAAAAAUUAUUUAUACAACCAAGUUUAAAAUUGAUGCAAGGAUUUAUUAUUUUUCUAUUUUGUAGAAAUGUUUAUUAAUCGUACUUUAGAUUUUUAUUUUUCCUAACAAAUUUAUUAUGGACAUAAAUUUUUAUUUUUUCUAACAAAUUUAUCAUGGACAUAAAUUUUCAUUUUUCCUGACAAAUUUAUCAUGGACAAGUUAUUAAAGUAUGUUGACAUUCCCUUUCUAACUUACAACAACAACAACAACAAAUCUAUUGUAUUCCCACAUAGUGAGGUCUAGGGAGUGUAAGAUGUACGCAGUCCAUACCACUACUCCCGGGGAAGUAGCAAGGCUGUUUUCGAUAGACCCCCGGCUCAAGACAAGGAAUAGUAAUCAAAGUCAUACCAAAAAACCUAGAACANNNNNNNNNNNNNNNNNNNNNNNNNNUCAAGACAAGGAAUAGUAAUCAAAGUCAUACCAAAAAACCCAGAACAAGACAAAACAUAGAGAUACCAUAUACAGGAAAAGAUUAAACAAAGACUAGUAAACAAUCGUAAUACUACAAACAACAAGAAAUCAUAAUAAGAAUACUACAUCCACCAAGUAAUGUCCUACCCUACCUACCCAAAAUGGCACUAGCUUUCCAUCCUAAUACGUGUCCUCCAGAUUUUCCUAUCUAGGGUUAUGUCCUUAGUAAGCCGUAACUGCUCCAUGUCCCGCCUAAUCACCUCUCUCUAGUACUUCUUCGGACUACCCCUUUCCCAUUUGAAACCAUCCAAAGCAAGCCUCUCACACCUACAAACUGGUACCUCUGUGCCCCUCCUCGUCACGUGUCCGAACCAUCUCAAACGAACCUCCCGCAUCUUGUCCUCCACCGAAGCCACUCCAACCUUUUCUCGGAUAGUCUCAUUCCGAACUCUAUCACUCCUAGUAAGCCCACAUAUCCAACACAACAUCUGCAUUUCCGCCACCUUCAAUUUCUGAAUUUGAGAGUUCUUGACUGGCCAACACUCUGCUCCAUACAACAUGGCCGGGCGGACUGCCACCCUGUAAAAUUUUUCUUUAAGUUUGGGCGGCACCUUCUUAUCAGAAAACACCCUCGAGGUGAGCUUCCACUUCAUCUAUCCCACUCCGAUACGGUGAGAGACAUCCUCGUCAAUCUCACCAUUCCCCUGAAUUAUGGACCCAAGAUACUUGAAACUAUCCCUCUUACAUACCACCUGAGACUCCAGCCUUACUACCACGCCAUCCCCCUCCCUCGAGCCAUCAAACUUAUAUUUCAAAUACUCGGUUUUGCUCCUACUUAACCUGAACCCUUUAGACUCAAGGGUCUCUCUCCACAGUUCUAAUUUAUCAUUCACACCCCCUCGAGUCUCAUCAAUCAAAACCACAUCAUCUUCAAAAAGCAUAUACCAGGGCACCUCGCCUUGAAUACGCCGCGCCAACACAUCCAUCACCAAAGCAAACAAAAAUGGGCUAAGAGUAGAUUCCUGAUAUAACCCUGCCAGGACAGGGAAAUGUUCAGAAUCACCACCCGCCAUCCUCACCUGGGUCUUAGCUCCAUCAUACAUGUCCUUAAUUGCUCUGAUAUACGCCAUCGAGACCCUACUACCUCCAGGCAUCUCCAAAGAACCUUCCUAGGGAAUUUAUCGUAUGCCUUCUUCAAGUCGAUAAACACCAUGUGCAGAUCCUUCUUUCUUUCUCUGUACUGUUUCACCAGUCUCUGAAUCAGGUGAAUUACCUCUGUCGUCGAGCGCCCGGGCAUAAAUCUAAACUGGUUCUCCGAAAUAGAGACUAUCCUCCUUAACCUUAACUCGACCACUCUCUCCUAAAUUUUCAUAGUGUGACUCAAUAACUUAAUACCCCGAUCAUUGUUGCAACAUGAAUGUCACCCUUAUUCUUAUACAGAGGGAUCAUAGUGCUCCACCUUCAUGCGUCAGGAAUUUUUGCCGACUUGAAAAUGGCGUUAAAUAAAUCAGUCAACCACCUUAAACUAUUCUCUCCAGCAAACUUCUAAAAAUCCAUAGGGAUCUCAUCAGUCCCCGUCGCCCUACCCCUUCGCAUCCUGCGAACAGCCUCUCUGACUUCCUCCACCUUAAAACGUCUACAAUAACUGAAAUCACAAUGCUUCUCUGAUUGCUCCAGCUCCCCUAACAACAUAACUCUAUCCUCUUCAUCAUUCAAGAGCCUAUAAAAAUACGACUGCCAUCUUUUCUUAAUGUGAUCAUCCUCCACCAAUAAUCUACCAUCCUCCCUCUUAAUGCACUUGACCUAAUCGAGGUCACGACUCUUUUUUUUCCCUAGACUUAGCCAGCUUAAAAAACCUCUUUUCCCCUCCUUUCUUUUCUAACCCCGCAUACAAGCUCUUAAACGCUGUCGUCUUAGCAUCCGUAACUACUAGCUUAGCCCCCCUCCUCGCUAACUUGUACUCCUCCCUAUUUACCCGCUUCUUUUAUUUAUCCUUACUCUCAACCAACUUAGCAUACACCUCCUUCUUAGUCUUCACUUUCUUAUUAACUUCUUUGUUCCACCACCAAUCCCCCCGAUGGUGACCGUCCAUGCCCCUAGACAUACCCAACACCUCAGUAGUAGUCUCCUUGAUGCACCUAGACCCCUUAUCCCACAUACCAUCUAUGCCUCCCAUACCCUCCCACACCUCCAUGCCCGCUAAUUUCUCCCCUAUCUCCCAUGCAUUCACCGACAUCAAGCUGCCCCACUUAAUUUUCGGUCUACCCUCCGUACCCUUAUUCUUCGUAUCCUUUCUAAUAUCCAAGUCCAUCGCCAAGAGCCUAUGAUGGAUCGAAAGAUUCUCAGUCAGAAAGACCUUACAGUCCUUACAAAAUACCCUAUCCCCUUUUCUAAGUAGCAAAAAGUCAAUUUGGGUCUUGGAUAUCGCAUUUUGAUAGGUGAUCAGGUGAUCGUCCUUCUUUGGAAAGCUCGAAUUCACCACCACCAGCCCAAAGGACCUUACAAAAUCCAACAAAGCAUAUCCCUAUUUAUUUCUCACCCCAAAACCAAAACCACCAUGCACAUCACCAAAGUCUCCCGGUAAUACCCCGAUGUGCCCAUUGAAAUCCCCUACUAUAACUAUUUUCUCCGAGCUAGGCACACCUCUCACCACCUCAUCCAAAACCUCCCAAAACCGUAUUUUCUCUUCUCCCUCCAAGCCCACCUACGGUGCAUACACACUAUAUACGUUCAUGGUAAACCCCCUAAGACCAACUUAAUAGUUAUCAGCCUAUCACUAAUUCUCUUAACCUCCACUACCUGCCCUCUAAGCUUUUCAUCUACCAAGAUGCCAACUCCAUUCCUACGCCUCUUAUUUCUAGAGUACCAAAGCUUGUAACCAUCCAUAUUCCUAGCCUUAGACCCUACGCAAUAUUAAUCUUUCUCCUCUUAAGAAUCUUCACCAAUUCUAUUGACUUACCUUGAAGGGUCCCUAUAUUCCAAAACCCUACUCUCAACCCAUCCACUCUCGCCUCUUGCCUCUCUCUACCACCCCUCACCGCACCAGCCCUAACACUCAACCUAGACCAUAUACCUACCCAUGCCCUCCCCUCUUUACCCUUCAGAUAUGACCUUAUUCCACCAUCAACCCCUACAACCACCACUUAAGAUCUGAAACCAAGUCCAAACAGAGCCUCAAACCAAUAGACCAAAAGACAACAAAACAGUGCAACAAUAGGAAAACAUGAAAACAGAAAAGCAGUAUGAAAGCAAUAGGGAAAUAGUAGGCAGUCACAAGUAUACUCACAGGAAACAACACAGUACAAAUAAAAUGGUAAAAAUAUUAACUAGUGAAAAUAUGUAAAUAUCAAAGUUUAGAUGUCACCUGGGUAGUCCUGCGUGCUUAUGGUACCGUCAAUUUUAUUUUCGGAGUUGGUUGGUGAAAACAGCAUUGCUAGAAAGCUAUCAUCGAAAUGUCGCUGGAUGUUACCGUCAUUGGAGCGUCUACUGUGCUUUACCGGAUCUGUGUUUUGGUGACUGUUGCCGGAGCUGAUCCUAGUCCCGCCGGUGAUAUCUGCCACUAAAAAGCAAAGAAGGUGGAGGGAGAGAGAGGGGUAGCUCAAAAGAGCUGUAGAGAGAGAGGGAGAUAGAGAUAGAGAGAGCUCGAGGGAGGAAGGCAAAAAGGGUAACUUGCCUUUGCCGGCGCCGGCGCUGGCUACUCCGUCAGAGAAGAAGACCAUUAGGUAAACGUUAACUUUAGUGGAGGAGAGAGAGAGUGUUAGAAAAAAGGAGAGAGAGAGCGUUAUCACGAAAUAAAUCCCUUUCUAACUUAAGACAUUCUUAAUUAUUAAAUAAAAAAUAUUUUUAUAUUUAGCUAAAAAUAUUUAAAAUUUAAUUUAAAAAAAAUAUAAUUUGACUCUCCAAAUAUUAAUGACACUAAAUAAUGAAAGCUAAAUAAGAUGAAAAUUUUAUUUUUAAAAUACACACGAUAUAAUUAUGGAAAUGCACACACAAAAAAAAAUUAAGCUAAAUAAGAUGAAAGUUUUUUUUUUAAGAAUAAAUAUUUAAAUAUUGAAAAGAAAUAUAUAUAUAUAUAAGAUGGAGGGUAUUUUGGUAAUCAAUUAAUUUAUUCUUAGAAAUUAUAACAUGCAUAUUACUUUGAAUACAACAAAUCAAACACUCAAUAAAAAAUAAUUCCAGUAUAACUAAUCCCAGUAUAACUACAUUCCCAACCAAACGACUCCUUAGUUAAGUUUUAAUGAUCUUUCAAGUUGUCAUCCAUUUUAAUAAAUUUGAACAAUUAUUUGGGAUUUUAAAAUGCUAUACAAAAACUGAUGAGUCAUAAAGAAGUGAUAGUGAUGCUACAAAAUAUCUAUUUAUCCAACUAAAUUUAAAAUUAAUUCAAAAGUUUCUUGUCUUUUUUUAUGUGGGAUGAUAAUGAUUUAAUAAAAGAGAACUCUCAUUUUUUUUAAUUCUCACAAGAAAUUUUGAAGCUUUAAUAAUCUUGUAAGGUUUCACCCAUUGAAGAAACAUCUGCAAAAUGUAUUUUAUUGAGUCUGACUUUUAAUUAUUUAGUUUAAAUACUAUUUUUAUUCGUAAAUCAUACAACAGUCUGUAGCAUCAAAUAUUUUUAUAUUAAUUAAAUAUUGUAUUAUUUAAAAAAAUGGAUUAGCCAAUCUUAUGUUUAAUUGAGAAAAAAAUAAUAAAAUUAAUUAAAUAUAAGUCAAAUAUUAAUUUGAUUGUUAAAGACUUUUAUUUAAAAGCAUUUCAGUAAAAUAAAAAGGAGAAGAAUUUUAGAGUGUGCAUUUGUUUGAAAAUUAAAAGAAAGACUAAAUAUUGUGUGAAUAAAAGCCAAUAAGAAGAUGUCAAACGUUGUAGUACUUAAUUGUACAAAAUGUUGUGUGAAUUGUAUUGUUUAUUUGGCUUAUAUUAUUGAUGAUAAAGCACACUUCUCUUUUGCCAAACCACAAUAUUGCUUUAGUUAUAUAACUGAUUUUUGAGUUUUAUAUCUGAACUGACAUUAAAUAUUUAUCGAAAUACACUUGAAUUAUCAGUUGUUUACUUUUUCUACCUAAAAUUUUAGGUAUAAAACUCAAACAACUGAUAGUUUAGAUGGUUUUCAAUGAAAAUUUGGUGAUAGUUCAGAUAUAAAAUUCACAAAUUUGACAAUUCAGUUUGAAACUAAAAACACACUUGAUGCAAUGUGUUUAAUUAAUUCACUGGAGAAAACAUUAGCAAAAAAUAUAUAGUGUGAUUAGCCAUUGUCAUAGCCAAGAUCACCUAGCAAAAAGAUUAGACCUAGAGCAUGUCGUAGAAACUAAAACCAACUAGUACUAGUUUUGAAACAAGCAACAAAUAAUAUACAAGAAUAAGUUGACAACGUAUUGUCAAGACUCAAAAUCCAAAGAGUCAUGAUGACAUUUGUCGUGGCGAACCUUGACAAGUAAAUCUAUCACCCAAACCAAUACACAAAGGAAAAAAGGAAAAAAUAAUCCCAAGGUAAAGCUUCUAGAAUGAAGCCGAAUCAUACAAGUAUAAUAAAUGCAGAAAGCAACCAGAACACCCAAAACACCCAAAAUCAGGUGUCAACGGUGUAAGAACUACUAAUACAAUUCAAGAGUCAAGUACAUUAGAAAAAUAACAACAAAGAAAUAAUAUCUGUCUUCAAAUAUGAAUAAUGACAUAACUAAUACAGAAAGAUAGAGGCAAACUCCAAACGUAUGAAUGUCCCACCACUACCUCGACUAAUUUGAAGGCGCCCGAAAUCAACCAGUCUGAGGUGCACUCAAACCUGAAGCUGCACUAAAAGGUUGAAAUAGGAGUAAGUACGAUCUACUUGUACUCAGUAGGUAUCAUAGGCUGACCGAGCAAAGUAGAAAAUAAAGCAUACAAAAUAUACACUAAAGGCACGUCGCCUGUAAUUAAAAAAUGUUCCACAACGGUAGCCCAUAUUGCUUUCACUAACAGUUCUAAUAUAUCACAUAUCUUUCUAUAUCACACCAAGAUAGAACACAAGUAUGCAUUAUAUCACAUAUAAGUAGAACAAGGGGGAACAUGCAUAAACAAGAUCAUCAAAUACAAGUAAAAGAAGAUAAGACAAUUACAUAGAUGAUAAGUCAAUAUGGCAAUAUAACACAAUAUAAACACAAUAAAGUAAGUGUAAUGUAUAUGAUGAUGAUGCAUGAGGUCAUCGCACAACCUCUCGGAUUGUCGCACAAUCCCCGUAUACGCCUACGGACACAAGCCUCCAAACGCAGAACCCAUAGGGAGUUAGUCAACCCGUAUAUAAUCUACAUAGCUCAUAUCUCUUUUUUGGCACAUUUCUUAAAAAAAAAUUUAUAAGGUGUUACAAUAUCUCCUCUUUGACACAUCCCUCGGGGAGGGUGUUACUCAGGUGUUGCCAUAGUGUAAUGACCCGAGACUACCCAUAGUCAUCACACGGUACUUAGGACCACAAGUGAUUCAAAGCUAACCCUUGUGUUGGCAUAACUUGUGAGCAACUGAAUAAGAUACAUACAUCUUGAAGAAACAAGCAAAAGAAAAGUUAUUAGCUAAACAUCUUUGAAACAAACUAUUAAAACGAUUACAACUAUGGUUAUACAAAACAAAACUAGAAUCAAUACAUCAACUCUGCUAAUUGUCUAUGAAACCUCUACUAGUAUUGACUAUAGGUAGCCAGGACAUGGCCCCUAGCUAUCCCGAAUCAAUACGACUGAAUAAAAAAAUAAAAUUGCUACUUGAACUAUGACUGACUCGAACCCUUGAAUCAAAAGGGCUCAUCAACUGCUGACUGAAAGCUGCAACUGUCUGAUUAUGAUGUGCAUGCUACAACGUGUACCUAUAUUAUUAAACAAUGUAGAACAUAAACGUAUAUGUGGAUCAUUACUUUUGGAAUGUACUGAGCAUGUGGGGGUGAAUGCAUAAGUAAAACAAUGGUCUAAUGUACAUAUAAAUUUUUAAACAAUGCAUGCUAAGUGUAAAUGACUCACCUUGAGCUUCAAUAAAAUUGAAAGUUGAAAGAUCAUAAACCAUGAAUAGUAAAACAUCCUGAAUAAACUAUUGGGAUUUCCUUCUAACUCACAUAGAUCAUGUGAGCUAUCAUGGAGUCCAACGUCUUACCCACGUUGGGGAGAGCUGUUCUACCCUUUCCAUUAAAAUAGAAUCUUAUCUUAAGUGAUCACUGACUUAGCUCACUAAAGGCAUAUAAACCUAUGGUGGCAUGUAGUUCUAGGGCAUGAGACCUUUAAAAUCAUACCCAACUUGGUGCUAAAUACUAAUCCCAUACUUAUCGCUCAGACUUUUGAAAAUCCACCUUAAAAUAAUACAAGAGUUUGUAAGGAAAACCAGUUAUGCUUCUCUUUGCUUUAAGUCAUAAAAUCUAUGAAUAAUGUGGAUUCCCUAUCUUAGUUUAGGAUCAAGAUCAAAUUUUUCUUAAAAUAUGAAUACAUACUUAUCAAAGAAUGCUUAAACACCAUCUUUUUUGAAAUAUCAAGACUUAAACUUGGGGCUUAUAACCCAUGCUUGAAAAUCAAGUUAAAUCACAACAAACUUCAUGCUCAACAUUAAUAAUUUUGAAAUACUUUAACAAUUCUAGUCAAGAUAGUGAAAUUAAAUUCUCAAUAUGUGAAAUCAAGUCACACGUAUAAACUUGUGAAAAUAAAUAUUCAAUUAAUACUUAAACCAUUUGUAACUUCAUAAGCUUUAAAUAAUGAUAAUUGGAUAUGAACCCUAAAUUAAAAUUCAUGUAAAUUCAACUUUAAAACUAGUUUUAGGCACAAGGACGAAAGAUUACUCUUGUUCAUAACUCCACAUACCUUAAUGAUGAAGAAAUUGUGAAAAGAUUGAACCUUUAAGCUUGAUUGCCCAAACCCUAAGUUGUUUUUUUCUCCUUUUGUGUAUUAGAUGAUGAACUAAUGAUUUUUGUAAGGUUAAAAUAUGUUUAAGGACUAUUAAUCUCAUGUAGUUAUGUUUAGGGACGUUAAUGUAGUGUCAAAUGACUUGGUUGCCCUCAAAAUAACUCAAAAAUAGAGUUUCUACACCACUUGGCCAUAGGCUUUGCAGUGCAAACUCCAUGGAAAACAUUAGGCUUUGAGGUGCAAACACCAUGACAAAUAUUAGGCUUUGUGAAGCAAACCUUAUGGCAAACAUUAGGCUUUGUGACACAAACCCUAUGACAAACACUUUCCACUGUAUGUUUGCAAUGGUAUGACGAUGCCUAGCCAUCGCCUAAGCUCUAGUUUGCGAUGCCAACUUAGUUUUGAGGUCCAUAAACACUCCCAAUACCCCCCACAACAUCAAAACAUGAUCUAUCAUCACUAUGAGAGUCCUAAAGAUCAUUUUUGAAGCAUUGAAAGGGUGUUACAACUAUAGGGUGUCACAUACACGUAGGAGCGAUGGAUAGAAUUUUAGUGUGAAAAUAUGGUGUGUUACAUUAUGUCUCUCUUGGAAUCAUUUAUCCCUGAAAGAUACUGACUUGGCUGAAAUACUAAGGAAAGACUGAGAUAGGGUACGGAACACUUAUGAGCUGAAUCAUAACUUAAUAUCUGAAUCUGAAACUAAUGCAUGAUGCAUGAACUAAGCUGAAUUUGUAAUUUGCAUGAAUGCAAACAUUUUGCCUUAUGGAUUGACCUUACUUGUGAAACUUUGGGUAGUAAGACUAGAUAGAAAGUUGAAAAUCUAUAGGAGCUUAUCUGCUUGAUUACUAAACUAGAUUGCAGGCUAUAUGGACUGAAUUAUCCUAAAAUCUUAUACUCAACUGGAGUAUUUCUUCAACACUCUUCUAAGAAUUUCUAAUAAUAUUGGGGAGCAAAGAAUUUUGGUCAUGAUCUGAACAAGACAUUUGACUAAGGAAUCACAACAUUGAUACAACUCUAUAAUAUGGAGCAUAGACAUAUAAAUCAUAAGCUAGGACAGAAUUACUUGGCUUUAGGCAAUGCAACUUCUUACUUUCAAGCUUAGCAACACUUCUCAAAUACUCUCUUAUCUAUGCUAUUCCCCUUAAAUACCAUACUCUUUUGAUUUAAAUUAUAAUGCUCACAUGGGCAUUCGUAAAUCCAUCUACUAAUGUCUAAACUGAACUAAAUCCUCUCACCAUGAUCAAGACUAACUCGAAAUCACAAGAUACAACAUGCCAAACCAUAAUACUAGUCUAAAUUAUAUGAUUCAAUCUUCUAUAUCUUUUUAGAGCUCACACUCUAAUCAUGACAUGCCUUACCACUUCACCUUGCUCUAUCAACACGAUAUGCGAGCAUUGUAUUGCUACCUAUCAAUGUGAAAUGCAUCGCCCCACGAACAUAUCAUGGACCCUCACUGUUUUGACCAUCCAAAUAGGUUUCAAACCUUGCUCAAAAAUUUCAAACUUACCUGAGAUAUGCUAUUGACAACCUCGAUCAUGAAUUAACUUAAAGAUUUAUAUUUCAAAGAUGGAAAGGUCAAAAAGUAAUGCGCAAUGCAUUCAUCCACUUAUACACUAACAUGAAAUUCAAGCUUAUUGUUAUAACCACAUAUGAACAUCUAAACAAACAGUCAUAAUAGCAUCUUUAUCAUAUCUUCCAAACCUCUAUCAUUAAUAACUUUGAUGGACUACCCCAAGAACAUACACACUCAAUUUCAACUAACUAUGACAUAUAUCAAAGUCUUGACCUCAAUCUUCACGCUUAUAGCCUUAGCUAAAAUAAGCAUACAACGAUCAUUCGUUAACAAGAAACAUUUACUCUCUCCCAUCUAAACCAUUGCUUAUCCAUUAUCAUCACCACUAUCUUAACAUAAGAAGAGGUCACUAAAGGGAUAACACAUAAGGACCUGAAGCACAAAAGAAUACUAUACUUAACUUUGACACUUAACUGAGGCCUGAGGAAUAGAAUGUCAAAGGCAAGGAUUCAUUAAAGAGGUCUAAAUUGGGGACAUACAUGAUAUAUUAUGAAUCUCACUAGUACCAUGAGUGCUGAGAACUGAUCAUACUCUAAAACAUGAGUUCAUAGUUAUCAUAAGCUAUUCAACAUAAGACUGGAGUUUCAUAGAUUUAUGAGGGAUGACUCAAAUCAUAGAGUGAAGCUGAUACUUACUUACUAGAAGCUGAGAAUGAACUUGAAUACGCAUAAAGUGUUUAAGCAUUCGCCUUUGUCAUGGGUCUAUCACAAAAGACAUGAAUUUGGUAUGAUAAUGACUGAAAUCCAAGGAAUACCCUAGAGUAGGAAAGGAUCACUAUCUCAUCACAACUCUUAUUAACAUGUAUCGUAAUCUAAUUCUCAAAUCUUGAUUUGGUUCUACACUCUACCAUCUCCCCCUUAGAUCAAAGCUGACAUUUUAAGCUCAUGGGUCUACUCCAAAUCCUCGAGACUAAGCCAUAAUUUCCUUGCUCUAACGAUCUACACAUGAAUGUUCAGUCACCUGUAAACUAUAUCUAGACAAUACUAACUUCAUUCUUUGACAAUCCCCUUUUACAUAUACCAUCCUUAACUUCCUCUAUCUUUAAUAAUUUUUUCCAUAGACUCACUUUCCUCUGCAAACAUACCUACCUCACUAAACACCUAAUCAUAGCCUACCAAGAUCACACUUCUUUAUUUUUAUUUUUCGAACCAUAAGAAUCAAAAUCAUAUUCAAAAGACACAACACCAUUUAUCUAUAGCUCUUCAACUUAGCUAUUAAGAAUACUAUGUACUAUAUAACUAUCCUUCUUUCACUUAGUAACUCAAGGGUACUACUAACCACAUACAACACUUAGUAACCUUAGAAAAUAAUGCAACCCCAUAUCACCUUGGGUACACCUUUACAUCAUACUUACAAUAUCAUACUAAAUUAUGAAUAAAUCAACUUAAACUCUUGCAUACACUGUUCAAGCCUACUAGAUCACUUCCAUAUAACAAGCAUCACUAACUACGCAAUCAUUAUUUCCACCUUUAUGAUCAUCCACUAUUCAAACUUAGUAUCUAGGGCCAGGCAUGAUUAACAACCCAACCUUACAUACUAUUCUCAUUUUGAAGCUAUAAAAUAAAAUAUCAAGAAAUACUAGUCCACUAAAGCCUCAUAAUAACAACAAUUGAUAAUGACCUUAUGGCCUAUCUUAUUAUAAUACAUUAGAACCUCCUUCUUCUACACAUUAAAACUAUUUACCCGUCUAUACACCUAAAUUACUUUCAUAGCUCUAUAAGUUUUAACUAAACUCCUUUUUGGCAACCUCAAGGGAAGCCUAAAUUAACAAUACUCAACCACCAAAUACUUUCAUUGCUAACCUAUACUUUUAUAACAUAAUAAAUACCAUCAAUAAAUCCUUUCCUACUUUAAGCAAACAAUAAUUCACCUUAACUAAUAACUCUUUCUCUACCUUCCACCAAGGAACCUGUACCAUAUUCAUUACCCCUAAACUAACACACAAUGACAUAUCACCUUACUACUAACUCGAUUACAUGCAAAAAUUCAUUUAUAUGCAUUCAAUCAGUCGACAUCACCACCUUUAUUAUCACUAUACUUCUAUACCCAUACUUUUAACUGCAAGAAGGAUUUACAACUUAUGAAUAAUAAUACUCCAGGUUGCAAUAUCUCUGUAAUGCUAGCUCUAUUUAACAAUCUAGGUUCAUACUAUUUCCUCUCAUAAGCAAGAGCACUAUCUGUAUUGAAGGGUUAAUGAGGAAUCUGAAUACAUAUCUUAUUAUGUCUUAACUAAAUAACUCAUAAGGAUGAGGACAUAACUUUCAACUUGAGGAACUUAUAUCACACUAAUGAGCUCCUCUCAAGCCCCUCGUAUGACUUCUGUAGUUACUGAUAGUAAUUCUGAGAGCAUCAUAUUGGGAGGAAUUGGAACUUACUGUCAUGUCAUCUCAAGAAUAAGGCAUAGAUAAAGGAUAACGGAGUAACACAUGAAUCGACAGAAGUUUUUAAGAGAAUAACUUUACUGCACAAUCUAGAGUAUGAAGGAAGGAAAAUAUUUCUUAAAUAUCCAAUUGCCUCUCAAAGAAAAGUACAGACGUCACUGUACUAUGCCGUAAGACUCUAUUAGACACAGCUUCAAAGAAACCCUAGGACACUUGAACCUGGCUCUGAUACCAAAUUUGUAAUGACUUGAGACUACUCCCAGUCACGAUACGGUGCUUAGGACCACAAGUGAUCCUGAGAUAACCCUUAUGCUAGCAUACCUCGUGAGCAACUAAAUAAGAUACAUACAUCUUGAAGAAAUAAGCGGAAGAAAAGUGUUUAGCUGAAUAUCUUCAUAACAAACUAUUAAAACAAUUACAACUCUGGUUAUACAAAAUAAAACUAAAAUCAAUACAUCAACUCCGCUAACUAUUUAUGAAGCCUCUACUAGUAUUGACUAUAGGUAUCCAGGACAUGGCCCCCAGCUAUCUCGAAUCAAUACAACAGAAUAAAGAAAACAAAAUUGCUACUCUAACUAUGACUGACUCGAACCCUUGAAUCAAAAGGGUUCAUCACCUGCUGACUGGAAGCUGUAACUAUCUGAUUAUAAUGUGCACGCUAUGACUUGUACCCACAUUAUUAAACAAUAUAGCACAUAGACGUAUAUGUGGAUCCGUACUUUUGGAAUGUACUGAGCAUGUAGGGGUGAAUGCAUAAGUAAAACAAUGGUGUAAUGUACAUAUAAACUUUAAAUAAUGCAUGCUAAGUGUAAAUGACUCACCUUGGGCUUGAAUAAAAUUGAAAGAUGAAAGAUAAUAAACCAUGAAUAAUAAAGCAUACUGAAUAAAGUUUGUGAGCCCUAACACUUAGUUCAGAAAGAUUUACUUUUCCUCUUUCUAUUGGGAAUUUCUUCUAAUCGAUAUAAACCAUAUGAGCUGUCAUGGAGUCCAAUGUCUUACCCACGUUGGGGAGAGUUGUUCUACCCUUGCCAUCGAAAUAAAACCUUAUCUUAAGUGAUCAAUGACUUAGCACAGUAUAGGCAUAUAAAACUGCAGUAGCACAUAGUUCUGGGGCAUGAGACCUUUGUGAUCAUACCCAACUUGGUGCUAAAUACUACUCUCAUACUUAUCGCUCAAACUUUGGGAAAUUCACCUUAAAAUAGCACAAGGGUUGUAAGGAAAUCCAGUUGUGCUUCUCUUUUCUUUAAGUCAUAAACUAUAUGAAUAAUGUGGAUUUCUUAUCUUAGUUUAGGAUAAAAAUCAAAUCUUUCUUAAAAUCUGAAUAUAUGUAUCAAAGAAUGCUUAAACAUCAUCUUUUUUCGAAUAUCAAGACUUAAACUUGGGGCUUAUAACCCAUUCUUGAAAAUCAUGUUAAAUCACAACAAACUUCAUGCUCAACAUUAAUAAUCUUGAAAUACUUUAACAAUUCUAGUCAAGAUAAUGAAAUCAAAUUCUCAAUAUGUGAAAUCAAGUCAUACACAUUAAAUUGUGAAAGUAAAUAUGCAAUUCAACACCUAAACCACUUGUAACUUCAUAAGCUUCAAAUAAUGAUAAUUGGCUAUGAACCUUAAAUUGAAAUUCAUGUAAAUUCAACUUUAAAACUAGUUUUGGGCACAAGGAUGAAAGGGUAUCCUUGUUCAUAACCCCACAUACCCUAAUUGCGAAGAAAUUGUGAAAAGAUUGAACCUUUAAGCUUGAUUGCCCAAACCCUAAGUCAUUUUUUUCUCCUCUUGUAUAUUAGAUAAUGAACUAAUGAUUUUAAUAGGGUUAAAACCAGUUUAGGGACUAUUAAUCGCGUCUAGUUAUGUUUAGGUAUGGUUAUGUAGUGUCAAAUAACUUGGUUGCCCUCGAAAUAACUCAAAAAUAGAGUUUCUACAGCACUUAACCGUAGGAUUAGUGGCGCAAACUCCAUGGCAAACAUUAGUCUUUGUGAUGCAAACCCUAUGGUAAACAUUAGAUUUUGCGAUACAAACCCUAUGGCAAAAAAAUUUCAGUGAACGUUUGUGAUGGUAUCGUAUGCCUAGCCAUCAACUUAGUUUUGAGGCCCCUUAAACACUCCCAACACCCCCAUAACAUCAACACAUGAUCUAACAUCACUACGGGGAGUCCUAAAGAUCAUUAUAAAAGCAUCAAUAGGGUGUUACAACUACGGGGUGUUACAUACAUGUAGGAAUGACGGUUAGAAUUCUAGUACCAAAAUAUGGCAUGUUACACAUGGUGGUACCAAUGUUUCAUGAAUGAGUAUGAUGUGAGGAUGUAAUGCUCACAAGAAAUCACAAUGAGUAUUUCCACAACCAACCAUAUGAUAUAUUUCCACAACCGGCCACAAUAAUAUAUUUCCACAACCAUGUGAGUCAAUAUCCACCCACCAUAUCAGUUUCAUCCAUGAAUUUUCACAUGUCUCAUAUGCUAAUAAAGUAUGAAUGUAAUCACAAUACACCAAUAGUACUACAUUAAGCAUUUUACCAAUACAAUACAAUUAUUCACAUGAAUUCAAGGGUAUCAAUACCACAUAAGACCCCGCAAGGUCACACAUGUCACAUAAUAUCUCAAUUUCGAUAAUUACCUCACAUAUAGGCCCCCACACGAGCACAACACAUAAAUAGCUAUUUUUUUUAUGAUUACUAUCAUUUACUACCAGCCAGUCUAAAAGAGUUAAGUCAUAACUACCUCAAAGGCCAAAAUAGCGCAACCAAAACUUUUCUUCCAAACCCUUACUCCUCAUUAAUAGUCUCGAAAUCCACUAAAAAUGUCAAAUAGGGAAUCUACAUGUCAAAACAAAAUCAACGACACCUAUAUUGACUACUUUUGAUUCGGAAUCAAAACAGACCACCGAAAUAGAUUUUUAAAAAACAAGGGAAGAGUCAUAACAUUACUUCAAAAAUGUGUUUCUCAUAUUUUUAGGAACCUACUAAAAACCAAAGUCAAAUCGAGUAAAAAAUGAGGUUCAAAUCAAAGAAAAAUAUUUUUAAGCUUUACCGGGUAAAAUCUGAAAUCUGUGUUAAAAUCAAGAAUUGGAGUUGUUUUGAAGGUUAAAUUGAUUAAAAACUAGUAAUUAUAAGAUUAAAAUAUUACUCAAGUAAAAGGGAGUGAAAUUGGGGUUCUAAGUCAAGUUAUAAGAUUUUUGGGGUUUUGAGAAAUUAAUCAAGGAAUUGGAGUAGAAAAUUAUGAAAUCUCACCGUAAGUUCAUAAUAGAAUCAAGAAAUAGAUGUUAAUUUAGCUUACCAAGCUCCCACAAGCUUCACUUUUAAGCUCUCACAAUAUUUUACGGUUUAACUCUCAAGAGGCAAGGUGAAAGAAUAGACAAAAUGGGCAAAAAAGAAGGAAAAUUGCAGAUUUUUUUUCGCUAUAGUGCAGAUUUUUCUAAGUCCAAACGAACUUCGAUGGGGUGUCCAGAAUUUGUUUGGAGUUCGAUAUAUGCAAACGAACUAUAUAGUCACACUAAAUUAGAUGCUUCGGAUUCAAUGGAGAUUUCAGAUAAUAAAAAAAAAAUAUUAUUUUCACAGAAUUGACCCUCGAAAUCUAAAAUCAUAGUUUUCCAAACCGAGAGUCGAAAUGAGAUAUAAAAAUCAUAAAAUCACACCAAAUAUGUUACCACCCUAAAAUCGACGUUCUAGAUCUGCUAGCAAAGUCGAAUUUUUAAUUUGAGGUUGUUUCGAUCAAAUGUGGGUCUCACACUCAUAAUUUUAAUUUUUCAAAAUUUUGACUAAUUGAUUGAGAUGAGCUCGGGUGCACCAGGACCCGAACCAAAUAUAUACCUAGCCUAAAAUCGAUAUUUCAGAGCUGUUGGCAUAGUUCAUUCAGCAAUCCAUCGUAUUGAUCAAAAGAUAUCCAUAUAACUCCAAAAUUAGGCUCUCAAAGCCAUCAAAAUCCACAACAUCACGUAAAUUGUACCAAAAUGCAUCGGAAACUAUGCCAAUCACCCUUACACCCUAGAAAUACUCUAAUGCAGUUAUGGGGAGGGGUAAAACAGUCAAAUAACAUAGAUGCACAUAUUUCACAUAUUUCAUCAAAAAGUUAGCCGUUACAUCAUCCACCAGUAAAAAUCUAAUCUGUCCUCGAACUAAAGGCAAAAGAAAUAAUUGAAUCAACAAAGAGAUGGGGAUAAGAACAAUGCAUAUUAGCUUGACCUCCUAAAUUUCCUCAUCUACAGGUUGAUGUCGCCACUGGACCUUAACCACAGGGAUCACUCUAGAGCACAACUGUUUAUCAUCCCUAGCCAAUAUGGAGACUGACUCCUCAACAAAAGAUAACCGCUCAUCUAAUUAAAUUAACUCCCAAAGAAUAAUAUGAGACUUAUUCGGAAUGUAACGGCAAAGCAUAGAAACAUAAAAAACUGGAUGAACAACUGAUAGAUCAGGGGGCAAAGCCGACUCAUAAGCCGCAUCACCAACAGUAUCAAGAAUCUUAAAUGGACUAAUACACCUAGGGCUAAGCUUGCCCCUCAUCCCAAACCUCAUCAUAUCUUUCAUUGGUGAAACUCAAAGGAAAACACAAUCACCAAUAUCAAAUCUCAAGGCAUAAAGCCUACGAUUAGGAUAGCAUUUCUGCCUACUUUGAGCCACUCGAAGUCUAUCCUGAAUGACCCAGACUCUAUCCAAAAACUCAUGAAUCAAGUAUGUCCCUCGAGGUAUCACCUCUGAAACAUCAAACUAACCCACUAGGAAACAACAACUUCUACCACACAGCGACUCAAAAGGAGCCAAGUCGAUACUUGAAUGGUAGUUGUUGUUAUAUGAUAACUCAGCUAAAGCUAAAUAUUGCUUCUACUAGCCACCAAAAUCCAUCACGCAUGCGCAGAGCAUAUCCUCCAAAACCUAGAUAGUUUGCUCUGAUUGACCAUUAAUCUGGGGGUGAAACAUUGUGCUAAGAUCAACCUGAGUACCCAACUCAUCCUGAAAAGUCUUUCAAAAGUGAGAUAUGAACACCAAACUUGGAUCUAAAAUAAUAGACACCGGCAUACCAUGCAGAUGCACAAUCUAACUAAUGUAGAUACGAGCUAGUCUCUCAGAACUGAAUAAGAUCUGAACUAAAAUAAAAUGAGCUAACUUGGUCAAUCGAUCCACGAUGACCCAAACACUAUUAGACCAUGAGAUGUACGAGGCAAACCAUUCACAAAGUCAAUGGUGAUCUAUUCCCACUUUCACUUGGGAAUGGGUAACCUCUGAAGUAGCCCACCAGGGCUCAUAUGAUAGGUCUUUACCACAUGACAACAUAGGCAAUGAGCCAUAAAAUCUAUUAUAUUUUGACUCAUACCACCCCAUCCAUAGUGCUGUAUCAAAUCACAAUACAUCUUAGUCACACAUGGAUGGAUGAAAUAUCUGUAACAAUAGGCCUCUUUCAGGAUCAACCUAAUCCAAUCGCCUACUCUUGGUACACACACUUGGCCACCGAUCUACAAAAUACCAUUGAAAUCAAGUGAGACUUCAUUAGCCUCAUCACUCAACACCUUAUCUUGAAUUGACCUCAACCCCACAUCAUCAAAUUGAUGAGCUUGAAUCUGUUCCAUCAAAGAAUACAUAGCCUCCACGAAAGCCAAAACAUACCCAGGUGUUAAAAUAUCAAGCCUAACCACUUGGUUAGCUAAAGACCGAACCUCUAAGUCUAAAAGCCUCUCCUAGCUCAAAAGAUACACAAAGAUACCCAUGACAGUCGACUUCUAGCUCAAGCCAUCUACAACCAUAUUAGCCUUGCCCGGAUGAUAGAGAAUGGUCAAGUCAUAAUCCUUAAGCAACUCAAGCCAAAAACACUACCUCAUAUUAAGAUCUCAAUGGGUGAAGAAGUACUGAAGGCUACGAUGAUCUGAGAAAAUCUCACAAUGGACUCCAUACAAAUAAUGCCUCCAUAACUUCAAAGCAAAUACAACUGCAUACAACUCUAAAUCAUGGGUAGGAUAAUUCCUCUCAUAAGGCUUUAACUGAUGAGAUGCAUAAGAUAUCACCUUGCCCUAAUGUAUCAGCACAACACCCAAUCUAAUACCUGAAGUAUCACAAAAUAAGGUGAAACCCACACCCUUAUUGGGCAAGGACAAAAUAGGAGUUGAAGUCAAAAAAGUCCUUAAGCUUUUGAAUGCUCGCCUCACAAGCAUUGGGCCACUGAAAUGAAAUCUUAUUCUGAGUCUACUUAGUCAACGGAGCUGCAAUAGAUCAGAAACCCUAACUAAAAUACUGAUAAUAACAUAUCAAGCCAAUAAAACUCUGAAUUUCAAUAGGCAAAGUAGGUCUUUCCCAAUCACGAACCACGACAACCUUGGAUUGAUCAACCACAAUACCUUGCUUAGUCACCACAUGACCCAAGUAAGAAAUAGAAUCCAACCAAAACUCGCACUUAGAGAACUUUACAUACAACUUCUCAUCUUUUAAUUUCUGAAGCACAAUCCACAAAUUCUCAUCAUUCUCAACCUUACUCUUAGAAUACACCAAGAUAUCAUCUAUAAAUAUAAUAACAAAGUAGUAGCAAUAUGAUUGAAACACCCAAUUCAUCAACUCUAUUAAUGCAGUAUGGGCAUUCGUCAACCCAAAGGACAUGACUAAGAACUCGUAAUGACUAUAUCGGGUUCAAAAAUUUGUCUUUGAGGUAUCUGAAGCUCUAAUAUGCAACAUCCUGAUGUUGGUCAAAUAAAUCAUCAAUGCAAGGAAGAGAAUACUUAUUCUUAACCAUCACCUUAUUCAAUUACCAAUAAUUAAUACACAUCCGCAUAGACCCAUCUUUCUUCAUCAUAAAUAAGACAGACACACCCUAAGGCGAUACACUGGGGCGGAUAAAUCCCUUAUGCAACAACUCUUACAACUGAUCUUUUAAUUUUGUCAAUUCAACUAGUGCCAUCCUAUAAGGAGGAAUAAAAAUAGGCUUGGUACUUGGCUCAAGCUCAACAUCAAUAGCAAAAUUAAUAUCAUAAUCAGGAGGCAUACCAAGCAAAUCCGUAGAGAACACAUCCAUAAACUCACGAACAACACAGACAGAAUCCAAGGAAGAAGGUAAAGCAAAACUGGUGUCACGAAUAUGAGCCAAGUAAGAUAAACAUCCCCUCUCAACCAAUUUAAAAGCCUAAACAUAAGAUACAAUCCUCUAUGGACCCAAAUAAAAUGCACUUUUUCAAGCUAUUCUUGGCAUACUCGGUGAAAAUAAAGUCACAGUCUUAGCAAACCAAUCUAGGAUAACAUAAUAAGGAUCCAACUAUUCUAUACCUAAAAUAAUAUCAAAAUCAACCAUAUACAACACAAAGAAUCUAACAAAGUCUCACGCCCAACAAAAGUCACAACAAAGAUUGGUGCACCUAAUCCACUACUAAAAAAUCACCUAUCGGGGUAGAUACAUGAAUAGGCAUGGCAAGAGGUUCACUAACAGAAUCAAAACCCAAAGUAAAUUUAUUAACAGAUAGGAGAAAGUCAAUCUGGGGUCAAAUAACACAGCUACUAAUCUUAAAUAAACAGGGAUGAUGGAUGUAAUCAUAGCAUCAGAAGCCUUCACCUCUGGCCUGGCGGGUAUAGCAUAAUUAAAACACCUUGGGUUUGAACCCUUAGAAAAUUUCCUAGAUUUCUGGAUUCUUGACAUCAUACGCUUUUGGGUACCAGUCAUAUAAUAGGGUAUGGUUGGUAUGCUCUUGGUCAUAUGCUAACCAAUGUUGGUUGGUGGAUUGGAUUGGUUUCUGGAAUAGAUACACCUUGGUGGGUACGAGUUGUAUAGUUGGUGAUGGGUCGUAUGGUUUAGGUUUGUCCUUCACUUAAUCUGAGACUUAGUAACUUAACUUGGAUCUGAGUACGAGUGGCUCACCAUGAGUCGUAAUUUAGGGUACGAGUCGUACCAUUGACUCAUAUGGUAGACAUUAUUCAAACUUUCUUUGAUUUUAUUCUACCAGGGAUACAGUUUAGGGGUUCUAAUCUAUGGUUGGGUAGGACUUGGUUUGGGUAAGUCAUAUAUUGGACAGUGUUGGGUCCAAGGGGGAGGCCUAGGGUAUGAGUUGUGGGUACCACUCGUAUAAAAGGGUAUGACUGGUAUAAGAGGUCGUACCAUCUGACAUGAAUUUUAAGCAAUUUAAGUUAGGGGUAAUAUGGAUAUUUCCCACUUAACCUCUUAAGGUCCAAUGACUAUGUUACUAUUGGAACAUUAUUUACCCUAUUAUUUGAAUCUUAAACACUUAGAAACUCUUUCUAAUUCUCUCUAAGGCUCUUGGGUAAAAAAGGGGUUGGGGUUUUAUCUAGAGGAUUAAUUAAGGCUUGUAUGACUGAUUUUUCUCCAUCAUCUUUGUAAUCCCAUGUAAUCCUCUCUCAUUGUUAGUUCUAUCUAAAGGCAUAUUUUAUACAAUGUUUUCAUGGUAUAAUUAUUGUAUGGUUUUGGGGUUUUCAAAUAUAUGAUGGAGUUUUGGUAUAAAAUACUUGGUUUUGGUUUUCCCAUAUUUUAAUUAUUACAUACUUUAACGGUGGUUUGGACAAUUGGUUGCAUGGUAAUGGUAAAUUGAUAAUUGUAUUUGGUUUUGGAAAUCCUAUGCCACCAACAUGUUUUAUAAAAUGCCUAUGAUAAUACUUUUACUAUAUUAUUGGACUUUUAAUGAAACUAUUGCAUGGUAUGGCUUGGUAAUGAACCCUAAAUGGUGUAAAUGGUUAAACACUAAGGUUUAGUGGUCAUGGUUAUGGUUAAUUAAAAUUCCUUGUGGGGUGCAAGGGAAUCCUCCAAGUAAACAUAUUAAUGAACAACUUGUGGGGUAUAUGGGAUUCCCCCAAGCAAACAUAAUAGAGGAACACUUGCGGGGUAUACGGGAUUUCCCUAAGUUAACUUGAUAAUGUAAUCUAUGGGUACAUGGGAAUCCCUUUACAUAAAAAGAUUGGUUAAGGACAUUGCUUACAAGCUAUAGUUGGUAUGACUAUACCACUACUUAUAGCCUUAGUUAAUAAUAAUGGAAUAAUGGUUUGGCUGGAUGGUAAUGGUUUUAAUUGGGCAUUAAAGGUAGGGUAUGAUAGCUAAUUGUGAAGGUGUAAGUCCAAUAGACGGACACUGAAAAAUCAUGUUUGCUGACAUGAGGUUUGUUCAUAGAGACCAUAUAUAAUAUUAUUAGGUACAUGGGAAUCCUCUAAGUAUACUGUACAUAGGUAUCAUGGAUAGCGAAGGGUACUUAAGAAUCCCCUACUCUUAUGGUAUCUUUGGUUCGUGCGGCUCUACGCAUCAGGACCAUUCAGGGGGCUACACUGGACUUAUAUAGACCAUGGGUAGUUCUAGAAGGUUUGAGCUACACGUACACAGGUUAAUGGUUUUAAAGGCAUGCUAAACUCGGUUACCUUUCCUAGCAUGGUUAUAUAUAUAUGGGUGGUUUGUAUGCAUAUGGUUGGUUUACUUGGUUUUACUGUAUGGCAUUAUUUUAUCCUUAUUCUGAGUUCAUGCUAGAGUUCACCCUCUAACCCAUCUUUAUGUAGCUGCAUUCCAUGUGAUACAAGAAAUAACCGCUCUACUUCUCCUGCUUAGUGAUCGAAUUCGGGAUCAGCUAUUGGAUUGAAGUUAUGAGCUUCCAUAUUUUGGAAAGUUCUAUUUUAUGUCAUGGAUGUUCUUACAUAUUUUGGUCAUUUUAUGGAUAUUGUUUUUGGCUAUAUUUGGGGGCAUGUCCCAACAGGAUAUUAUUUUUCUUUUAGUUAGAGGCUUUGCGUGACUACUAUGGGUUUGAAUAGACUGUGUUGGUAUUGGUGUCAGCCUUACUAUUGGAAUUGGUAUUGGGGUUGAUACCAUUUGAUUGUAUUUAUGAUUGUUUCAUCUUUUUAUGUUAUGUUAUGGAUAGGGACUUGGUUGUCGUUUGGUUUUGGUUUAUGGUUUUGGUUUGGUAAUUGGUAAAUGGUUGGGUGUUGUAUAGUUGGACUUGUUUAGGUGGGUCACGGUUAUGGACCUAUCCUAGAGUCUGGAAUUGUACAAAUACACUAUCUUGUUAUAUGUUUGAAACUCAGUUAACUUAGGGUAUACGUUUGGUUAGUUGAGUUGGGUAUCGUGGGUGGUCUCUAGUCCCUGUUGGACUUGAGAUGCCCAUUAAUAUAAGGCCCUAGUUUGGGUCAUGUCAAUAACACUGACCAGGACCCCCAACAGACUGAGUUGUCCCACGACCACACCACGAGCUCCACCACCUCUACCUGUCGCAUUUUUGGUAACCCUCUACCUCUUACUACCAAAAUAUGAGUAGCUCUGAGCACACGAUAGGGAUAGUCCUUGGCCAAAUAGACAACCUCAUCACAUACAAAGCAAUCUCUACAACCCACCUCAAUAGGAAAAGGUACAUUUAGGCCUGGUCGGCUACCCUAAACUAUUGAAAUAGAAGAUCCACCACCUGAACUCUAUAAAUACACCUACACUGACCUACCAUGGUAUCCACAAGAAUCUCUAAAAUCUCUACCUCAAGAGUUCUGACUCCUAAUCUCAUCAAAACGUCGCGUCUUCUUAGCACCUGCCUGAGAUGCACUAAGAAUACCCUCUAUCAUCUUAUCAUGAUCCUUAAUAAUCUAAAAAGAAGCCCAAAGCACAACCAUCUGAGAUAUAACCAACUAAAGAGAGAUAUCCAAGCUCUUCACAAACUUUUGAAUCUUCUCAGACUCGGUAAAAAUGCUAUCAUAGGAAUAUCUGGACAGGGCAUAGAAGUGUGCCUUAUACUUAGCAACUGUCAUGGAGUCCUGCUCCAAAUGAUCAAACUUGUCUCGCAUACGGUCUCUCAAAUUGAAAGGCAUAAAUCUCUCUAGGAAAGCCACGGUGAACUGAUCCCAAGUCAUCUAGGGAGAAUCAAGGGGUUUACAAUUGAUAAGCAACCUCCAUCAAUCUCUCGCCACAUCUUUCAACUGAUAAGAUACAGUAUGAGCCACAUCAUUUAUGCAGAAAGAGUGAAACACAACUCAGAACAUAAGGUAUGAAUGCACUUUGCACAAUAAAGAAUAAAAUGAGAAAAGUUUUGUAAGAAUGUCCUAUAGCUUCUCAAAGAUAAAUACGAACAUCUGUGAACCAAUCUAUGAGACCCUAUUAGAAAUCCCGUUCUUAGACCAUUGAGACCAAUGAAACCUGGCUACUUUGAUACCAAUUUGUCACGAGCCAAAAUCCAAAGAGCCAUGAUAGAACUUGUCAUGGCAAACCUUGAUAAGUAAGCCUAUCACUCAAACUAAACACAAAGGAAAAAAUAUAAUAAUAACCCCAAGGUAAGGCUUCUAAAACAAAGCCAAACCAUACAAGUAUAAUAAGUGAGGCAAGAAACACAACAAUGCAGCCAAACUCCCAAAACCAGGUGUCAAUAGUGUAAGAACUACUAAUACAAUUCAGGAGUCAAAUACAUCAAAAAAAACAACCACAAAGGAAUAAUAUCUUUCUCCUAAUACUAAUAAGACAUAACUAAUAUAGAAAGAUAGAGGUAAACUCCAGACGUAUGAAUGUCCAAUCACUAACUUGAGUAAUCUGAAGGUGCCAGAAAUCAAGCAUUCUGAGGCACGCCUAAACCUGAAGCUACACCGAAAGGGUGAAAUAGGAGUGAGUACGGUUCACUUAUACUCAGUAGGUAUCAUAGGCCGACUGAUAAAAGUAGAAAAUAAAGCAUAUAAAAUACAUGCUGAGGGCACAUCACCUGCAAUUAGAAAAUUUUCCACAAUGGUAUCCCAUACCUCUUGCACUAAUAGUUCUAAUAUAUCACAUAUCUUGUAAUAUCAUACCAAGAUAGAACACAAGUAUGCAUUUUAUCAUAUAUAAGUAGAACAAGGGGGGAAAUGCAUGUACAAGAUCAUCAAAUAAAAGUAAAAGAAGAUAAGAUAAUUAUUUAGAUGAAAAGUGAAUAUGAUAAUACAACAAAGUAUAAACAUAAUAAAGUAAGUUCAAUGUAUAUGAUGAUGAUACACGAGGUCAUUGCACAAUCUCCAGGAUUGCCGCACAAUCUUCGUAUAUACCUAUGGAGGCAAGCCUCUAACACAGGACCCAUGAUGGGUUCUUAAACUUGUAUACAAUCCACAUAUCUUAUAUCUCCUUUUUGAAACAACCUUUGGAAAGAGUUUAUAAGAUGUUGCUAUAUCUCCUUCCUAGCAUAUCCCUCAGGGAGGGUGUUACUCAGGUGUUGCCACGGUGGUACAAAUGUUUCAUAAAUGAGUAUGAUAUGAGGAUGUAAUACUCACAACCAAUCACAAUGAGUAUUUUCACAACUAACCGCAUGAUAUAUUUCCACAACCAACCACACUGAUACAUUUCCACAACCAUGUGAUCCAAUAUCUACUCAUUAUUUUUGUUUAAUCCAUGAAUUUCCACAUAUCUCAUAUGCCAAUAAAGUAUGAAUAUAAUCACAAUACACCAAUGGUAUCACAUUUAAGUAUUUUAAAAAUACAAUACAAUUAUUCACAUGUAUUUAAGGCUAUUAAUAUCACAUAAGACCUCACAUGGUCAUACAUAUUACAUAAUAUCUUAAUUUCGACAAUUACAUCACAUAAAAGCCUCCACACGGACACAACACAUAGAUAGCCUUUUUUCAUAAUUAGUUUCCACCUUUAACAUGUAUUUUGUGUUAUCAUUUACUACUAGCCAGUCUAAAAGAGUUAAGCCAUAACCUUCCUCAAAAGCCAAAAUACCGUAACCAAAAGAGUUAAGCCAUAACCUACCUCAAAAGCCAAAAUACCAUAACCAAGACUUUGCUCCCAAAGCCUUAAUCCUCAUGAACAAUUCCAAACUCCACUAAAAACAUAAAAUAUGGAAUCUAAUCAUCAAAACAAAAUCAAAGACACCCAUAUUGACUAUUUUUUAUUUAGGAUCAAAAUGAACCCUAGAAAUGAGUUUUCAAAAAAGAAGGGCAAAAUUGUAACUUUAUGUCAAAAAUAUGUUCCUCAUAUUUUUAGAAACCUACAGCUGAAAAUUCAAGUCAAAUCGAGUCAAAAAUGAGGUUCAAAUUGAAGAAAACCCUUUAUAAACUUUACAAGGUAAAAUCUUUGAAAUUCGGGUUAAAGUUAAGAAUCAGAGUUGUUUUGAAGGUUAAAUUGACGAAAAACUAGUAAUUAUAAGAUUAAAAUAUUAUUCAAGUUAAAAGAAAUGAAAUUAGAUUUUAAAAUCAAGUCUUAAGAAUUUUGGGGUUUUGAGAAAUUAAUCAAGAAAUUACUAAGAAAAGGGUGAAUUCUUACCUUAAAUUUGUAAUAGAAUCAAGAAAUAGAUGUUAAUCUAGCUUCCCAAGUUCCCACAAGAUUCAUUUUUAAUCUCGUACUAUUUUCGGAUUUAACUCUCAAGAGACAAGGUGAAAGAAUAGACAAAGUGAACAAAAAAAUGGGGGGAAAAACUGCCAUAUAUUGCAGAUUUUUCUAAGUUCAAAAGGACUUCGACGGAGUGCUCGAGAUUCGUUCGUAAUCCUAUAUACGCAAACAAACUAUGUUACCAUCCUAAAAUCGACAUUAUGGAUUUGCUGGCAAAGUCGAAUUUUCCAUCUGAGGUUGUUUCGACCAAAUUUGGGUCCCAUACUUAUAUUUUCAAGUUUCCAACUUUCCUACCAAUAGGUCAAAAUGAGCUCUGGUGCAUCAGGACUCGAACCAAAGAUAUACUUAGCCUAAAAUCGAUAUAUAGAUCUGUUGGCAUAGUCCGUUUAUGCAUCCAUUGCACAGAUCAAAAGAUAUUUACAUAAGUCCAAAAUAAGGCUCUCAAAGCCAUCAAAAACUACAAUAUCGCAUAAAUAGUACCAAAAUGCAUCGAAAAUUGUGUCAAUCAUCCCCACACUCCAAAAAUAUCAUAAUACAACUACGGAGAGGGGUAAAAGAAUCAAAUAAUGUAAAAAUACAUAUUUCACAUAUCUUAUCAAAAAGCUGGUCGUUACACGUAUAGUCUUAUUUUGCAGUCCUUAAAAAGUAUUAAAAGUUAUCACAAUUAAUAAUUCAAAAAUAUUAAAGACGUGAAAGAAUUAUUGGGUUUACAUAUAAUUUGAAUUGUUGUUAUAAUUAUUAUUAGUAAUUAUAAAUGAGAAGAUUUUUUUGUUUAAAAACAUUCAUACUGAUUAGUUAUAUAUCAAGUUUGUUAUAUUAUGUCAUUUAGAAAACAAAAAUUAAAGAUUCAAAUCCAACACACGAGAUACAAAUACUCAUUCCUAAAUAUGUCACUGGUUGGUGACCUGAUCCCGCUAAGCAACAAUAGCUACCGACACCAACUUUAUCUUUCCUUGACACCAACUUUAUCUUUCCUUUCACUUGAAAACUCAACCAAGAGGAGGAGGAGGAGGAGUCUUCAAUAUAGUCACAGAAGUUGGUCUAUGACCAUUAGAUUCCUAAAACGAGGAGCAACUAAGGAGAGAGGUAUAAAAAAUGAGCAAAUUCAAGUCAUUUAAUUUUCUUUAAAAUAGCUAUUUUUUAUGUUUGAUUGGUCUACAGAUCAAAAGGUAUUUUCUUAUCUCAUUAUUAUAUAAAUUUUACUAAAUAAGUUUAAUAAAAGGCUCAUAAUAUAGUUUGAUUUUAAGUUGCCAUAUUCAUUAAACCGCAUAUGAACAUAUCCAGUAGAAUAUUAGAAAAUGAAAUCUUAAAAGAGUAAAAUAUAUGUAGAUCUUAAAGUAUUUUUGGCUAAAAACAACAUAUCUAGUGUAAUCCAACAAAAUAGGAUCAGAAAAUGAUAGAUUUACUUGUACCUUUGGGAGAUAGAGAGACAUUUUUUGUAGACCCUUAAUUCAAGUUUUCCAAAAAAUCCUUAUCUCAAGUGAAGCAAAUCAAGGUAUGAAUUAAAAAAUAAUUGAUAGUGAAGAGAAACAUGAUUACUAAUAGCAAAGAAGCAUGAAUAAUAUAUGAAAGGAAUCCAAAACAUAGUAAACAAUAGAUAAUGCCAGAUACAUAAGCCAACACGAUGUUCUAAACUACCACCAGACUGAAGGCUACAUGAGUAGUCUAAUACUUGGACAACAUAAAACUACCAACUAACCUUUUAGUCUUAUCCGUGAAUUCAAUGCCUUUAUAUCUAAAAUUAAUGCCAAAAUUACUUAGCUCUUAUGACCCCGUACAAAAGAACUCCUGAAGAGUCAUUUGAUAUGAGGUAUAAAAUAUAAUAAUUUUAGAUAAAAUACAAGAUUAUUUUUCCUGCAUUUGAUUGAAUGUAUUAGUUGCUCUCAAUAUUAUUUAUCCCACUAUUUAUACCAUAGUAAAGUCAUAAGGGGGCUAAGGAUUCCACUAUAUUGCGAGUAGGGUCGUGGGAUUUAGCAUCUUUGUUGACAAGGAAGUGCAUAGAGCAAGUAAAGAUUUUGAAAAAGAGGAAGAUUAGUAUAGCGUGUGUCCGGGAGAUCAAAUACGUAAGUACCAAGGCUUGAAAUAUGAGUAGGUUUAAGUUGUGGUUCACAUGAAGUUCGAGGAAUAGGAAUGGAAUAAGAAUUCUAGUCGACAAGGACCUUAAGGAGCAUGAUAAGAAUCAAAGAGAGAAGAACAAGAAGGAAAAAUAAAAAAGAAGAAGAAUAUAUGGAUUAAUAUCUAAGUAUUGAAAUUAUGGGCAACAAGGGACUUGAUACUGUAACGACCCAUCCAGUUGUUUGUGAAAUUUUCUCAUCUUCUCUAUUUUAGCUCUUCUCAUAGUUGUUGUAUGUGAAUUAUGACUCACGAGAUGAGAUGUACCAAUUCUUGAGGCAUUCAAAAGUAAUUUAAGUCAUUAACGGGGUUAUUGAGUUGAGAAAGUUAAACCCGAUAAUGAUCAAUCUUAGAUCAAGAUGACCUCGGAUUAGUGUCGUAAUAUUUUCAAUAGGUCCGGAAUGUACUUUUAGGUCAAUGUACAUAUUUGGUUUAUUUUCUCGAGUUUUCGAAUAAAUUUGAUAAUUUAUUAGAAGUUUUGGAUAUUUUAGAUGAUUAAUUUAAUUAGUGAAUUAAUGAGUCAAAAUCAUAAUUUUAUUUACUUAUGUUUCCAAUACAAGAAUAGAUUUAAGUGAGUAGGUUUUACCAUUUUUAAUAAUAAUAACAUCAUAAUUUUUGGCGGAAGAGGGCACGAUAGUUAGCGAUACUAUUCUUGUCAUCUGCGGUCUUGAAAGAAUCUUGGGUAAAGAUUUAGGUAAGGGCUUCAUACGCUAAAAAUCUUUCUUUUUCUAUGUUGAUCUAUAGGAAUCUAAUUGCUACAGUACAUAAAUUGUUUGGAUUGAGAGUACUUAAACUAAGAUGUGGUUGUGGUAAAUUGUUCCGGUGUUACGGGUUUGAUUAGAAUAAUGUCGGUGGUUGUAUAUGAAAAUUGCUACAGAGGGAGAGUGAUCAAUUAGUAAAACAAUUAACGUGGUGGUAGCACAGUUAGCAUAUGUUUAGUAAUUGAAAAACUUCUGCAAGAAAGUUUAGGCUAAUGAUUGGGUAAUGAUGGCUAGGUAAUUUAAACAAUAAUAAAAGAAUAUUUUUAAGGGUUAAUAGUUCACAUGGAUUUAGUGAAAUUUCAAACCUGUAGUGCACUGCUUCAUUACUAUUCAUGACUUUGAGAAUUUUUUUCAUGCAUAUUGUGUUCUUUUACUCAAUACACAUAAAAUAUAAGAGUUCUAAAUAUGGAAAAAUAGUACAACAGUUGCACUGAUCCUCAUUGCAUCCUUACCGUUAGAUUAUUAGAUUUUGAUUCAUCACGAUUCUAGUAAUUUUAAGUGUAGGUGUGGUAUUCUUAGAGUAAGAAUUUAUAAAAUGAGUGUUAUUAAAUUCGUACUCUUAUGAAAAUUAUAUAUUUAAACAGAUUUGAAAUAUUCAGAAGCUUUACGGAAGGGUAAGACCCUUACAAAUUAGCUUGCAUUUGGUUUCUUCGAUUGAGGUAGGUUACGGUUUAAUUAGAGUUUAGACUCAACUUAAUUGCAUGUAUGCUUCUAAAUUGUAUACUUGUUGAUUGGUAUUCGGACAUGCUUGAAAUUGUUGAUGUUUGAAUUAUUGAUGCAUGUAUAAAUGAUUAUUGAAAAUUUACUUGAUGGAAUUGUCUUAUGACUUUAAGUGUACUUGUAAAACUUGGUACAUUGUGUUGUAUGCUGUGGGGUUUGUGUAAAUUUGAUAUCGAUAAUACUUGUAUAUGUUGGAUCGGGUAUCACGCCAGUACGGAUGUUUAUAUGUUGGAUCGGGUACCACGCCGGUACAGAUAUGUUUAUGUUGGAUCAAGUACCACACCGAUACAGAUAUAUUUAUGUUGGAUCGGGUACCAUGCCGGUAUGAAUAGUUAUAUGUUGGAUUCGGUACCACGCCGGUAUAGAUAUAUUUAUGUUGGAUUAGGUACCACACCGGUACUGAUAUGUUUAUGUUAGAUCGGGUACCACGUCGAUAUAGAUAUGUUUAUGUUGGAUCGGGUACCACGCCGGUACGAAUAUGUACAUGUUGGAUUGGGUACCACACUGGUACAGAGAAAUUUAUGUUAGAUCAGGUACCAUGCCGGUACGGAUAUUUAUAUGUUGGAUUAGGUACCACGCCGGUACAGAUAUGUUUAUGUUGGAUCGGGUACCACAUCGGUACAAAUAUGUAUAUGUUGGAUUGGGUACCAUGCCGGUAUGGUACAUGCACAUAUAUUGUUCCCUGCAGGUCAUGGCUAUUUGGGCAAAAAUAAGUCCCACAGCACGUGUGUACAUAUUUGUAUUGAGUCCGUGGAUGUUUACAGUGUAGUUGAUACUCUUAAUGGUUAUAUGGAUUAUUUGUGAGCAAUAUUUGAUCUGUUAUUGUUGUAUUAUUGAUUCAUUUAGUAAUUGUUUUGUGAUGAUGCCUUUCUACUUGUUAUUUGAUUUAUGUUGUGUAUAUGUUAUUAAAUUGAGUUGGACUAUGAUACCUACUAGUACAUAGUGAUUUGUACUAAUACUACCCUAUACUCUUCUUUUGUUGAGUGCAGAAAGAGUUCAAGAGGCUCGGACAUAACCCCACCUCUAAAGUUUGAUAACAAAUCUUAAUCCUAGGGUGAGUACUACAUCUUCAAGCUGCCAUGGGUUAUCUUUUUUAUUCUUGUCCAUCUUCGGACAAUGAAACAUUCUUUAUUUACUUUAUUUUUUGAGAUCUUUUUAGACAUGAUCUUUGUUAGUAGUUUUUGUACGAUAACUUUCGAGUCUUGGGGAUUUUAGUAAGUAGUUUAUUUGACUUUCGCAUUAAUAAUGAUUAGCUCCAUAUUAUUGUUAUUAAGUUUAUUUUAUGAUAAUAAUGUUUUAAUUUUGUCUAAGUUAUUGGGUAAUGAGUGGGUUUAUAUGAUUCUCCCACAGAAAUAUUAAUGUGGGUGCCACUCAUGAUUAUUUGAGUUGUGAUAAAGUUGGUAUCAGAGCCCUAGGUUCGUCGAUCUCGUUGUACAAGAACAUGUCUAGUAGAAUCUUGUGGAAUGGUACGGAGACGUCUGUACUUUUCUUUGAAAGGCUAUAGGACACUAGAAAAAUUCAAAUUCUUCUUUCUUACAUGCUAUUACUUGAAUUCAAUUGGUAUCUGGAGAUUCCAAUUGGUAUCUGUUAAUAAGAGCAAUGUCAAGUGGAGUUCCGUAGAUUGGUGUGUAGGCUCCACACCCAAUCUUCGUAAGGCUAUGAGGCAUGUAGAAGUCAUUUUCCUUUCUUUUUCUCUAUCGUGUCGUCCUAAUCUUGGACUACUAGAUUGAAUUCAAUUGGUAUCUAGACAAUUCCAAUUGGUAUCUUAACAAUUUUGAAUAAAAAUCUAGGAGAUUCCAAUUGGUAUCUGUUAAUAAGGUCUAAAAGUUAUUGUAAUAGGUAAAGACUUGUGAAAGUUGUGAACUUAUUGAUUCCUUGUGUUUGAUAUUUUGCUAAACUUGUGUUGCUAGAUUUUUUGUCAUUAUUGUGAAUUAUUUUUGUUAAGUGAUAAAAAUUGACUAAGUUAUUUUUGUUGAUAAUUGUGAUGGGAUUAUUUGAUUUAUUGUUAUUGUGAAACUAGAAAUUCUAUGGUGUUUACUUAUUUUUGGUACUAUUAUACUGAUGAGAUUGAUGGUAUGAGAAUUGGGAGGAUGAUAUGAGAAUAUGAUGUCAAGAAAAGAUGGUGAAAAAGUGACAUGAACAAAAGACUGAGGUGAUAUGUGUUUUUUCUAAUAAGAGGUUCUUCUUAAUGAUGUUGUGGAUGGAUCCUUGUUUAGUUCUAUUAUUUGGGGAUCUUUGUGUGGUCCGAUCAUUGAGAUCGUAUUUAGAAUUUUUGUGCAGUUCUAUUAUUGAAACUAUAAUGGGUCCCUUGUGAGGACCAGCUAAGUGACAUUAUCUUUGAGUUCCUUAUAUGAAUGAAUUCUUAAUGCUUGGCAAAAUAAUUAGUUUUAAAUAAAAGUGACAAAAACUAGUAGAGGUUGUUGAUACCUAUAGAAUUUGAUCGAUGACUUAUCUGGAAUGUGAUAUUAGUGAUGAGACUAUCAAUGACCUAUAAUCGAUUUAUCUUGUUUGGCCUUGCUUAUGUGCUACUGGUGUGGGGACCACUCUUGAGGUGAUUAAGAUUUAAGUAAAGCCCAUAAUAAAAAUAUUGUUAGGUAGAAAUAAGAAUGACUCUGUAUAUCUUAAAUUGAUGUAAGUGGUAUAAGAGAGGUUUGGCUUGACCAUGAAGUGUUUGUCAUUGAAAAAUAUUGAGUUAGUGAUUAUCAGUACAUAAGUUGUAGUUAUGGAUUUAUGCAUUAGGAAAAAUUUUGAGAAGACAAAUUAUUAUUGACUUGACCUUGUGGCUGAAUUAAAUAUUUACAUGUCCCAUAAAGUUGGUUGAUAUAUGAUACCUUUAGAGGAUAGUAAUUUCUAUGAUAGUGGCAAUGCAAAAUCAAAUGGCUUAGUUACAUUCAUAAAAUAAUUAAGGAUGAUCCUAAAUGGAAGAAUAAAUGAAUUAUUAAAUGGCACGAUUGAUCUUUCCUUGAAUGAUACUUGGUGGAUAUUUCUUGUUGUGUGGUUAAGGUAUGAUGAUUAGAUGGAUAUUAACAAUGUUGUGGAGGAUAAUGUGUUGUAGGCUCUAAUUCUAUGAGACCCACAAAAUGGCAUGUUUAUAACCCUUUUUAAUCCUAUUGCUUUUCCUCUCUAGUUUAGAUUAGUUGAAGCAUGGUUAUGGUGUAAAGCUAUUUUUGGGAUGUGGCUUUAGUAGUUGAAGCAUAAUUUGUAUAUUUAGCUUUAUUGGGCUAAUGUGGUAGUCUUGAAACCGUAAGUUGAGUAGAGUUGACUUGAGUACCUUGUUUCUUGUUGAAACAACUAUCUUAUGCUUGAAUAUGGCUUACUUGACAUCUAGAAGAUGAACUAGAUACCUUAGCCUAGUCUGGGGCAUAGUGUUCCUAAUUAUGGAAAUUGAGGAUUAAAAGUGGGAUCGUCUGGCCCACUUAGGCCUAAACUUUUGUUAAGUCUUGUGGACUUAGUUGCGGAUGUUAGACAUAAAUAAGGAUAGUAAACCUUAGAAUGAGGCAACUUCAUAACUUGGUAACUUGUAUUUUUGUUCCCGGGUUGUAGCUUUUGAGUUAUAGUUAUGAUAUUUCUUGUAGAAGCAAUAAUGGACCUUUAGAGAUAGAUAUUUCUCCUAGCCAUGUUAUGUGACCUAUAGAUAUACUAUUUUCUAUUAGACUUGAUGAUUGUCCCAUAGAGAUUCUACUUCUUCUUAGAUAUAUGCAAAUUGGCCAGAGAAGUGAUAUUCCUGAUAGUGAUGAUGUAUGUGACCUAUCGAUAUAAGAUAUACUAUAGACAAUUAUAUGUCUAUCUAUAUUAUGCCUCCAAUAUGUAAGAUACCUCCUAUAGUUGAGAUGAUUAGAAAUAUGCUACAACUUAUAAAUAUGAUUAUCGAUAUGAGUUUCGGAUAUAUAUAUGGGCCUAUGGCCGUGAUUAUGAUAUUGUGACUAUUCCAGAUAAAUUAGUGGGUCAAGGGUUGUGUUAUGAUAAUGAUUGAAUAACUAAUGAGUGUUUAUCAGUGCAAAGGAUAUGAUUACAGUUUAUGAAUACAUAAAUAUUUUUAUACACAUCUCUUCGAUAUUGUACGGAGGAAGAUGAGGUAUGCUACUUACGAUUUUAUUAAUUGGAUACUGGUGAUGUCUAGGAAUCUAAUAUAUUAGUUAAUGAAUCUUCCUUGGUUGAAACAUGGUAGCUAGUGUGGUUAAUGCGUGACUUGUGGUGAGGUUGGGUCUAGCAUAGGUGAAGAUUAGUUGGUAUUGAUGAAUAAAUUGGUAUUGAUGACUAAGUUUGUGAUAUUGAUUAGUCGAUAAAUGAGGAGUUGUGUAUUAACGAUGCUAGAUAAUAAGAGAUAUUGGUAAUAAGAAGUGACUAGUUAAUAACUUUGAAUAGUUGCUAAAUGGUUAACCAAUGAAUAGUUAAGCAAAGAUUAAUUGGUAAACGAUGGUUAGAUAAUGAAUGGUGUCAGUUAAUAAAAGAUGGUUAGGUAACAAGUAGUAAUGUGUUGUCUAUUAAUGAUUAACAGAUAUAGAAUGAUUAGUCGAUAAUAAUGAAUGGUGGAUAGAUAGCGGUUUUGGUCUAGUGAUAAAAUUUGACUAGAUGUUAGAUGUUGACUAUUAAAUAAAUAGUGGUUAGUUGUUAUCCUGUGAAUAAGGAUUAUGUGAAGAAUAAUGUUUAGGCUAAUAACUAGGGGUUGUGUGAUGACUAGCAAACUAGUAAUUCUUUUAUAAUAAGUGUUGGUUAGCUAAUAAAGAGUAGUUGGGAAGUAUUGACUAGAUAAAUAUUCUACGGUGAUAUGACUAUUUUUUUUAGUAUUUUAGUGUAUGUUAUUCAGUAAUGAUUGUUGUGAUGAUGUCGAUACCCGGCAAGGCCAGAGGAUACUAUUGAUGAUGUGUUGAUAUCCGGCAUGGCCGGAGGUUGAUUACGAUGAUGAUGGUCCUGAUGAGGACAGUUAUGAUGAGUUGUGAUAUUGACGGUGUACUUUGCAUUCAUUUCUGCAUGUGUGUUGCCUAUCACCAGUAUGUACCUAUAUUUAUCAGCCGGUAUAGGACGGUUGCAUAUAUAUGGGUGAAAAAUAUGCCUUGUAUAGUUGUAUACUGAUUGAACCUUCCGAGUUUGGGGCGGUGAGGAUAGCAUAGGCUCGGCUAGGUAUUUAGUUGUCCGUAAGUUGAGGACUAAGGAGAUUGCGUCUGUAAACGUGCAGUGGAAGAAUCUUCCUAUUGAGGAGGCCACUUGGGAGACCAAAGCAGACAUGCGUAGCAAGUAUCCACAUCUUUUUGACGAUUCAGGUAAUUCUUUAGUUUCCUUUCUUGUCGUUUGUUUGCCCAUUCGGGGACGAACAGUUGUUUAAUUGGUAUCUAAUAUAACUACUCAUUCGGUCGUUUGUGAAAUUUUCUCAUCUUCUUUAUUUUAGCCCUUCUCGUAGUUGGUGUAUGUGGAUUAUGACUCACGAGAUGAGAUGUAAGAAUUCUUGAGGUGUUCAAAAGUAAUUUAAGUCAUUAACGGGGUUAUUGAGUAGAGAAAGUUAAACCCGAUAAUGGUCAAUCUUUCAUCAAGACAACCUCGGAUUAGUGUCAUAAUAUUUUCAAUAGGUCCGGAAUGUACUUUUAGGUCAAUGUACAUAUUUGGUUUAUUUUCUUGAGAUUCCGAAUAAAUUCGAUAAUUUAUUAGAAGUUUCGGGUAUUUUAGAUAAUUAAUUUAAUUAGUGAAUCAAUGGGUCAAAAUCAUAAUUUUAUUUACUUAUGUUGCCAAUACAAGAAUAGAUUUAAGUGAAUAGGGUUUACCAUUCUUAAUAAUAAUAACAUUAGAAAUUUUGGCGGAAGUGGGCACGACAGUUAGCGAUACUAUUUUUCUCAUCUGUGGUCUUGAAGAAAUCUUGGGUUAAGCUUUAGGUAAGGGCUUCAUAAGCUAAAAAUCUUUAUUUUUCUAUGUUGAUCUCUAGGAAUCUGACUGCUAUAGUAUAUAUUAAAAUAUUUGGAUUGAGAGUACUUAAACUAAGAUGUGGUUGUGGUAAAUUGCUGCGGUGUUAUGGGUUUGAUUAAAAUAAUGUCGGUAGUUGUAUAUGAAAAUUGCUACGAAGGGAUAGUGAUCAAUUAGUAAAAAAAAUUAAUAUGGUGAUAGCACAGUUAGCAUAUGUUUAGUGAAUUGAAAAAAUUCUGCAAGAAAGUUUAGGCUAAUGAUUGGGUAAUGAUGGCUAGGUAAUUUAAAUAAUGAAAACAAAAUGUUUUUAAGGGUUAAUAGUACACAUGGAUUUAGUGAAAUUUCUAACCUGUAGUGUACUGCUUCAUUACUAUUCAUGACUUUGAGAAUUUUUUCAUGCAUGUAGCGUUCUUUUAUUUAAUACACAUAAAAUAUGAGCUUUCUAAACAUGUAAAAAUAGUACUAAAGUCGCACCGAUCCUCAUGGCGUCCUCACCUUUAGAUUAUUAGAUUUUGAUUCGUCACGAUUCUUGUAAUUUUAAGCCUAGGUGUGGGAUUCUUAGAGUAAGAAUUUAUAAAAUGAGUGUUAUUAAAUUCGUACUCUUAUGGAAAUUAUAUAUUUGAGCUGAUUUGAAAUAUUCGAAAGCUUUACGGAAGGGUAAUACCCUUACAAAUUAGCUUGUAUUUGAAUUCUUUGAUUGAGGAAGGUUACAGUUUAAUUGGAGUUUAGACUCGACUUAAUUUCAUGUAUGCUUCUAAAUUAGAUACUUGUUGAUUGGUAUUCAAACAUGCUUGAAAUUGUUGAUGUUUGAAUUAUUGAUGCGUGUUUAAAUGAUCAUUGAAAAUUUACUUGAUGGAAUUGUCUUAUGACUUUAAGUGUACUUGUAAAACUUGGUACAUUGUGUUGUAUGUUGUGGGGUUUGUGUAAAUUUGAUAUUGAUAAUACUUGUAUAUGUUGGAUCGGGUACCACGCUGGUAUGAAUAAUUAUAUAUUGGAUGGGGUACCAUGCCGGUACGGAUAUGUUUAUGUUGGAUUGGGUCCCACGCCGGUACGAAUAUAUUUAUAUUGGAUCGGGUACAAUGCCGGUACGAUUAUUUAUAUGUUGGAUCAGGUACCACGCCAGUACGGAUAUGUUUAUGUUUGAUCGGAUACCACGCCGGUACAGAUAUGUUUAUGUUGGAUCGGGUACCACGCCAGUAUGGAUAUUUAUAUGUUGGAUCGGGUACCACGCCGGUACGGAUAUGUUUAUGUUGGAUUAGGUACCACGCCGGUACUAAUAUGUAUAUGUUGGAUCGGGAACCACGCCGGUACGGAGAUGUUUAUGUUUGAUCGGGUACCACACCGAUACGGAUAUUUAUAUGUUAGAUCGGGUACCACGCCGGUACGGAUAUGUUUAUGUUAGAUUGGGUACAACGCCGGUACAAAUAUGUAUAUGUUGGAUCGGGUACCACACCGAUAUUGUACAUGAACAUAGAUUGUUCCCUACAGGUUAUGAUUAUUUGGACAAAAAUAAGUCCCAUAGCAUGUGUGUACAUAUUUGUAUUGAGUCCGUGGAUGUUUACAGUAUGGUUGAUACUCUUGAUGGUUAUGUGGCUUGUUUGUGAGCAAUAUUUGAUCUGUUAUUAUUGUAUUAUUGAUUCAUUUAGUAAUUGUUGUGUGAUGAUGCCUAUCUACUUGUUAUUUGAUUUAUGUUGUGUAUAUGUUAUUAAAUUGAGUUAGCCUAUGAUACCUACCAGUACAUAGUGGUUUGCAAUGAUACUACCCUGUACUCUUCUUUUGUUGAGUGCAGAAAGUGUUCAAGAGGCUCGGGUAUGACCCCACCUCUAAAGUUUGAUAGCAAAUAUUGAUCCUAGGGUGAGCACUCCAUCUCCAGGCUGCCAUGGGUCAUCGUAUUUAUUGUUGUCUAUCUUUGGACAAUAAAACAUUCUUUAUUUACUUUAUUUUUGGAGAUCUUUUUAGAUAUGAUCUUUGUUAUUAGUUCUUGUACGAUGAUUUUCGGGUCUUGAAAAUUUUAGUAAGUAGUUUGUUUGACUUCCGCAUUAAUAAUAAUUAGCUCUAGAUUAUUGUUAUUAAGUUGGUUUUAUGAUAAUAACUUUUUAAUAUUGUCUAAGUGAUUGGGUAAUGAUUGGAUUUACAUGGUUCUCCCACAGAAAUAUUAGUGUGGGUGCCAUUUAUGACCAUUUGGAUCGUGAUAGAUACUAUCACCUCCCAAUUGAUUUCAAUACUCAAACACAAAACCUAAUUUGAACAAUCAAUGAAACAAGAACCAAAAAUGGGUAGUUCUUCGAUUAAUCAAGCCAAAAGUCUACUAAUAAAUUCAAUAUCAACACUAAUUAACCUACAACUAUACUAAUUACUUCACUAAUCUCCUUAAGGGGAUUUACUAAGAAAAUACAAUUUCUCAAAAUGUCAAUAUUCAAAAUAAAAACUCUAUGUUAAAUAAGGAAAUAUCCUAUUUUUACUAAGGAAAUAAGAGGACAAUUAGUUUUUUAUAAUAUACACUUAAUGAAACAAGGGCUUUGUUUGGCUCUCUUCUUUUUUAUAAGUCUUUGAAUUUAAGAAGUGGUUAUUCGCACAAUCAACCCCCUCUGUUCCCCUUCUUUACAUCGAUUGACCUUUAAUACAUUCAAUUCCUUUCUUUGGUGCCCUUCAAGUUUCUCUAAAACCUCUUUCCUCACAAACAUGAUUUGUAGAUAUUGAAGCUCUUUUUCUUUACUACAAGUGAAUGAUAUUGAAGGAUCCAUGCUAGUAUAAUCCUCCCCUCCUGAAAAAGGAUUUGUCCUCGAAUCCAAAGGUUUACCUUUAACACAAGGAGAAAGAUCACUAACGUUGAAAACAUUAUGAACAUUAUACUCACUUAACAAGUUAAUCAUGUAGGCAUUAUCAUUGAUUCGCCUGAGCACUUUGAAUGUCCCAUCUCCCCUUGAACUUACCUUUCCUUUUGGGACUUGUGAAAACCUUUCUUUGCGAAAGUGAACCCACACCCAAUUAUACGGAUUAAGGAUCACCUCCUUUGUUCCGUGAUUUUUCUGAGUGAUCAAUUUGAAUUAUUUUUGUCAGUGACCUCUUUGAUCCUUGAAUGGAUGUUCAUCGUCUCUCUUUCUCUUUAUUUGGCAUCUAAACUCAAAAUAAUAUGGCUAGAAAAAGGAGUCGUGAUUAAUGAAAACAAAGGCCUAGAUCCAUAACAUGCUUCAAAUAGAGAUAUUUCAGUAGAAGAAUGAAAAAAUCAAUUAUAUGCAAACACAGUCAAGGGUAAACGGUCUCCCCAAGAAGUUGGGGUUCAUUUAAUCAUACACCUAAGCAUGCUUCCAUAAGUCCGAUUAACUACUUCGAUUUGUUCAUCCACUUAGGGGUUACAAAAAGUUGAGAACAUAAGUUUGGUACCAAAUGUACCCUAUAGACUCUUCCAAAAAUGACUAAGAAACUUGACAUCCUACCACUCACAAUAGUUUGAAGGACCCCAUACAAGUCAAGCACAUCAAUAACAAACAAAGAUGCAUCAUCACACUUAUGGCAUAGAAUGAAAUGAGUCAUUCUAAAAAAUCUAUCCACUACCACAAAUAUGCUAUCAUGUCCUCUCUUAUUCCUAGGAAGUCCCAACACAAAGUCCAUAAAAAUGUCCAUCCAUAGACCACUAGGAGUAGGAAGAGAAGUAUACUUACCUUGAGGCCGAGUCCUGGAUUUGUCUUGUCUGCAAUCUAGGAAAUAUCCAUAAAUCCGUUCCACAUUAUGCUUUAUUUUUGGCCAAUAGAAUUAUUCUAUGAGAAUGUCGAGUGUCUUGGGUUCUCCAAAGUUCCCCAUUAAACAAUCAUUAUGAGUUUUCCUGUUGAGCAACUCUCUCCAUGAACUCAUGGGUAGACAAACUCGCUCAUCCUUGAACAAAAAAUAGAGGUGACAAUUUUAAUCCAUAUUCGUGAAAGGAGUCCAUUAACCCAUAUUUAUUAAGUUGGAUCACUUAUAUUUUAAAUUAGAAAGUAUGAAAUUUUAACUCAUUUUAAAAGCUCAUACAAAAUAUGGAUAAAGUGAAUAAAAUUGGGUAUUCAUUUAACACAGAAAUCGUCCACCUAUGCUUAAACUUCCUAAUUGCAUCAUAAAAAUUAAAUUUUUUUAAGAAGAUGAAAAUUAGGGGGGUAGGGUGGGGUGGGGGUUUGGGGGGAAUCAAAAAGAAAAAUAUUUUAUUUUUAAAAUUUUUAAAUUUUUUUUUAAAUCUUUUUNNNNNNNNNNNNNNNNNNNNNNNNNNNNNNNNNNNNNNNNNNNNNNNNNNNNNNNNNNNNNNNNNNNNNNNNNNNNNNNNNNNNNNNNNNNNNNNNNNNNNNNNNNNNNNNNNNNNNNNNNNNNNNNNNNNNNNNNNNNNNNNNNNNNNNNNNNNNNNNGAGGGGUGCAUUUGGGGUGGGAGUAGGAAGGGGGUAACUUUUUCUUAAAAAAAAUAUUUACAUUUUUUUGGAGGGGGGGUAGGGGGUAAGGGAUAAAAAACCAAGUUGAUAUGCAUAUAGAAGUUCUAAGUUUUUGGCUUUACGAGUUAAAGUGAGUUAGUACCAUUUUAUCCAAUUCAUAUUUGACCAUAUCCAUAUUUACCCAUAUAUUAUAUGAGUGAAUUUCAAUUCAAUCCGUUUAAGCUCAAUUCAUAUUCAAUCCAUCCAAAUUUGAUUUGAUCCACCCAUUUGCCACCCAUAACAAGAAACUAUCAGCCAAUUAAAAUUUGAAAUAAAACCUUCGGGGCCACAAAAAUUUGGCCCAAAUUUGACCACAAUAAUAAAAAGAUCCAUUCACACUCUAAACUAGUUUUUUUUUUUUUUUUGACAUUUUUGGCCCUUUCAUCCUAAAUUUAAAAUUCUAUCAUUAUUUAUUUAUUACUAUUUUCCAAUACAUUGAAAACUAUCCCAAUACAUGAAAAUGAUCAAAUUAACAUGAUUUUCAUAAAUAUAAUUUCAUAGUACUUAUUGCUUAAAAAGAAUAGUUUAGGAUAAAAUAAUAAUAUAAAAUUAAUUAAUCAUAUUCUCAUAUAGCCAAAAUCAGUGUGGCCAAAGUAGUAUUGUCUAAAAUUUUGAUUCAACAUAAUAUACUUAUGUAUCAUAUUUACUUAAUUAUGUGUUUUAUCAGAUAGAUAAUUCUUAAUUUUUUUAAUCUUUAUUAUUAUUAUUAUUAUUAUUAUUAUAUAUAUAUAUAUAUAUUAAAAUUUAUUAGUAUUUUGAAUAACUGUUAAUUUUUUAUUUUUGCUGAAUAUAAUUCAUAGUUUAAUAUUACAUAAAAUAAGUAAUUAUCGAAAUUUCUAACACAAUAAAUUAAUUAUUUUGUUAUGAUUUCAGUUAUACAAUUUUAUUUAUAAUAUAAUUUUUCUCAUGAUAAUUCAAAUGAUUUUUUCAUCUCAAAUCCUUUCUAUCUAUUUUUAAAAUUAGAACGGGAAGAAGUCAAUAUAACAUUUGAAAAUUUCGCAUAAAGAUUUUCUUAGUUGAAUUAUAUAAAAAGUCCUAGUAUAUAAAACUUCAAUAUAAUUAAAAUUUUACUCUAUGUUAGUCAUACACUUAAUUUAUAUAUAAAUGAUAAGAAAAAUACAUAAAGAAAUGAAUAAAAAAUAUUUAAGUGUUUUCAAACUAAAAGUUUGCAUAGCUGAAUAAUAUUUAAUAUACUAUGAAAAUAUUUUAAUAAAAAUAAUAAAAACUUAAAACACUUUAGAUGUGGUAGACAUUGACAUUUUAUAAAAAUCAUAUAGUUAGUAAGUGUUGAUUUUAAUUAACAAUAACCUAAGAGAGUCACAUGUUGAUGUUGUAGUCUUGCGCCACUACGUUACGCCAAUUUGACAAUUUAGGAGUCAUUACUUAUAUAUUUUUUAUUAAUAUAUAUGACCUCUAAUUAAGUAAUUAUAUUAAUUUUUAUGUUUAUAUAAAUUUAAACUACAUAUUUGAAUAGUUUUUUUUUAAAAUAUAAUUUAAAAAUAUUUCAAUAAUGACAGCCAAAACUCCAAUUAUUUUAGACAUGAUAAAAAUCGAUCCAAAAUAAAACUCAUAUAGUUUUAAAGUGCCGAUUUUGGUUAGACAAUAGCUCAAGAAAGUCACACAUUAAUGUCAUUGUCUUGCAAUCCUAUGUCAUGCCUAUUUGAUACAUUACAAAAAAAAAAACCAUUCAGCGACAGUCAUAUUUGGUCUCUAUUCUAUGUAAAUCCGUCACUAAACAGAAAUAGCGACGGAUUUGUGUCUGUCACUAUAUUGCUCGUUGCUAGCCUCUUAGAGAUGAAAAAUGAUUUCCAUCGCAAAACUUGUGACCGCUUAGCGACGAAGCGUAUCGGUUGUUGAUGUUACCGAUGGAAUAUUCUAUUGCUAUACCGUUGUUUUUUCCAAAAUUUAUUUUCAUCGUGGUUAAAUUUACAACAGGAUAUUUUGUCGUUGAUCCGUUGACAUAGUUUGGUCGACUGAGCAGCCGUCUUUAGUGACCAAGUUUAUCCAUCGCUAAAGUUUUUCAGUAGCAACAACAAAAGUUAGUCACUAAUCUUUUGUCGCUAAUAAUUUUAUAAGAAAAUUAUUGAAACGCGUAAAUUAUUGAAUGAUUAAUAUAAUCAACAUUCAUAUAGAUAGAAAAAUGCACAAUAAUUGUGUCCAAACAUCCACAAGUUCAAGUAUUUUAUCAAAAAUAAACUAAUAUCAAACUCACAUCCAUCAAAAUUAAUAUUUGUUACUACAUAACAGUUUUGUACUUCCACACAAAAUAGUCUAUCAAAAAUUAAUGCAACGAUGAAGGGUUACGAAUACUAUGAAGCGACGAAUCAACAUCAUCAUCAUUAGUAGGAGGACGAUCAAGCACGGUCCCUUCUUGUACCUUAAUACCACCAACACGCUUAAUAACUACCAAAAGAAAGUGAGUCGUAAGUGCCGGAAUAAAUUGCUUCUCAAACUCCUCCAAAUUUAUUGUCGGCAAAGACACCGAAGGUGGUACUGAUGAUGUGGAGGCAUUAGAGGCACAAAGAUUUUUUCCAAAGUAACUUUCAGCUUCAGAUCCGAGACCAAAUAAUCUUUUCUUCUUCACUCCUCCUGCAUCUUCAUAAUAUAUUUCCAGUUGAUAAAUUUCAGAUUUAGUCGAUCUUUCUUUCCGUACAAUUUCUUCAUACAUUUCCUGUAAUUAACAAGUGGAGAUAUUAAAAUAGACUCAACUUUCUAUUUCUUCUUUCAUUUUCAUGUAUAAUAAGAACUUUUGACAGAUGUCAAUACAAAAAAAAAAAUAAGAGAAGAGUAUAUCUAAUGAUGUAAAUUAUGGAAUUGUGUGGAGAAGUAGGGAACACUCAACAACAAAAGAUUUACCUUAUUUUUCAACACCUCAUUAGAUAUUGCUUCCUCAGCAACCUUUCAUUGCAGCUCUGUGAUUAAUUUGUCAAACGAUUUCUUCUGAAGUCGAAUUAAUCUCUGAAACAUGGACCAAAGAGAGAAGAUAAUUUUAAGUUUCAUUGUUUUGGUAGAACACAUAGUAAUAGUUAAAAGAAAGGAAGAAGAGUCAGAAAUACCUUUUUACUAUACGAAAUACCUUAAUUUUACUCUUUUACAUAUUGGGGUAUUCUUACCUUUACGUUAUCAAAUUGUCUUGGGAUUGUCCUUGAUCCCAAUGGAGCUCCAACAUGAAGUAUAGCGGAGAUACCUUUACACUGGAUCCGAGCUCCGUUAAAGCCAAGGUCAAAGACGAGGUAAUUUAUUGACAGAAAGAGUAUGAAUGACUCUAAAACAUAACAAAGGGUGAAAUGAAGAUACUUCAUAUAGUAUAUGAGCAACUCAUGGGGAAGCAUAUAGAGAGAAGCUGAAUCCAUAAAAUGCAUCUUUCAGGAUAAAGUUCAGAUUUCAUACAAGAGAAGACAAAAUGGUUAAGAGAGUGUAAAUGCAUGUCAGCUUACCCUUUUAUCCAAGAAUUUCUCAAGAUCUUGAUUUUGAAGCUUCUUUUUCUUCCAAAACAUGCAAAAAUAUCUUACUACUACUGCUAGUACUAUCAAUAUGAUAGAUUCAAAGAUAAGAAAUAGAAAAAUUAUCUUCUUAUUUCUCGAAGAGAAAGAAUUUAAUUAUUCAAAUGUUAAUUGGAUAUCAAUAUUACCUACACAAAUUUAGGAUGUUACCUGUGUUGAAAUUCUUGGGCAUAAUCUGUGAGCAGCUUAAUGCAAACUUUUGACCUGAUGUAAAAGAAUUAUGUAACAAUUGAUACGAGAGGAUGCUAAGAACUUAUCACAAUAUGUGAUAUUGUCUAGCUGUAAUAUAAGAUAAAAUUAUUAAAGGUAUAGAUAUUUACGUGACCUUCGGCAUAGCAGUGGGUUCCCAAUAUCUGCAUGAAGAAUCCAUCUCCAAUAGAUAUACACUUCAGCACAAAUAAAUUGCAGAGUGAAAAUCUCCUUAGAUUUCUAUAUAUAACUCCAGAAAUGAGAUGCUAAAUCAAGAAAGAAAGUUUAUAUUGCUUUGUUAAACAAACAUUGAAGCACUGCUCAAGUCCUUGAUGGUUACAUCACUCUUUUUGACUGAAGGAAAUGGAAAUUUGUUUUACUCAAAUAUGAAAUACUUGAGUUCUACCUAGACGUCAUGAGUUCAAUGUUGAAAAACUCACUUGAAGCUGCUAAAAAUCGAGGACACUUUCAUCUAGAAGAAAAUAUUGUAGGUCAUUUCUCAAAAAAUUCGAGGAGAAUUAGCCUGAUGCAAUAGUAAAUAAUGGAUGUUACAAUGCUGCAAAUCGAUUGAUGUUGUUAAUAAGACCAAAUAGUUUUCGAGCCUAGGGAGAAGGAUGGGAUAAUUACCAGGAUAUUUUUCAGACCAAAAUAUGGUCCCAGUAACUGAAUUAAUCAGUGUGAAGAUAAUCAGUUAUACCACUACAAUCCAGGGUGAGUGAUAUGACAGAGAACAAAACUUAGAUAGGACAGAAAUGGAAAACAUAGUUCCAAAACUGAAAUUGUCACAUGAAGCAAAUAUAGAAUGAUUUACUACCUCUCUAUGUAAACUUAAGUAGUUAAUUAGAUGCAGUCCUUAACGAGCGCCUCAUUUUUUCUGAGCAUGAGAUUGAUUUACAUUAAGGUUCUACGAAAUCUAUCAGGUUUAGAUCUAUAUACGGUAAAGGGUAUAUUCUUGAAAAAUGAGUACACUGAAAUUGCAGAAUUAAAUUAUACCUAAAAAGAGUAUAGCAAGAUUCUCAACGAUAAAUUCUAAGCUCAGAUAUCACAAAAAUUGUAGAAUUAAACCCUAGCCCCAAACAAUCAACUAUUCCUAGCCCCAAAUAAACCCUAGCCCUAAAUGCUUCCAUUAACCCUAACUUCAAUCGGUUGUAUGCAUCCUAGACUCAAUUGAUAAAGCAAAUUACAUCAAAAAAUCACAAGAUUUACCCAUUGUAAAGUAAAAUCACAAACAAACAUCCAAAAUCAAAUUGUUUCUAAAAAAAAAUAAUAAGUUAAAACUAAUUCAAGCUUCAAUUCGGAUAGAGCGUGAACAAUAAUUUAAAAUCGACUCAAAAAAUAAAAAGAAAAUACAAGUUUUUUCUUUUACAGUAGAAGCAAAUACCUUCAAUGCUUCAAUUCGAGUAUAGAGUGUAAGCUUGACCUUCAAUUCGUACAGAAAUUCCUUCAAUUCGUGCAAAAAUGCCUUCAAAUCGGGCACAUUAUUGUAGAGAGAGAAAGAGUAGAAAGAGAGAGGGAGGCUGAAAUGAAUUGAAAAUCCUAGAAGCCUCCCUUUUUUACACGUUAUGUUUAAUUAAAAAUUAAAAAUUAAAAAUUAAAAAUUAAAAAUAAUAUUUUCAACGGAUAUUUUGGUCACUAAACUAAAUCAAUUUUUUUAAUCUGAAGCGUACCGACGAAUUUUCUGUCGCUAAAUUUGUUGCUACAAAAUAAUUAAAAUAGUCACAAAUUUUUUGUUGCUGAUCCGUCACUACAUUUAGGCGCUAAUGUUUUCCUCAAUUAUUUAGCGACAAAAGCAUAAUUCUGUCGUUGAUUCGUUGCUAAUAGCAUACGUAAAAAUGAACUUGCUAUGCAUGCGACCAAAUUGAUUGUUCCGUUACUAAUCUGUCGAUAUAUAGUGAUGAAAAUUAAUCUGUCGGUAAAUUCUGUUGCUAAACACUAUUUUUUUUAGUGAUAACUGGUGAAUCCUUAAUUAUAUUUUUUAUUAAUAUAAACUUUAAUUAAGUAAUUUUAUUAAUUAUUAUAUUUUUACAAAUCAAAAAACAUAGUUAUAUAGUUUUAAAAUAUAAUUAUAAAUUAUUUGUAUGACGAUAGUCUAAAUUCAAUACACUUUAGACAUGAUAGACAUUAACACAUCAUAAAAAUUACACAGUUCAUAAUUGUUGACCCUAGUGAACAUCAACUAAAAUAUUCACUCAUUAUAGCUAUUAAGCUAAUCGUUGUCAUGAUUUCUUAGUACUCAAAACAAAAAUUAAAUAUGUCCAUAUUUGAUUGUUUUCACAUUUUUUAAUAACUUGAAAUAGAAAUAUUGAUUAAUUACAAUAUUUUGUUUGAAAUAAUUUAUCAUGGCUAAAAGAAUACUAUUGCUAAACUAACUUUUAUCAUGGGGCAAAAAUUUACAACUAAAAAUUUUAUUAUGAGGAAAAAUACAUGGUUAUACCAUUAAAAUAUUCCCAUAGUUUUUGUAGAAUUUAAGCAAAACUAUUUAUUUAGUUACAAUUUUUUAAUAUUAAAUAAUUUAUUAUGGCUAGUAAAUUUUAUUAUUUGUUAGACAUGUCAAGUCAUACCAUCCUUUUAUUUAUGAAUAAAUCGGAUUAGAUUCCACUUUUCAAGCUAUCAAAUAUUCAUAUACUUAAUUUUUCUCUGAUACUUUUCUUUCUCACUUAUCUUUUUUUUUUUUUUUAAAAGAUAAUGAAUAAACUGAGAAAGUAUUUUUGAUGAUUAAUCAAUCCCAAUUUUAUUACUUUUUCUUUUAUUUUCAUAAUUUGAAAAAACAAUUGAAAUAAGUUAAAAUUGAAAUAACUAAAAAAAAUUAGGUAGUGAAAUUGAAUAAUGGUUGAGUAAAUUUUAUCAAUGAUUAUCCAAUUCUGAGUUUAUCACACAAAAAAGUUAUUUCUUAUUUUUUCUGUUACAAAAAAGUUAUCUAAUUUUAAAAUUUAUUACACAAAAAAAAUUGUUUUUUUUAUCACAUAAAGGUAUUUUUUUUUAAUGUUUAUCAGCAUAAAAUAUUUUAUUUAUUUUUAAAAGGUAUUUAUGAAAUUUACUAUAUAAAUACGUACAUUAGUAAGAAAAAAAGAAGUCAAAUCAUAUAUACUUUAAUAUUAAUAAUAAUGUGUCAAAGUUAUUGUAAGGAAAUCAAACUAAGAAAAGAAAAUAUAAUAUCAUAUACCCCAACAAGUUUUAUGUUAUGAAAAAAAAAUAUUACUUCUUUUUGAUAAGAUAUGAUCUUGCACAAUACUUAAAAAAAAAUCAAUUAGAGUGUAAUUUGAUUAAAAUAUUCUUUAUUAAUUAUUUAAUAUUUAGCUAUUUACGUAACUCAUAGUUCUAUUAUAGAAUAAUUAAUGUUAAGCGCAAAAUAACGGAGGGAGUAUGGAUUUUUCUAAAAUUAUCUUGAAUAUACUUCCUUUAUUUUAUUUUACUUGAUCGGUAUACUAUAAAUAUAUGUUUCAACUUACUUAUCAAUCUCACAAAUUAAAAGAGUUUAAUUACUUCUUUCUCAAUUCUCAUACUACUUUAGGAUUAAAUAACUACAUAAAGUAGCAGUACUAAUUAAAUUUAAAGAUUCAAUUCAUCGUUAAUAAGGUUAAUUUAGUAAAAAUAUACAUUCAAUUAAUUUUUUCUUAAGGCGUGCGUUAAGUCAACAUGGGCCAAAUAAUAUACAACAGAGAGAGUAAUUAAUUUAUUUUGAAGAAUUAUGUCAUAUUUUCAUAUAAAAUAUUAAAUCUCAUGUGAAAUUUACUUUUUAGUUAACUCAGUCAAAGUUGAAUAACUUUUAAGUGAUCAAAAAUAAAAUAUAAUAAAUUUUAAAAUUGACGACAUUAUUUUAAAAUUUUAAAUAUAAAUUAAAAUUUAAUAAUUAAAUUUAAUUUAUAUAUCUACGUGAAAUACCUUUAUAUAUCUAAGUUGUCAAUUGAUUUUUAUAAAAGAAAAAAAUAACAAACAAACAAAAGAAAGAAAGGAAGGAAAGAAAAGAAGAAUAGAAAAUAAAAAUAAAAAAAGAUGGGAAAAAAAGUUACAACAACAACAAACCCAGUGUAUUCCCACUUAGUGGGGUCUGGGGGGUAAGAUGUACGCAGUCCAUACCUCUACCUCUGAUGAAGUAGAAAGGCUGUUUCCGAAAGACCCCCGGCUCAAGGCACAAGAUAUCACACAAACACAUAAUAAAGCACAGAAGCAGCUGACAUAACAUAAAUACGGCACCCAUUGGGAAUAUAAAACAGAGUAAAGCGGGAAUGCAGGAAUAUAAAGCAGAGGAAAGCACACAUAUUCGUAAUAAACAUGGAACACGGAACACGAAACACUGAAUACAGAAUCAUAACAGGCAUACACCCCCACCAAUUAAUUCCCUGCACUAGCGACCCGCACUGGCCCUAAUCCUCUGCCGUAAUUCGCGUCUUCCAGACCUUCCUAUCUAGGGUCAUGUCCUCGGUGAGCUGUAACUGUUCCAUGUCCCGCCUAAUCACCUCACCCCAGUACUUCUUCGGUCUACCUCUACCCCGUCUAAAACCAUCCAACGCUAGCCUCUCACACCUACGGACCGGGGCAUCCAUGCCCCUCCUCUUCACGUGUCCGAACCAUCUCAAUCGUGCUUCCCGCAUCUUACACUCCACUGAAGUCACACCAACCUUCUCCCGGAUAGUCUCAUUCCGAACUCUAUCCCCUCGGGUCAGUCCACACAUCCAGCGCAACAUCCGCAUUUCUGCCACCUUCAUUUUUUGGAUGUGGGAGUUCUUAACUGGCCAACACUCCGCUCCAUACAGCAAGGCCGGACGGACUACCACCCUAUAGAAUUUGCCUUUAAGCUUGGGCGGCACCUUCUUAUCACACAGCACCCCCGACGCGAGUUUCCACUUCAUCCAUCCCGCCCCAAUACGGUGCGAGACAUCCUCGUCAAUCUCACUGUUACUCUGGAUCACGGACCCGAGAUACUUGAACUUAUCCCUCAUAUAGUUAAUGAUAAAUGUGAUUAAUCUAUCAUAAAAUUUUUUAUUCCAUUUAUUUUUAAGUUUAGGAAAUUGUAAAGAUUUGACUUACUUGGAAGGAAAAAGGUUAGGAUAAUCUUUAUAUAUUUGUGGUUAUUUUUGAGCCAAAAAAUUGUGGCCAUUUAACGUUUUUCUUGAAAUUUAUACUUUUAUCCUUGAAUCAUACUCACUUCUUUCCAUUUUAAUUGUCUAUCUUACUAAAAAAUAGUUGUUUCAUAAUAUUAAUUGUCCAUUUUAUCUAAUUAAGAGAGAAUUAAUUUAAAACUAUACAUAUUAUUCAUACAAUUAAAUUUUUAAAAGUGCCAAAACUUAUGUGUAAAGUCUAAAAAGGUUUUAUAAGAGAUAAAUUACCAAACUUAUCUUGUUAUUCAUAAUUUUUUAAUAUGCGUGUAGAAAAAAAAGUGAACAGCUAAAAUAAGACAGAUGAGUAUUUACAAAUAAAAUUGUUUCUCCAUCAACUUGAAUUGGUGACCUACGAUAGUAUAUUUUAGAAGUAUAAAAAUACAUGUAAUUUAUCCUUUAGAUAACACUCCAUAUGAAACAUUAAAGAAGUAUAUAAAACUAUGGGCCGAAACCGGAUAAAAGCGCGCGGGCACAUGAUUUCCAAUUCCCCACUUUGGAUCCACAGUUUUUGGACCCAACCUGCACUCUCCUUUCUGUCUUUGACAUCCCAUCAACAAAAUGGAAAUAUGUGGGCGGCCAACCAGAAUCUCACUUCCUAUCCUGUCUUGCUUUUGCAUUGCAGUUACACACCCUUAUAAUAUAUAAGCAGAGAUUUGGUGAUACUUCAAGGCACAACAAAAUUCCAAGCAUCUACAAAAGAAAUAAUAAGCUCUUCUUUUUCUUGUUUGAAGUUGAAAAAGGGUGAAGGAAAUUAAAGAAGAAUGUCUGGGCUGAUAGAUAUGUGGACAAAUGAGGUUGCGAAGUUGCAAAACAAGGCAUGUCAAGAUGAAGAUGUAGCUGCAGAACCCUUUUCCACGAGGAAAGCAAAAAGUAGUGAUUUGGUCAAGGAAGAUCAUGAAUCCCUCUCCUUAUUUCAAAGAUAUGGCGGGUUGGCAACUAAUUACUUGGGCAAUCAACUCAAUAAGUUGCUCAAUUAUUCUGAUGCUUCAGUCUCAAUGAUUGUGGAUUGUGUUAGUCCCUGAACAAGCAAUUCAGCGCAUUUCUCUGUUUGUCUCUUUGCCUGUUUACCUUUUUUUUGAAGUUGAGAAAAUUGUACCAGUAUUUUGAUAAGGUCCCUAAAUAACUUGGUGUACAUAUACUUACAGUUAACCGAAAGUCUCCAGUGCAGUUUCUUUUGAGAUAGUAUUGAAAAUUAUACUUGUCUAAUUUUUUGCUAAACAUAAAGAGUACAAAGAGUGAAAGAAAAUACAAGGAGAAAUAUAGUAAUUAUGACACCUUAAAUAUCGUGGAAAACGACUAAAAGGAUUAAUUAUAUAUAAAUAUUCAUAGCUCUGUAAAUGAUCAUGGUCCAAAUUCUUAAUCCCCAUAUGUAAAGAGAUGCUUCAGUUUUAUGAUAAAAAGAGUUGGUGCUUCAAAAAGGUAUUAUAGACUAUAUUCGAACAAACAGAUAGUGAGAUGCAUAAAAAAUUGUAUGGAGACACAUAUUUUUGCCAGAUCCAUGUAUCGAAUACAUAAUAAUUAUGUAUCUCUCUUAAAUUAUUUUAUAGAAUAAUGUAUUUCUAUCCAAAUUGUUGUAAAGAGUAAUGGAUCUGAGUUGUUUUUAUUCUAUUAAUACACUCAUCAUUCAAUUGAUAUAUGGGUGAAAAUCAUUUUCACCCCAACUUUGAUUAAAAAAUCAAACUCCCCCUCAACAUUGAACAAUAAUUAUACUCUCCCUUCAUUCCAUGCAAUGUCCAUUUUGUCCUUAUAAUUUUAAUUAUAUAUUUAUGUAAUAUCUUUUUAUAUUAUAUGUAAUGAAUAUUUUUUUAACAUGGAUAUUUGUAGCAUUUUGUUUAAAUUUAUUAACUUUAUACGUAAAUUAAUACUUUUUAUAUUUACCUCAAAAUUCAAUGUUAUUUUUUAAGAUUGUUAUUUUAGUACUAUAUGUAUUAAGGAGUCGUUUGGUGUGAGGUAUAAUUAUAAUAAUUCAAAGAUAAAGUUCAUGAUUAUUUAUCCUGCGUUUAGUUAGAUGUAUUAGGUAGUCUCAAAAUUAUUUGUCGCACCAUUUAUGCCAUAGUGAUGAGAUAAGUUAUCACACAUACAUGUUAGUACAACUUAUUUUGUAAUAACGAAUCCCGGAAUAACUUGUUUUCAAAGAACCCACCCCUAAGUGUGUAUAUAUACAUAUGUAUGUAUAUGCAUGUGCGUAUAUUUUCGUGUUUUAUCACUCUCUUACUAAAUUCGUUUCGUAUUACUUAAUUUUUUGUUGAUAUAACACAAUCUUUAAGAAAAUUUUACUUAGAGGUAUAUUUUGCUAAAUUAACC